ACAGCCACCAAGCAACAAUGUUGUGAGGUUCUUUAGUUCAGAGAUGGAAUUUGGUAAACUUUUGAUCUUCGUAGAGGAAAAAUUGAGAACACUAAGACAAGGCAUGUUUGUGAAGAAAGAAUAUGGGAUCUUCUUUAUAGGGUUAUCCUGCAAUAACAAGGUUGUGAGCAGUUGGCAUUUUGUGGGUAGCACAUCUAUGGAAAUUUCUGGUAUGGAGUUAAACAUAAGCGACACUUUCUCAAUAUCUGGACUCCAUUGCUCCUCUUUUGGUAACUCCUCUAAUUGCAAACCUGCUUGUAUCAUAUAUCGAGGAUUCAUUCUUGUGAUCGACAAUGCCAUGUCUCUCACUGCAUCAUGCAUCUUUAUACGAUGUAAACCAAAUUUAGUGGUAAUAUUUUCCAACAAGCAAUUAUCUUCUAACUUCUUCAAAAUAACAUGGCCCUUUUCUUUCAUUUCUUGUCUUGUACCCAUAUCAUCUAUGAAUCCCUCCUCAAUCCAGCACUCAAUUAGCUUAUCUUUUCCAAUUUCAUAAUCUUCAGGAUAUAAUGUGCAAUGUAAGAAACAAUGCUUCAUUUUCUCGUCUUUUAAGUGAUUGAAGCUAACUUUCAAACUCUCGAUCACUUUAUCUUCCCCUUCUUUCACUUUCCCUAUUCUCUCUUUCAAUUCCCUGAGUGUGUUUUUCCUAAUAAGAGGGUCAUCUUCUCCUCUCAAUGUACCAGCCAUGACGACAAUUGUAAGAGGCAGACCUGCACAUUCCUUGACAACAAGCUUCAAAGUUGGCAUUAAAGUUUGAUUUUGCACUAUGUUAGGUCCAACUUCACUCAAGAAUAGUAUCAAUGCCUCUUCUUCUGAAAGGGGCUUCACUUUUAUCACCUUACAGCCCAUAGACUUACAAACUUGCUCCACACGGGUUGUCAACACCAACUUGUACCCAUUGCUGCUACUUGGCUUAGGGAUCCCAAUUUCUUCCAACGAGACUUCAAUCCACACAUCAUCUAGGAUUAGAACAUGCUUUCCUGCUCUCUUCAGCAUUUCGGACAAGAUUGCUGCUCGUCUGACCUUGUUUGCUUCUUCAGGAAUCUUUCCAUUCAAUGCACUUAAAGUUAGAAGAAAGCAUACAAUGCAUUGUUAAACAUAAAAGAGUGUGAGCUUUUUCAAGCUCAGUGAGUGUUUAGAGAUUGCCACAAGUAAUCACAAUAUCCAAAGUUAGAAGAAAGCAUACAAUCACAAUUAAUCAUGGUGAGCAAUAAAGCAUAAUUCAUAGCAUUCACAAUAUUAAUAUGUUGCUACAAUGUGAUUACGAAGCAUAUGUACAAAAUAUAUAAUAAAAUAUUUUAUCAACAUAUAAAAUCAACAAGACUCAUAUCAUAUUCAGUCAUAAACACAUAACAUUUUUAUUGUCAUCUCAAUAUACAACACAUAACAUAUCACAUUUAAGCAUCAUUUGCAAAUCAUCAUUAGUUUAGGUAGAAACACUUACUCUUGAAAAUUGGAUGGUGUGGAUGUGUUUGGAUAGCUAGAAAAUCAUUAAGGAUGAGUUAAUUUUGAGAGAAAAUAUUAGAGUUGAAUUUGGGGAAAUUUUGAAUGUGAAAUUCAAUGGAGGGUACGGACGUCGGGUUCUUAAAGAAACGGGGAAGAUGAGUAGUUUUUUUUUAAAUAAGGAAAAAUUGCAUUUUAAAAACUUCCAGUUUUUCUUUAUUUUUCAAUUUAGACCUUAGCUUAAUUAAAACACAUUUUUCUCAAUUAUUUUCAAACCCGAUAUUUUAAAAAAAAUUCAUUUUAACCAAAUUAAUUCCCGAACACUCAAUUUUAAUUUCUUAAAAUAAAAUUAUUAAUGAUAUUAAUUUUAUUAUUUUAUUUAAUUACUUUCUGAUUAUUUUAAUGAUCUAACUUAAUUACGAUUUUUGAUUCACUAACCCCCGAUUUACUAUCCCGAUUUUUGGGAUGUGACAUGACAACAUUAUGUAAAUAUGAUAUAAUAAUAAUCACUGAUAGCAUACAAAUAAAUUAUUGAUUACAUACCCUAUUGUAUAAACUAAAAUAUAUUUAUACUACAAGUUCUAUAAUAUGAUAUCUAAAUGGGUUAAUUUUUAAAAUUGCAUAUUUUAAAAUUAAAAAAAAUUAUAGAAAUGUUAAUUUAUAAUUAUUUCUAACUUAUGUGCUUUUCAAUGUUAAAACUUUUACUAGAAUUAUUAGUAAAAAAUGCAUGAAUGAUUGAUAGCAUAAUCAUUUUAAAGACAUAAUUAUAAAUUAAUUAUAUAAAAAGGGUAAACACUUCGUAACAUAGUAAUAAAUAAUUUAUAAUACAUGAAUAAAUUAUGGAUAAAAUAAUAAGAAAUAAUAUAGUAUAAAAUUAAAUAAAUAAUAAUAUAAUAUAGUAAUAAAAUUUAUAAAUAAAUUUUUUAAUUAAGUAGAUAAUUUUAUAAAUAUCAGUGCAAAACGUCGAAAUCAUUAGGUUUCAUUGUAUCCUCGAGGUCAAUUUCCGAGUAACUCUUUUGCACAGCAAUAAAUAGGUGGGGGCAAAUAGAACUUUAAAAUAGUGACAUUGAUACACACAUUGGAACCUUUUUUAAUUUCUCAUAAAUUUAUUUUUAUCUCCGCACAGUAAUAGUUAUGGAAACAAUUAUCAAAGAAAACAAAAAAUAUUAUGAGUAAAUUUUUAUGGUCUUCGGGGCAACUUUCGUUUUUAUGUUCCACAAAGGUAAUGUAAAUUCGAUAUUAAUGUUUUCAAAAUUGUAUUUUUUUUAUCACUCGACUAUUUAGUGACACUUUUUUAAUUAGUAUAAUAACAAUUUUAGUCCUCAAAUUUUCUACUUUCAGUCAAUUUAAUCUUGAUAAUAUAUAAAAUGGUAAAAAUUUGAAAUUAUUUUUAAAAUUUUAGAAAAUUAUAAAAUAAAAAAUUAAAUAAAAGUAGAUAAAAAUUUUAAAAAUAAAUAAAGUGAGAGAAAAUGAGGGAUAAUUGUUUUUAAACCCUCCAGAAUUUCUCUACAUUGUAUGUAUUGAAAAUUAAAGAAUUUAUAGUACUUUCCUAACUUUUAUUGUAAAUAAAAGCAAGAUCAUAGUUUUGCCUCACCUUAAAUCAUUUUGAUUAAUAUAUGUUUAUAUUUUAUUUAAAUAUUAAUAAAAAUAAAAUAUAUUUUAAUUUUUAAUACCAUUUAAGUUUUAAUACUUUUUCAAGCCUAGGCCGGUUUUCGGCCUAACUUGGUUGAUCCCAAAAUUCUACAUUACUGUGCAAGAAUAUUUUAAAAAAUAAUUUUAUAUUAAUAUUUAUAUAUUUUUAUAAUUAAAUUAAGUUUUAAAAAUAUUUUAUAUUAUUUAAAUUGAAUUCGAGUUGGACCGACUCAAGACAUGGAGAGAUUUAUAGCCAUCUUCUAUUGUGUAUAUAUAUUUUUAUAUAAAAUUUAAAAUUUAUUAAAAUUUACAAAAUAAUAGACUAGUGUUGAAUGUGGUAAAAGACCAUAAUAAUAUUUGAUUCGAUAUCAUAUCAAAAUAAGUUUAUAACUUAAAUGUUUUAAUUAUAAAUAUGAAUAUAUUAGAGAAGAAUAAGAGAAUAGAAGGAAUGGUAAGAGAGGGACAAUGUUUAAAAAGUGUAGGCACUUUGAUUUCUUUAUUUAUUUGUGCUCUUAACCUCUUCCUUCCAUCAUUCCUGUUCUCCUCUCUUAUCCUCAAAAGGGGUUGAAGCGAAGAACAUUUUUUAAGUUUGGAUGGUCAUCCCACUCCAACCAUUCCCACCAUUCUGUGCUUGACCUGAUGGUAAGAGAAGGUGGAGCAUAUGCAAAUGGCUGCCCAUUGCCAACAAGGGGAACAAAUGGAGGAAUUCUCUUCAGUUUAUCACAUCUAGUAAUAUGGAUAAGUUGGAGAGAAUCACAAACCAUCACUCCACUUUUGCUGCAUAUGCUCUUCAAAUUUGGUAAUCUCCACAAUUCCACCUCUCCCAAUUUGGGAAGAUGGAAUUUGAUUAAUGCAUCACUCCCUUUUUCUUCAACUUCUGAUGUUGCUGCUCCCAAUAUUUCUACUAGCUGACUACAAGCACCCACAUGUAUUUCUUCCAGGUUUUGGAGGUUUGGAAGCAACCAAUGUGGAAGCAACGUCUUCAUACUUGAGCAUCUCUGUAAAUAAAAUUUCUUAAGAUGGGAAAAGGUGGUAGACGGAGCAAAUGUUGAUGUUGUUGCUGAACCAAUUCCUGCAUCAUUCAUAAUAAGGGCACUCAACUUUGGCAGAUGUUGAAGAUCCAAUAUCUCGACGCUCUGAAAUGGAUGAGCGGAAGAAGAGGCCAAAGAGGACAAGGAAACAACACACUCUAUCCCUUUACAUUCAUAAAUCCUCAACUCAAUCGCAUUUUUCAGGGAAGAAUUAUCAUCGACUAUGUUUCUCAAAUAGUCGCACUUUAUAAUAUUCAAGUGUUGAUUUUCAAUUGGGUGCGUAAUUAACUCACCUUCCCAAUUCUGGACUCCUCCAAUUGUUACUGUUUUAUCUCUUGCAGUAGGCAUAAAAGAUGAGCCCACCUGUAAAUAGUACUUGAUGAGAUUUUUCUUACUUUGUUGCAUCGAGGCGAUGAACUUAUUGAAUUCAUUGAUGUCUUCGAAACGUCCGGUAAAGCACUCCAACUUCUUCAAUGGUUCCAUCUCCUCUGCUUUUAGACUUGUUUUUUCAUUGUACACAUCAAAACUCAAGUGUUGAAGGUGAACGAGUUUUGGUAAAAGUCCAGCGGGUAUCUCUUUCAGAGUGAACACUUGAAGAUCAAGAUAUCUUAGCUUUAUCAAUAAAUCCAUGCCUUCAGGGACUUCCUCAAUUUCUGUCCAACAAAGAUCUAACUUCUUCAAUUCUUGAAGCAUCGAAAGACAUGUUGGAAUAUUUUCAAAUAUUUAUAGUAUCCCAAUAACUAUAAAUGAAUGGGUGUAAUUAAUCAAAAGAUAAAACUUUUGGUCAUUGGUCAAAAGUUAUAUCAUUUGAUUUUUUAAAAAAGAAUUAUAACUAUUCAAAAGAUAUUAUUUGAAUAGUUACAAAAUUAAAUGAAUAAUUAUUAUUAUUAUUUAUUUAUUCAUAAAGACACCUAUUGAAAGAUGUCUCUAUGAAGAGACAUGAAAAUUCCUAUAAAUAGGAAUGGGAUUUCAUUUGGAAAUGAUAUCAACAAAUUCUAAUAUUAUUUCUUCUCUUCCUUCAUUUUCUAAUAUUAUUAGAUUAUUCUAUAAAGUAUUGCUGCAGAAAUCCUUUGUAGAAAUUGAGUUUUUGUUAUACAUUACUCAGUGCAUAGUGGACUAUUCUCGUCAGUGCAAAACGCAAAUAGUCAUUGGCUUCAUUGUAUCCUCGAGGUUAAUUUGCUUGGAACUCGUUUGCACACUGAAGAUAAGUGAGGGCGAAUAUAACCUUAAAGAUAGUGGCUUGAUACACGCCUUGGAGCCUGUCCUAUUUCUUCUUUUUCUUUUCGAGUUCCGAUCGUGUGUUCGAGUUUUUUUUCCUUACCGGAGUUUUGUACUAACAAUUUUAAGGUUAUAUUUCAUGAUGACUACCACAACACAUGAAAGUGGAACACUAAGGGAGUUGGCUUCCAACUUUGUUAAACUUGAUCGUUUUGAUGGUGGCAAUUUUCGACGAUGGCAGAAAAAGAUGCACUUUUUGUUAUCAACUUUGAAGAUUGCUUAUGUUUUGGAUACUCCAAGACCUGAAGAGAAUGAAAAUGAAUCUGUUGCUGUAACCCGAGAAAGACAAAAAUGGGACAAUGCUGAUUACAUGUGCAUGGGCCACAUAUUGAAUGGUUUAACUGAUGGUUUGUUCGACACCUACCAAAACGACGUCACCGCUAAAGAAUUAUGGGACAAAUUGGAGGCAAGAUACAUGAUUGAAGAUGUUACAAGUAAGAAAUUUCUUGUCAGUCGUUUCAAUAAUUAUCAAAUGGUUGAUGGUCGUUCUGUUAUGGAACAAUUUCGUGAUAUUGAAAAGAUGCUGAAUCAAUUUAAGCAAUAUGAUAUGAAAAUGGAUGAAAUGAUUGUGGUAUCCUCCAUAAUAGACAAACUUCCUCCAUCUUGGAAAGACUUUAAAAGAAGUCUAAAACAUAAGAAAGAUGAAAUAUCUCUUGAGGCUUUGGCAAAUCAUUUUCGUAUUGAAGAAGAGUAUCGAAAACAAGAUCAGAACCUAAAUUCUGAAAAUGCCAAAGUACAUGUUACGGAGGAAGUACAGACUACUAAACCAUUCAAGAGAAAGUUCAAUCAGACUGAUAGAGCACCUAAGUUCAAAAAGAAACAAAAGGGCUCAUGCUAUCAUUGUGGAAAGCCGGGACAUUUCAAGAAUGAAUGUCGAUUUUUAAAGAAGAAAUCAUUUUCUAAGGCUGAUAAUAACGAAAAGUUCGUUGCAAUGAUAUCUGAAAUUAAUAUGGCACAAGAUGAUAAUACAUGGUGGAUUGAUACCGGAGCAACCAAACAUGUGUGCAAAGACAAAAGCAUGUUCACAAAGUUUACACAAUGUGAAAAUGACAAUGUCUUGUACAUGGGAAAUUCUUCCACCGCAACAAUUAAAGGCAAAGGGUCUGUUGAACUACAAUUCACUUCUGGAAAGGUUUUAACCUUAAAUGAUGUAUAUUAUGUACCAGAAGUUAGGAAAAAUUUAGUGUCUGGAAGUCUGUUGAAUAAGUUUGGUUUCAAACUUGUUUUUGAGGCAGAUAAGUUUAUUUUGUCUAAGGGAGGAAUUUUUGUGGGAAAAGGGUAUAUGUAUGAAAGCAUGUUCAAACUUAAUAUUAUUAAUAAGAAUAAAAAUACUAUUUCUGCUUAUAUGGUUGAAUCAUUUUGUUUGUGGCAUUAUAGAUUAGGUCAUUUGAAUUAUAGAAAAUUGAAUGACAUGUAUAAAUUAGAUUUAAUUCCUGUUUUUAAUAAUAAUAUUGAAAAAUGCAAUACCUGUAUGUUGACUAAAAUUACAAGAAAUCCUUUCCCUAAGGUUAAAAGGAAAACAAAAUUGCUUGAUUUGAUACAUAGUGAUUUAUGUGACUUGCAUAAUACUCCUACAUUAGGUGGAAAGAAAUAUUUUGUUACUUUUAUUGAUGAUUGUUCUAGAUAUUGUUAUGUAUAUUUAUUGCAUUCAAAAGAUGAAGCGCUUGAUAAAUUUAAAGUUUAUAAAUCUGAAGUUGAACUUCAGUGUGAAUCAUUUAUCAAGUGCUUAAGAUCGGAUAGAGGUGGAGAAUACUAUAAUCCAAGUUAUUUUGAACUCACUGGAAUUGUCCAUCAAGUUUCAGCCCCUUACACACCACAACAAAAUGGUGUAGCUGAAAGGAAAAAUAGAGUCUUGAUUGAAAUGGUAAAUUCAAUGUUAUCAUAUUCAGGUCUUGGACAGGGUUUUUGGGGAGAAGCUGUUCUAACAGCUUGUCAUAUAUUGAAUAGAGUUCCUAAUAAGGAAACUAAAAUAACCCCCUAUGAACAAUGGAAGAAAAGGAAACCAAACCUUAAUUAUUUAAAGGUUUGGGGUUGUAGAGCUAUUGUAAAAGUUCCAACACCUAAACGUAAAAAGUUAGGUGAAAGAGGAAUUGAAUGCAUAUUUAUAGGUUAUGCACAUAAUAGCAAGGCAUAUAGGUUCAUAGUAAUUGAACCAAAUGAUUCAAUUUCAAUUAAUACGGUUAUUGAAUCAAGAGAUACUAUUUUUGAUGAAAAUAGAUUUAAUUCUAUAUCAAGACAAUUACAACCACAACAAUUGAUUCAUUCUUCAAAUGAGAAUGAGAUUCCAUUGAAACAAAUUGAUAAUAAUGAUGAAUCUUGUCAAGAAUUAAGAAGAAGUAAGAGGAUUAAAAAGGUCAAAGAUUUUGGACCAGAUUUCAUUAUGUUUCUUGUAGAAGGAAAAGGUGAAAGUAUAUGCAAUAAGAAACCUUAUUGUUAUAAUACCGAAUCUGAUCCUAUUACAUUUGAAGAAGCAGUGAAAUCUCAAGACUCUGCUUUUUGGAAAGAAGCAAUAAAUGAUGAAAUGGAUUCAAUAAUGGGAAAUCAAACUUGGAUCUUAGUUGAUCUUCCACCAGGUUCCAAACCAAUAGGUUGUAAAUGGAUCUUCAAAAAGAAAAUGAAGGUCGAUGGAACCAUUGAUAAAUUUAAAGCAAGGUUGGUAGCAAAAGGUUUUACACAAAGACAAGGUAUUGAUUACUUUGAUACCUAUGCUCCAGUAGCAAGAAUUGCUACAAUUAGACUAUUAAUAUCACUUACCUCUAUAUAUAAUUUGGUUCACCAAAUGGAUGUUAAAACUGCAUUUUUAAAUGGUGAAUUGGAAGAGGAAGUGUACAUGGAGCAACCGGAAGGAUUUAUUGUUCCAGGACAAGAGCAUAAGGUAUGUAAGCUUGUUAAAUCUUUAUAUGGGCUUAAACAAGCACCAAAACAAUGGCACCAAAAGUUUGACAAGGUUGUUUUAGCUAAUGGCUAUAAAAUAAAUGAAUCCGAUAAGUGCAUAUAUAGUAAAUUUGAUAAUGGAAAGGGUGUUAUAAUUUGCUUAUAUGUAGAUGACAUGCUCAUUUUUGGCACGGAUUUGGAACAAAUAGAAAACACAAAGAAAUUCUUGUCAAACAACUUUGCUAUGAAGGAUAUUGGUGUAGCAGAUGUUAUUCUUGGGAUUAAAAUAACCCGAGAUGAAAGCACUAUAGCUUUAUCACAAUCACAUUACAUUGAAAAUGUGCUUAAAAAGUUUGAUCUUUUCAACUGUAUACCAGCAUCUACACCCAUGGAUCCUCAAUUAAAAUUAGUAUCUAAUGCUGGUAGGAAAAUUGAUCAAUUGAAAUAUGCAAGUCUAAUUGGUUGUCUUAUGUACAUAAUGACUUGUACAAGACCAGAUAUUGCAUAUGCUAUUGGAAAAUUGAGUAGAUACAUAAGUAAUCCAAGUAGUUUGCAUUGGCAAGCUUUAAAUAGAGUACUUAGGUACUUAAAGAAAACUAUUAACUAUGGAUUGUGUUAUAAUGGAUAUCCUCCAGUUUUAGAAGGGUAUUCGAAUGCUAGUUGGAUUACAAGUUUGGAAGAUCAUGCAUCUACUAGUGGGUGGAUCUUCAUUCUUGGUGGAGGAGUCAUUUCUUGGGGUUCCAAGAAACAAACAUGUAUUACUGAUUCCACCAUGGCAGCAGAAUUUAUUGCAUUAGCCGCUGCAUCUAAAGAAGCAGAAUGGUUAAGAAAUUUGCUUUAUGAUGUACCUUUAUGGCUUAAGCCAAUUUCACCUAUUUCUAUCCGUUGUGAUAGUGAGGCUACUCUAGCAAAGGCAUAUAGCCAAGUAUAUAAUGGAAAGUCUAGACACAUUGGAUUAAGACAUAGUUAUGUCCGACAAUUAAUCUCUGAUGGAGUGAUCACUAUUAAUUAUGUGAGGUCAAGUGAAAAUUUGGCAGAUCCUUUGACAAAAAGUCUUGCUAGAGAUGCAGUAAAAAGGACCUCAAAAGGGAUGGGACUCAAGCCUAUUAAUUAGAGUCACCCAUGAUGGAAACUCGACUCAACGCUUGGUAUAACGUCAAGUCUUGAGUUCAAUGAGACAAAGUACAUCAUUAGUAUGUGACUGUUAGCACUAUAAAUAAAUCCAUCCUAAGAUUAAAGUGCUAGGUACUCGUAAUGAUAAGGGAAGGAUGAGUAAUGUACUCUUAAUGGACCCAUAACAUAAAUAUGUUAGAGUGUUAUAAUUACGGGAACACUUUUGAUGGGAUCUACCUAUGUGAGUGGAAGUGUGGCCGCUUCUAGGAGCUUAAGGGCUUGGCUCUGACAGCACUCAUGAAAAGAGGACAUAGACACAUAGCUAUAAUAGUGUCCCUAGAUACUAUGCAUUGACUGAUGUUGAAAUCAUUGUGUGAGAUGUGUUCAGUUAAUCAAAUGGAAUAGUUGGUUCAAAGCUUAGUCUACCAUAAAAUUUCAAUUAACUUUAACAUGUUUUCACUAAGUGAAGGUUCAAUCGUAAGACACCUUUAUUUAUACAAAUUGAUUUCCAAGAAUAUCAAAAUCUAAUUAUUUUGAAAAUGGGGGGGGAUAAUUGUUGGAAUAUUUUCAAAUAUUUAUAGUAUCCCAAUAACUAUAAAUGAAUGGGUGUAAUUAAUCAAAAGAUAAAACUUUUGGUCAUUGAUCAAAAGUUAUAUCAUUUGAUUUUUUAAAAAAGAAUUAUAACUAUUCAACAAAUAUUAUUUGAAUAGUUACAAAAUUAAAUGAAUAAUUAUUAUUAUUUAUUUAUUCAUAAAGACACCUAUUGAAAGAUGUCUCUAUGAAGAGACAUGAAAAUUCCUAUAAAUAGGAAUGGGAUUUCAUUUGGAAAUGAUAUCAACAAAUUCUAAUAUUAUUUCUUCUCUUCCUUCAUUUUCUAAUAUUAUUAGAUUAUUCUAUAAAGUAUUGCUGCAGAAAUCCUUUGUAGAAAUUGAGUUUUUGUUAUACAUUACUCAGUGCAUAGUGGACUAUUCUCGUCAGUGCAAAACGCAAAUAGUCAUUGGCUUCAUUGUAUCCUCGAGGUUAAUUUGCUUGGAACUCGUUUGCACACUGAAGAUAAGUGGGGGCGAAUAUAACCUUAAAGAUAGUGGCUUGAUACACGCCUUGGAGCCUGUCCUAUUUCUUCUUUUUCUUUUCGAGUUCCGAUCGUGUGUUCGAGUUUUUUUUCCUUACCGGAGUUUUGUACUAACAAGACAUGGCAGAUCUCUUAAUUGAUAACAGCCACGAAGAAAUAAUGUUGUGAGGUUCUUUAGUUCAGAGAUGGAAUUUGGUAAACUCUCGAUCUUUGUAAAAGACAAAUUGAGAACACUAAGACAAGGCUUGUUCAUGAAUAAAGAAUAUGGGAUUUUCUUUACAGGGUUCCCCCGCAAUAACAAGGUUGUGAGCAGUUGACAUUUUGUAGGCAGCACACCUAUGGAAACUUCUGAUAUGGAGUUAUACAUAAGUGACACUUUCUCAAUAUCUGGACUCCAUUGCUCCUUUUCUGGUAACUCUUCUAAUUGCGAACCUGCUUGUAUCAUAUAUUGAGGAUUCAUUCUUGUGAUCGACAGUGCCAUGUCUCUCACUGCAUCAUGCAUCUUUAUGCGAUGUAAACCAAAUUCAGUGGUAAUAUUUUCCAACAAGCAAUUAUCUUCCAACUUCUUCAAAAUAACUUGGCCCUUGCCUUCCAUUUCGUGUCUUGUAGCCAUAUCAUCUAUGAAUCCCUCUUCAAUCCAGCACUCAAUUAACUCAUCCUUCCAAAUUUCAAAAUCUUCAGGAAAUAAUGCGCAAUGUAAGAAACAAUAUUUCACUUUCUCGUCCUUUAAGUGAUCGAAGCUAAAUUUCAAACGCUCUAUCACUUUAGCUUCCACUCCCUCCACUUUUUCUACUGUCUCUUUCAAUUCCCUGAGUGCGUUUUUCCAAAUAAGGGGUUUCUCUUCUCCUUUCAAUGUACUAGCUACAACAACAAUUAUAAGAGGCAGACCCGCACAUUCUUCGACAACAAGCCUCAAAAAUUGGCAUUAAAGUUCGAUUUUGCACUAUGUUAGGCCCAACUUUACUCAAGAAUAGUGUCAAUGCCUGUUGUGCUGAAAGGGGCUUCACUUUUAUCACCGUGCAAUCCAUAUACUUACAGACAUGCUCCGAACGGGUUGUCAACACCAACUUACAGCCAUUGCUGUCACUCGGCUCAGGGAUCCCAACUUCUUCUAGAGAGACUUCAUCCCACACAUCAUCUAGGAUUAGAACAUGCUUUCCUACUUUCUUCAGCAUUUCUGACAAGAUUGCAGCUCGUCUGAGCUUGUCUCCUUCUAUGGCCAAAUCUUCCUUCAACUUCAAAGCACUUGCAAUAUCAUCUUGUACCUUCAUUACACUGGACUCCUUUGAUAUGGCAUCCCAGACUACUCUUUCGAAUCUUUGUUCUUUCAAAAUAUCAUUGUGGAUGUGCUUCAUGAUCGUGGUUUUACCCACACCGCCCAUCCCCCAAACCCCAAUCUUUUUUACCUCCUCUUGCAUCAAACAUGCCCAAAUCUCUUUUCUGGCAGCUUCCUCCCCAACUAGUUCUGAUGUUGGCAGUGGCAACCCACCACUUGGACCAUCCAUGGCAAGAGCUUCAGAGGCAUUAGGAGCUUUAUCAAGAAAUUCCUUCAUUUCUCGAGUCUUUUCAUCAACCAGCUUUUCGUUCCAAGCACGACAGAGAUAUCUCCCGUUUCUGACUUUAAUUUCUACAUCCUGUGCUUCCGCAAUCAUCUCUUUCGCAUCUUUCAACCAAUUUUCAACUCCCUGCUUUGGUAUCUUCCCCCCAGGAGAAAGAAGCUCUGCUUUCAAUUGCCGCUCUAUGUCUGCCAUUUUACAAUUCAAUUCAUCUCUGAUCCUUCCGAAGUUUCUCACAUAAUCAUUCAGCUUUCUGUGAUAUUUCAAGUAUUUACAAAGAGGAGGUCCAAGACAAUUUGCAAUGCCAACACCGGGCUCUACGUAUUCCAUUUGCUCUGGCCCUGCAACGCAAUCAUAUAUGUUAGUGUAUUGGAUUUUUGAAUAAUUUUUUAUAUGUUAGUGUAAGCAUGAAAAGGAAUCAUAAAUGCAAUGGCCUUUAUUAGAUGGAGCUAUGGAUAGGUGGCAGACAGAAACAGGAUGAAAAUCAUUGCCUUAUUACCUGACUUAGUGGCUGAAAUGUGUUGAGAGAUUAGAACUGAAAAUGAAGCAGUGAAGUUGACUUCCUUGACUAUCUUACAAAGCUAGCAGAUAAUAAAAAACAAUCAUUGCAUAGUCAUGGAUGAAGCAAAUGAAAGAAAAUUACCUUUGACGGGAUGCUUGAAAUUUGGUGAUAGACCUUGGAGAUGAAAACAAAUUAAAAACAGUGAAGAAGAAAGAAUGUUGUGGGCAGAAAGGCAGAACUAUUAAGCAAAGAAAAGCAUGUAAUGAAAUAAGCAAAUGAAAGAAAAGUAGGUAGAGUGGAUGGUUGAAAUCAGUAGAGGAAAUCAUUGCCUUAUUACCUGACUUAGUGGCUGAAAUGUGUUGAGAGAUUAGAACUGAAAAUGAAGCAGUGAAGUUGACUUCCUUGACUAUCUUACAAAGCUAGCAGAUAAUAAAAAACAAUCAUUGCAUAGUCAUGGAUGAAGCAAAUGAAAGAAAAUUACCUUUGACGGGAUGCUUGAAAUUUGGUGAUAGACCUUGGAGAUGAAAACAAAUUAAAAACAGUGAAGAAGAAAGACUGUUGUGGGCUGAAAGGCAGAACCAUUAAGCAAAGAAAAGCAUAUGUAAUGAAAUAAGCAAAUGAAAGCAAAGUAGGUUGAAAUUUUGUGAAAGAAGAAAGUGUUGCGGAAGCGACGAUAAUAUUAAUAACAAUAUUAUCAGAAAUAUUUAGAUAAUUAUUAUGCCAACAAUUAUACUAAGAAAAUUCCCAGUUAAAUUGGAGGGGUCACAAAUGGUCCCGCUUAAAACCCAACAACUAGACAGAACUCACUUAGAUAUUUAUAGCAAUAAUAACUAAAUAAAUAUAACCAACAUAAAGCUAUUAAAUAUAAGCAAACAAAUAAGAAAUAAAAUACCAGAGAUUUAACGAGGUUCGGCCAAUUUAGCUUACAUCCUCGGACACUACCAAAUUAAUAUUUCUUCUAGAAAUAUUACAAAGGAGAAGAUUUUGGGAUGAUACAACCAAAGGGGGAGGGGUUCUAUAUAUAACAAACCAAGCCCCCUCCCUUUCUAUCUUUUCCUAAUGUGGGAUAUUGCCAAUAUUCAACAAAUCUCCACCUUGGCGAUAUUCCACAUCUUCGAACAUCUUCUCAUAACACUAACUUCAAUAGUGUCUUCAAAUUUGCAACCAAUCGCCUUCUUCCCUUUUGGUAGUUGUGCCAGCUUCCACGUCUUGUUUUUCUCUAGAGAUUGCAUUUCCUCUUCCAUUGCACCUAACCAUCUAUUAUUCUCUAAACUCUGAAUGGCUUUGGUGUGAGUGGAUGGAAUAUUAUCAACAACUGGAAGUGCAUAAGCUACCAUGUCAGUGAAACGAGCAGGUUUCUGAAUUUCUCGUCUCUGCCUUCUGACUGCAAUUGGCUCUGAUUGCUAUUGAGGUUCUUGGGUAGAAACCUCUUCCUCAUCUGACUCUGCAUCUGCCAAUGAAGAAUCACUAGUGGUACCUUCUGCUGGAAUUACCACACUCUGCUCAAACUCCACCUGCUGCGGAGUACACUCCACCUGCUGCGAAGUACUACUCACUCCUUCUGGAUUUACCUUAUUCAACAUGGCAGAUUCAUGAAAGGUAACAUCCCUACUGAUUAUCGUCUUCUUUGCCUCUAGACACCACAAACGAUAUCCCUUAACACCAGCAUUGAAGCCCAUGAAUAGAGCCUUCUUUGCUCUUGGAUCUAACUUUGAUUCUUUCACAUGAUAAUAUGCAAUAGAACCAAAAAUGCGCAAGGUGUCAUAAUCAGUAGCAGGUUUUCCAUACCAUUUCUCCAAAGGAGUCUUGCCAUUUAUAGCAGAUGAUGGCAAAUGAUUGAUGAGAUGUUGAGCGUACGUCACAGCCUCAGCCCAAAACUUUCUAUCUAAUCCAGCAUUAGAUAACAUACAUCGAACUUUCUCCACAAGCGUUCGAUUCAUACGCUCUGCCACCCCAUUCUGUUGCGGUGUUCCACCUACGGUGAAGUGCCUUACUAUGCCACAAUCUUGGCAUAUCUUCAGGAAUAGAUCGCUUUUAUAUUCUCCACCGUUGUCUGAUCGGAGAACCUUAAUCUUCCUUCCUGUCUGAUUUUCAACUUUAGUUUUCCACUUAAGGAAAACUUCAAGCACCUCAUCUUUGUUCUUCAUAGGAAACACCCAAACUCGUCUGGAAAAAUCAUCAAUAAAGGUGACAAAAUAACGUCUUCCUCCAAGUGAUGGAGUCUUGGACGGUCCCCAUACAUCAGAAUGCACAUAAUCCAGAAUACCUUUAGUAUUGUGAAUCCCAGUGCCAAAUUUCACCCUUCGUUGUUUUCCCAGAACACAAUGCUCGCAAAAUUCAAGUUUGCAAGUCUUUGUACCUUUCAAUAAUCCUUGCUUGGCUAGAGUUUGCAAGGAUUUUUCACCAGCAUGGCCCAAACGCAUAUGCCACAGCUGUGUUGCCUCAGCGUCCUUCUUGGUACUCGAAAUUGCUGCUGCUGUUGUCCCGACCACUGUACUACCUUGGUAGUAAUACAGAUUGUUCUUUCUUAUGCCUUUCAACAUCACCAAUGCUCCUGAAGUUGCUUUAAGAACUCCAUCUCGUAUUGUCACAACUAGGCCUUUAGAUUCUAACGACCCCAAAGAGAUGAGAUUCUUCUUCAACUUUGGGACAUAUCGUACAUCCCGCAAAAUUCUAGUAGAUCCAUCAUGACUCCUCAAUUUAAUUGAACCUAUCCCGGCUAUUUUACAUGUGUUAUCAUUACCCAUGUAAACAACCCCUUCAUCUAGUUUUUGAAAUUCAAAGAACCAUUCCCGAAUGGGACACAUAUGAUAGGAACAACCAGAAUCCAUGAUCCACUCAUCUGCAUAUAAUGUUGAAGAUGUCAUACUAAGAGAAAAGUCUGACUCUGCUUCACUAUUGCAUUCUGCAACAUUUGCAUCUUGCGGAGUCUUCCCUUUUUUCUUCAAUUUUGGACAAUCUUUCUUCCAAUGUCCUUUUUCUUUGCAAAAGGAACAUUCAUCUUUGGCAACAGCUCGACCUUUGGACUUUCUUCUCUUCCCAUUAGACUGACUUUGCUGACGACCUCUUGUUACCAAUGCUUCCACUGCUGCUUCACCUGAACCUUUCAACUUAUCCUUUCGGCGUAGUUCAUAGCUAUACAAUGCAGCAGUUACUUCAUUGAAAGUUACUUCCGAUUUUCCAUGAAGUAGAGUAGUUUCAAGGUACUCAAACUCCUCAGGAAGCGAUCCCAACAACAUUAACGCCAAGUCUUCGUCUUCAAAAGUCACAUCCAAAUUCAACAAAUCAGCCACCAGCUGAUUAAAAUUGGUAAUGUGCUCGUUCAUCGUGGUACCAGGAACAUAAUUGAAACGAAACAGUCUUUUCUUCAUAUGCAACUUAUUUUGACUGUUCUUCUUCAAGAAUUUCUCCUCCAAUGCUUUCCACAAUUUACUUGCAGAAGUCUCUUUACUGAAUGUAUACUUCUGCUCUCUGGAAAGACAUGAUCGAAUUGUACCACAUGCCAAUCGGUUGAUGGUCUUCCAUUCUUUAUCAUCAACCCCUUCUGGUUUUUCUUCCUCAAUGGCAAUAUCUAGACCCUGUUGAAAGAGGGCAUCUAGAAGCUCACUUUGCCACAUGCCAAAAUGACCUGUUCCAUCAAAAAUUUCCACUACAAAUCUCGUAUUUGCAGUUCCAAUCCUCGGCAAAAUGUACGAAGUGGAAGUUGUUGAUAUGGAUGGUUUUUCUUCUGUCAUUUUUGCCAUAGCUUCUACUUAAUAGCCACCAAAUGCAGAAUACCCACAAGCUUUAGGAAAUGUUUCUGAUGUGUAAGAUCAGACUAAGCUGCAAACACAGAGCAUACUACAAAACCUUGGCUCGGAUACCAAUUGUUGCGGAAGCGACGAUAAUAUUAAUAACAAUAUUAUCAGAAAUAUUUAGAUAAUUAUUAUGCCAACAAUUAUACUAAGAAAAUUCCCAGUUAAAUUGGAGGGGUCACAAAUGGUCCCGCUUAAAACCCAACAACUAGACAGAACUCACUUAGAUAUUUAUAGCAAUAAUAACUAAAUAAAUAUAACCAACAUAAAGCUAUUAAAUAUAAGCAAACAAAUAAGAAAUAAAAUACCAGAGAUUUAACGAGGUUCGGCCAAUUUAGCUUACGUCCUCGGACACUACCAAAUUAAUAUUUCUUCUAGAAAUAUUACAAAGGAGAAGAUUUUGGGAUGAUACAACCAAAGGGGGAGGGGUUCUAUAUAUAACAAACCAAGCCCCCUCCCUUUCUAUCUUUUCCUAAUGUGGGAUAUUGCCAAUAUUCAACAGAAAGAAUGUUGUGGGUACAAAGGCAGAAGUAUUAAGUAAGGAAUCCCAUCUUUUUUUACUUUUCCUUUGCUUCUGCCCUGAUUUACAAUUUGAUUCUUCUUUAAAUCUGUAUAAAUCACUAAUCUGCCAUGUCCUUUCCAUUCAUUCUGGACAUUACUAACAAGUUUUGAAGUCAUCUUGGUGCUCAAUUGUAACAACAACAUCAGCAGCAGCAGCAGCAUAAUAAUGGGAAAGUAUGGUCUAAGAAUGCCUAAUUAUAUGUUACAACUUGAAAUAAAUAUUUAGUUACGUACAUAUAAAUUCCUUCAUAAGUUACACUUUUAAAUCCAAAUUGUGGUUUAUUGAUUGGGUGUUCCCUAUUAGAAAUAGCCGAAAUUCAAAUUAUCAUUGUACCCAAAUUUGAAAUUGUUUUAAAAUUUUAGAAUAUUAUAAAAUUUAAAAGUAAAUAACAGUAGAUAAACAUUUCAAAAAUAGAGAAAAUGAGGGAAAAACAUUUCAAUAUUUUUUUUUCUACAAUUUUUAUAUACAUUUUUCUAUUUUAUAAAUAAUUUUGAGUUUUUUUUAUAAUCUUUAUACAAAAUUAAGAUCAAAUUGAUAGAAAAUAUAAAAAUUGAGAGCAAUAAUUAUUAUUAUACCAAUUGAAACAAAUUCCAAUUAACAGUUGGGUGACAAAAAAAAAAUUCAAAAACAUUAGUGAUGAAAUUGUAAUUUUUUUAGUUAAGUGAUAAAAAUAAAAAAACUUACCCAUAAUUGGAUCACUAAUGGUCUAAUUUACCCUAAAUUCUUUUAAAAUUUUUAGUUUAAAACUUUUUUUUAUAAAUACUAUGUAUUAAGCCUUUUAUGUUAGUGCCGCUAUCAAUCAAAUCACAACUCAAUAAGAAAGUUAUCAAAAAACUAUUUUAUUUGAAAAGUAAAAUAUAUGAUUAUGAGAAUGUUUUCGUCUUUUUAUACUUUUAUAAAUUAAUAAAAAAAAUUAUCCAUAAUGAGAUUUGAACUAAUGACAUUCACUUGAAACUUUAAUAAUUAUAUCUAUGUUCUAAAUUUUUAUUUAUUUGUGUAUAUAAAAAAUGUUGUUGAUUUAGUGUCACAAAUGAACACGGCACCAACUCAGAAUUGAAAACAAAACAAUGAUAAUCAAUUGUAUUCAUUUAGUAUUUUUAAUCUGAUGUGUUUUUUUUGUUGUUUAGAUUUCGUUUUACUCACAAUUUAUUCUAAUUUUUAUUUUAAUAUAGUGCAUAUUUUAUAUGGUAUUAUUAAUUAGUUCCAAAUUUGAUAGCAAGUUACUUUAAUAUAUUUAAUAUACCCAAUUUUGGUAAACUUUUUAAUAGAAUUCUACUAAACUUGUGAUUUAUUGCCCAAAUUUUAUCAUGGACACAAUUGGAGUGCCGAAGUUCAAAAACAAACAAAUUGAGCUAAAUUGGAACAAAAAACAAGUUGGGGAGCUGAAUUGAAAGUUGCAAAAUUAAUUUUGGGAUGAUAAAAAAUAUUAGAUUUUUUACUUUGACUAAUUCUAUAUUUAGAAAAAUUUGAUUUAGUGGUUGCUUGUUAAGCAUAAUUCUAAGAGUAAAAUGAUGUGAAAUUGAUUCUUUGAGAUCCGUAUAUAAAGGUUUUUAAUUGUGGCACGAAUACACACUUUGAAUUUAAAAAGACAGUUUAGCACAUUCUUGCGUCUAUUGCAUUUGAAGCAAUCUGCCAUUGUUUUUCUCUUUUUAUGUUUUGGUGCAAUUUCCCUUUUAGUUCUCUCCUUUCUUCACCUAUUAUCUUUCAUUAAAAUUCACUCUCAUAAUCCAAUCAAGUAUGAUUAAUUCAUGUUCAACCAAUCUUCGUUUAGCUUUAGACCGGUUAUCAUUUCGACCAAGAAACAUGAGAAAUGAACCCACGCUAAAACCUUACAAUACGGUAUUCAUUAUCUUUCCGUAAUAUGAGAAAGUUACAAUUAUCCCUUAAAGUUAAUUCAAUUUCAACUCAAAAAGUGUGGAUUUGAGUUGCUUGGUGUACAGUUAAGAAAAUGAGUUGUUAUUCUCUUUGUCAAUUUGAUGUUGAUAAUAUAUAAAUUGGUAAAAAAAUUAAAAUUAUUUUUAAAAUUUUAUAAAAUUAUAAAAUUAAAAAUUAAAUAAAAAUAGAUUAAAAAUUCAAAAAUAAAUAAAGUGAGAGAAAAUUAGGGGUAAUUGUUUUUAAACCCUCCAAUAUUUCUCUAUAUUAUCUGUAUCAAAAUAUUCAAUACCCAUUAUUUUAAAAAAAACAUAGAAAAGAAAAACAUUAAUCAAAAUUAUUUGAUCUCUGUUUUUUACUUCUUCUGUUUCUUGACAUAACUUUUACGUUGUAAGCAAAGAUAAAUUUCUGAAUAUAAUUUAUUUUUACAAUUUGGGUUUUGAAAAAUAAUUUAUAGGUAAUGAAAUUUUGAAUUGAGUUUGAAAAAAAAUUUGUGGUAUAUUUUGUAUUCUUCUAAAUAAAAAAAUGGCAUUAGGGUCAAUUUUAUAAGCCUCAAAAAAUAUCAAAUCUAGAUGUCAUUUAAGACCAUGAAACUCAACUUGAUAAUAGUAAUGAUUUGAUUUCAAGAAAUAUUGAGGAAUCAUGUAAUGAUCUAACUCUUUUUUUUUGGGGGGUUUUGUUCUCUUUUUAAUUUGUUAUCGAAUUCUAUUCUCCAUCUUCUAAUAUUCCUAGAUUGUUUUAUGAGAAAUUACUGUAGAAGUUCUUUAUAGAAAUUGGUAUUCUUGCUAUGCUCCAUUCAAUGCUCAGUGAAUUAUUUUUGUCAGUGCAAAACAUUGACAAUCAUUAGGUUUCAUUGUAUCCUCAAGGUCAAUUUGCGAGUAACUCUUCUGCACAACAAUAAAUAAUUGGGGGCGAAUAGAACUUUAAAAUAGUAGCAUCAUAAAACCUUUUUUAAUUUCUCUGAAAUUCAUUUUUAUCACCAAUAGCAAUUAUGGGAACAAUAAUCAAAGAAAACAAACAAUAUUAUGAGUCAAUUUUUAUGGUGUUCAGGGCAACUUUCGUUUUUAAGUUCCACAAAGGUAAAGUAAAUUCCAUCUUUUCUUAUUAUUAGUUUUUUCCUUUGCAGUAUUCCAUUAUUGUUGGCACUAUUGUUCUCUACAAUGAUUCUAAAAUAUAAUAUUUAUAAUUAAUCAUAUGUAUCUAAAUUAGAGCAAAUAGCAGUCUUAUGAUUUACAUUAAUGCAACAUUUCAUGUUGCCUCUGAUUCCAAUUCUUUUAGUCCCCUCCAUGUUCCACCUUCAAGAAAAAACAAGAGAGAAUGAACCUAAAUUUGGAUACCUAAUCCUUCCUCUAUGAAAUCAGAGUUACCUUCAGAUUUUAAUUCCAAUACCGACAUUGUAACGCCCUGAUUAUUUAACUUUAUUUCUGUGAAUUUUUUCACAAAUAUGUGUCUACUUCAGUGGCUAAGUGUUUUGAUUGUGUUUGAUGUUUUGGGUUCAAGUCCCAUUUUUUGAAAUUUUUGCUAUUUGUGAUUCUAGCCUAUUCCUUGGCGGUUUGACUUAUAUUCUAUUGCUAGUCAGAUCAUAUUAGAAUGAGCUUGCUGGUUUGAGUGGUAAGGUGUUAACUUGCCCUGAGGUCUUGUGUUCAAAUAUUUGUAUGAUUGUGAAUGAUAAUUUUUGUUGCAGGUGUCUGAUAGGGGUUCAGUAGAGUUUAAAUUCUGAGGUAGUUGGAUGUGGAUGGAAGUGUCGGAUUUGAUGAGAUGAGUGGGGAGUUGGGGGAAAUUAGUGAUAUUUUAUUAAAAAUUUAAUUUUAAUUUUAAUUUUCUUUUCACAAAAAAAUCUCCUAUCUUACUAUUUUAUUUUUAGUUUUAUUUUAUUCAAAAUAUCCAUUAAAACCAUUUUAAGAAAUUGAAGUUACCAUAUUAAAAUUUAAUAUACAAAAUCAAGUUAUGUAAAUUUUCAAAGCAUUUCGUGUUGUUUAAGGAUUCUAAUUUUAUUGUGUAAAAAUCAGAACUUAUUUGCAAAAGUUUCAAAAUAUGCCCAAAACUCUCUGAUCACCGUGUCGCGACCUCAUGAUUCCCAUGUUGCAACAUCGACCCAAUAUCAGUAUCACGAUAUGGACUUGAAAACUUGCAGGAAAAUUUCAGUACUUGGGUUGGACACUUUCACACCCUCGUACACAUACCAAAUCGAGAUUUCAUGCUAUUCUCCCUAUUUUAACAUGUCAUAUAACUUACAUUAACAUGUUUUGACGUCUCAAGUAAAUUGCUAUUCUAUCAUUCAACCCUAAAGUCACAAUUCAAUUACUCAAAAUGUAAUUUUUGUAUUUUAAGCAUUUCUAAGUGUAUAAUUGAUACAUAAAAUACUAUAUGGUCAUUUUGGACUUACCUCAAUACGCAACAAGCCAGUCCAGCAGCAAUUUACAUGUUAGCCAAUAAACAAGUACACAACACCUUACUAAUUCAACCAAUAACAUGCAUUCUCAAAUCUUCCAUUGAAACCGUUCAUUCGAACCAAUUUUAAAAGUUCUAAAAACCAUUUUAAACAACCCAUAUUGUCCAUUAAUAAAUCAUUAACAGUUCAAAGUCUAAAACCCUCUAGAUUAGUCCCACAUUGCCUUCCUUAUUGAUUUAAAAACACACCAAACGUAGUCAAGUUAAAUUGUCUUGCUUUGGAUCACUUGGCAGCUCACUUCUCCUCCUCGUUUCAGCUAUAUCUCUGCACUGUUAAAUAUAAAAGAGUGUGAGCUUUUUCAAGCUCAGUGAGUGCUUAGAGAUUGCCACAAGUAAUCACAAUAUCCAAAGUUAGAAGAAAGCAUACAAUCACAAUUAAUCACGGUAAGCAAUAAAGCAUAAUUCAUAGCAUUCACAUUAAUAUGUUGCCAGAAUGUGAUUAUGAAGCAUAUGUACAAAAUAUAUUGCAUUGGGUAACCAGAUUUCCAAAUACAACCAAUAUAAUGUGUAGCGUAAAGCUAUCACCCUCCAAACACAUCCACUUAAACAUGUAUACUUAUUGUUUUAUGCACACUUUCACAUAUCACACAACUCAUGUUCAUAUCACAUAUUCAAGUCUCAUAUCAUGCACUUACAAGUGCUCACAUUAUGCUCAAAUAGUCACAACAUAUAGAUCUCAUAUAGUGUAUAUAAAAUCAGCAAGACUCAUAUCAUAUUCAGUCAUCAACACAUAACAUUUUUUAUUGUCAUCUCAAUUUACAACACAUAACAUAUCACAUUUAAGCAUCAAUUGCAAAUCAUCAUUAGUUUAGGUAGAAACACUUACUAUUGAAAAUUGGACGGUGUGGAUAUGUUUGGAUAGCUAGAAAAUCAUUAAGGGUGAGUUAAUUUUGAGAGAAAAUAUUAGAGUUGAAUUUGGGGAAAUUUUGAAUGUGAAAUUCAAUGGAGGGAAGGGACGUCGGGUUCUUAAAGAAAUGGGGAAGAUGAGUAGUUUUUUUUUUUUUAAAUAAGGAAAAAUUGCAUUUUAAAAACUUCCAGUUUUCCUUUAUUUUUCAAUUCAGACCUUAGUUUAAUUAAAACGCAUUUUUCUCAAUUAUUUUCAAAUCCGAUAUUUUUAAAAGGUCCAUUUUAACCAAAUUAAUUCCCGAAUACCCAAUUUUAAUUUCUUAACAUAAAAUUAUUAAUUAUAUUAAUUUUAAUACUUUAUUUAAUUAAUUCCUAAUUAUUUUAAUGAUCUAACUUAAUUAUGAUUUUUGAUUCACUAACCCCGAUUUACUAUCUCGAUUUUUGGGAUGCGACAUGACAGCAUUAUGUAAAUAUGAUAUAAUAAUAAUUACUGAUAGCAUACAAAUAAAUUGUUGAUUACAUACCCUAUUGUAUAAACUAAAAUAUAAUUAUACUACAAGUUCUAUAAUAUGAUAUCUAAUGGGUUAAUUUUUAAAAUUGCAUAUUUUAAAAUUAAAAAAAAAUAUAAAAAUGUUAAUUUAUAAUUAUUCCUAACUUAUAUGCUUUUCAAUGUUACAACUUUUAUUAGAAUUAUUAGUAAAAAAAUGCAUAAAUGAUUGAUAGCAUAAUCAUUUUAAAGACAAAUAAUUAUAAAUUAAUUAUAUAAAAGUAAGUGAUAACAUUUUGUACUUUGUUAAUAUAAAAAAGGGUAAACACUUAAUAACAUAGUAAUAAAUAAUUUAUAAUACAUGAAUAAAUAAUAAAGAAAUAAUAUAGUAUAAAAUUAAAUAAUUAAUAAUACAAUAUAGUAAUAAAAUUUAUAAAUAUCAUUAUUUUUAAUGCCUAAUCGUAUAUACAUCAUUUUAAUUAAUAAAAAUUUAUAAUAUUGUAAAUAAUACCAUGAUGAUAGUUUUUUCUCACCUUAAAUUAUUUUGAUUAAAAUAUGUUGUUUUUAGACAUUAAAUACGUGAUUUCCAAGGUAUAUGCGUGUGAUAAAAUUUUUAGUAUUAUUUUAACCUUUCAGACAAUAAAAUUUUUAAUUAUUAGACUCUUGAUAUACUCUUAAAAACAAUCUACAUUUUUUUCUAAAUCUAGACCCAUUUUUGGCCUAGCUCGGUCAAUCCAAAAAAUAACUCAUUUUCCUGUUCAAAAAUAAUAAAAUAAUUUUAUAUUAAUAUUUUUAUAUUUAAAUAUAAAUUUAUAAAUAUUUUUACUUUAAAAUUUGAAGCGAAUAUAUAUUAUUAUAUAAAAUUUGAAAUUUAUUAAAAUUUACGAAAUAAUAGAUUAGUGUUAAAUGUGAUAAAAGGUCAUAAUAAUAUCAAAAUAAGUUUAUAACUUAAAUGUUUUAAUUAUAAAUAUGAAAAUUUAGAAGGUUAUUUUGGGAAGUGUAUAUAUAUAUAUUAGAGAAGAGAGAGAAUAGGAGGAACGGUAAGAGAGGGAAAAUAUUUAAAAAGUGAAAGUUUGAUUUCUUAUUUACCUUUGCCUCUCAGCCUCCAUGCUCUUCCAUCAUUCCUUUUCUCCUCUCUUUUGCACUAUCCUGCCCCCUACUUCUUUCCAACAACCCUACUUCCAUCAUUCCAUCUUUCUCUUCAACAUCAUCACAAAUAUACAUCAAAUUUUAUUAAUAUGGAGAAAUUAGAUUUAUCAAAAAAAAAAACCAUAAAUGGUUCAUACCUCUUAUCCUCGACGGGGGAUUAAAGCGAAGAACAUUUUUAUAGUUUGGAUGGUCAUCCCACUCCAACGAUUCCCACCAUUCUUUCCAUGACCUGAUGGUAAGAGAAGGUGGAGCAUAUGCAAAUGGCUGCCCAUUGCCAACAAGGGGAACAAAUGGAGGAAUUCUCUUCAGUUUAUCACAUCUAAUAAUAUGGAUAAGUUGGAGAGAAUCACAAACCAUCACUCCGCUUUUGCUGCAAAUGCUCUUCAAAUUUGGUAAUACACUGAACGACAAUUUUCUCAAUUUGGGAAGAUGGAAUUUGAUUAAUGCAUCACUCCCUUUUUCUUCAACUUCUGAUGUUUCUGCUCCCAAUAUUUCUACUAACUCAUCACAAUGAUCCACUGACAUUUCUUCCAGGUUUUGGAGGUUUGGAAGCAACCAAUGUGGAAGCAACAUCUUCAUACUUGAGCAGCUGUAUAUCGUAAUUUCCUUAAGAUGGGAAAAGCUGGCAGACGGAGCCACUGUUGAUGUUGUUGCUGAACCAAUUCCUGCAUCUUUUAUAAUAAGGGCACUCAACUUUGGCAGAUCUCCAAGAUCUAACACCUCGAGGCUCUGAAAUGGAUGAGCGGAAGAAGAGACAAAAGAGGACGGGGAAGCAACACACUCUAUCCCUUCACACCCCCAAAUACUACAAACCCUCAAGUCAAUCGCAUUUUUGAAGGAAGAAUUAUCAUCGACUAAGUUUCUCGAAUAGUCGCACUUUAAAAUAUUCAACUCUUGAAUUUCAAUUGGGUACAUAAUUAACUCACCUUCCCAAUUGUCGACUCCUCCAAUUGCUACUGUUUUAUCUCUUGUAGGAGGCAUAAAAGAUGGGCCCAGCUGUAAAGAGGACCUGAUGAAAGAUGAGCCCACCUGUAAAGAGUACUUGAUGAGAUUUUUCUUACUUUGUUGCAUUGAGGAGAUGAACUUAUUGAAUUCACUGAUGUCUUCGAAAUGUCCGGUUAAGCACUCCAACUUCUUCAGUGGUUCCAUCUCCUCUGCUUUUAGACUAAUUUGUUUAUCAAAACCCAAGUGCUGAAGGUGAAUGAGUUUUGGUAAAAGUCCAGCGGGUAUCUCUUUCAGAGUGCGCACUUGAAGAUCAAGAUAUCUUAGCUUUAUCAACAUAUCCAUUCCUUCAGGGACUUCCUCAAUUUUAGUCCCAGAAAGAUCCAACUUCUUCAAUUCUUGAAGCAUCGAAAGACAUGGUAGGUCUCUUAAAUCAUAACAACCACGAAGCAACAAUGUUGUGAGGUUCUUUAGUUCAGAGAUGGAAUUUGGUAAACUUUUGAUCUUCGUAGAGGACAAAUUGAGAACACUAAGACAGGGCAUGUUUGUGAAGAAAGAAUAUGGGAUCUUCUUUAUAGGGUUACCCUGCAAUAACAAGGUUGAGAGCAGUUGACAUUUUGUGGGCUGCACAUCUAUGGAAAUUUCUGAUAUGGAGUUAUACAUAAGUGACACUCUCUCAAUAUCCGGACUCCAUUGCUCCUUUUCUGGUAACUCUUCUAAUUGCAAACCUGCUUGUAUCAUAUAUCGAGGAUUCAUUCUUGUGAUCGACAAUGCCAUGUCUCUCACUGCAUCAUGCAUUUUCACGGUUACACUCGAGACAUUUUCCAACAAGCAAUUAUCUUCUAAUUUCUUCAAAAUAACAUGACCCUUAUCUUUCAUUUCUUGUCUUGUACUCAUAUCAUCUAUGAAUCCCUCAUCAAUCCAGCACUCAAUUAGCCCAUUCUUCCAAAUUUGACAAUCUUCAGGAUAUAAUGCGCAAUGUAAGAAACAAUGCUUCAUUUUCUCUUCUUUUAAGUGAUUGAAGCUAACUUUCAUACUCUCGAUCACUUUAUCUUCCCCUUCUUUCACUUUCCCUAUUCUCUCUUUCAAUUCCCUGAGUGUGUUUUUCCAAAUAAGAGGGUCAUCUUCUCCUCUCAAUGUACCAGAUAUGACGACAAUUGUAAGAGGCAGACCUGCACAUUCCUUGACAACCAGCUUCAAAGUUGGCAUUAAAGUUUGAUUUUGCACUAUGUUAGGUCCAACUUCACUCAAGAAUAGUAUUGGAAAUUGGCCAACCAUGCUGCUGUUACAUUUUGUGGUUGAAGUGCAUGCAGCUUGAUGACAUGCUGCAGCACAUAUGCUUGCUGUAACAGCAAGGUUUCUCUUUAGUUUCAUUCUAAUUAAUCUAGUUUAAAAUGGACAAGUUGAUGACAACUUGAUGCAUUAGGUGUUGAAUGACUAGUUUAGGUGGCUUGUUUAUGUGUACAAGCAAUGUUUUAAUAGUCCCAAUGCUGAUUAGUGGGGUUAGUUGACUAUUUGGUGAUGUAUUUGACUAUAAAUGUAUGUUUUUUCUAGUUGAAUGAAUGAGCUGAAUGAGCUAUCAGCCAUUAGCUCCCUUGCUGCACAUUUGUGAGCAAGUAAAAAUGCUUCUUGCACCUUGCUUCAUGUUCUGUGCUCUUGUUCUCUCUUUUGUUGCUGCCUCUUGCACCAACAAAUAGUAUCAAUGCCUCUUCUUCUGAAAGGGGCUUCACUUUUAUCACCUUACAGCCCAUAGACUUACAAACUUGCUCCACACGGGUUGUCAACACCAACUUGUACCCAUUGCUGCUACUUGGCUUAGGGAUCCCAAUUUCUUCCAACAAGACUUCACUCCACACAUCAUCUAGGAUUAGAACAUGUUUUCCUGCUCUCUUCAGCAUUUCGGACAAGAUUGCUGCUCGUCUGACCUUGUUUGCCUCUUUGGGAAUCUUUCCAUUCAAUGCACUUGCAAUAUCAUUUUGUAACUUCACAAUAUUGAACUCCUUUGAUAUAGUAACCCAAACCACCCUUUCAAAUCGCUGUUCUUUCAAAAGAUCAUUGUGAAUGUGCUUCAUGAUGGUCGAUUUACCCACGCCGCCCAUCCCCCAAACCCCAAUCUCGCUUACCUCCUCCUGCAUCAAACAUGCCCAAAUCUCUUUUCUGACAGCUUCCUGUCCAACUAGUUCUGAUGUUUCCAGUGGCAACCCAGCACUUGGACCAUCCAUGGCAAGACCUUCAGAGGCAUUAGGAGCUUUAUCAAGAAAUCCCUUCAUUUCUCGAGUCUUUUCAUCAACCAGCUUCCCGUUGCAAGCACGACAGAGAUAUCUCCCGUUCCUGACUUUGUUUUCAACAACUUGUGCUUCCGUAAUCAUCUCUUUCACAUCUUUCAACCAAUUUUCAACUCCCUUCUUCGGUAUCUUCCCCAGAGGACGAAGAAGCUCUGCUUUCAGUUGCAGCUCUAUAUCUUCCAUUUUGCAAUUCAAUUCAUCUGUGAUCCUCUUGAAGUUUCUCACAUAAUCGUUCAGCUUUCUGUGAUAUUGCAAAUAUUUACAAAAAGGAGGUCCGAGACAAUUUGCAAUGCCGACAACAGGCUCUACGUACUCCAUUGCUAUGUCCCUGCAAUGCAAUCAUAUAUAACAGUAGCAGAGAAUGAAAAUUUGUGAAUGAAUUGGAUAUUUUAUGAAGUAUUGAUAUGUCAGUGUAAGCAUGAAAAGGAAAACAUGAAUGCAAGUUCCAAGCAAUGGCGUUUAUUAGAUGGAGCUAUGGAUGGGUGGCAGACAGAAACAUGAUGAAAUUCUGGUCACCAUUGUAUAUCCAGAAUCAACCUCUCAAACUAUAUAACAUGCUAGAUUCAAGUGUGCAAGAGUUCAUUACAUAAUAUUAAGAGGUAAAAUGUUCAACAGCAUGAGAUUUCAACAUUAUAUUGCUUCUGGGUAGCGCUUUUCGUAUUAAUUUGUAUCUGUAGUAGACUAUGUCUGCUGAUCAUCCUGUCUUAAAAUUGAUAAUCAGUAGAGGAAAUCAUUGCUUCAGAUCGUAUUACCUUGACUAUCUAACAAAGCAUAGCUUUUUUCGUAUUAAUUUGUAUCUAUAGUAGAUUAUGUCUGCUGAUCAUCCUGUCUUAAAAUCCAAAACUGUUGAUAAUCACUAGAGGAAACCAUUGCUUGAGAUCUUAUUACCUUGACAAUCUUACAAAGCUAGCUGCUAUAACAGUAGCUGAUAAUAAAAAAACAUUGUAUAGUCAUGAAUUAAGCAAAUGAAAGAAAACUACCUUGACUGGAUGCUUGAAAAUUAGUGAUAGACGUUGGAGAUCAAAAGAAAUUAAAAAGAGUGAAGAAGAAGGUGAAAACAGAAAUAAGCAAAAUUGUGAUAGGAAUUACUGGGAAAGUAUGUGAAGAAGAAGAAGAUAGAGAAAAUAAUUAAUAAUUAAUGGGAAAGCAUCAUUACAUGGAUAUGAGUAAGAAAUCCAUCUUUUUUUUUACUUUUUUCUUUGCUGUCACCCAUUAUAAUUGGCAUUAAAUAAUAAUAAUUAUAAUAAUUAGGCUUAAUGAUAAAUUUGAUCACUAACUUUUACUUGUUUUGUCAAAAUGACCCUAAUUCUAUUUUUGAACUUUUAUUUACCAUCUACCUUUGUUUCAAUAUUUCUUUUCUUUCAAAAAAUUUUCAAUCUUUCGUAUGUUUGUUUACUGAGAAGUUAUUCUACCGAGGUAAUUUUUUUUUUUAAAUAAUUACUCAGCAACAAUCGUAAGCGAAGGUUUUGGUAUGUGACUUCCCAAAUAAACCUUUGUUUUGCUUUUACCCUUCUUUGGGUUUGUUGAGAAAUUUUGUGUGAUUUUGUUGAUAUCAUUUUUCAGGUUAUGCAGCGAAUAGGUAAAGAUGAAUGGAUAAAUACUUCUGGGUUUCUUGUUUUCUUAAUUAGCGUUUAGGGUUUAAUUAAAAAAAUUGUGUUUUUGUUUAACAUUUUAUAGAAUCGACCCAGAAGAGAGUUUUGUCAAAGUAGUGAAGAAAUAUGGGCUUCCCCAAGAUGAAGGUGUAAAAUCCUUCAUUUCCAACCCGCCAGCCCAGCCUUCUGGUAAAAUGUUUUUGGAUAUUUUCUUAUAAUAAGAGUGUACAUUCUGGAAAUGUAUUGGGAAAAGAAAGGGUUGUGUUGGUUAUGAUGAGUAAGGCUACCAUGAGGUGCUGGAGAGGAGAGGUGGAAUUUUAGCAUUGAAACAGAUAGUGAGGGUAAUAGUUGAUCCUCUUCUGCUUUAAUGUUUUACUUGACACAUCAGUUAAUUUGAAACGUAGGAGAUUUUGCAGUGUGUCACGAGUACAGAGUGACAAAGAAAUUAUGAGAGAAGUACAGGCAAUCAUGGCACGAAUUGUUUCAACUAAUACUUACUUGUCAUGCCUUGAUGAACCAUGUAGAGCACUAUUUGAGUUCAAUUUUUUAAAAGCUUUCCCAUGCCCCAAUAUGUGUUAAUGAUGUAUGAUUUGUUAGGGAUGAUACAUUAGUUUUUAAAUAAUAUUUAAAGCAACAAUGUCGUGAGGUUCCUUAGUUCAGAGAUGGAAUUUGGUAAACUAUCGAUAUUCGUAGAGGACAAAUUGACACAAAGGUAAGGCAUCUUUCUGAAGAAAGAAUAUGGGAUCUUCUUUAUAGGGUUAUGCUGCAAUAACAAGGUUGUGAGCAGUUGACAUUUUUUGGGCAGCACAUCUAUAGGAAUUUCUAAUAUGGAGUUAAGCAUUAGCGACACUUUCUCAAUAUCCGGACUCCAUUGCUCCUUUUUUGGUAACUCUUCUAAUUCCAAGCCUGCUUGUAUCAUAUAUCGAGGAUUUGUACUUGUGAUCGACAAUGCCAUGCGUCUCACUGCAUCAUGCAUUUUCACUUUUGCACUCGAGACAUUUUCCAACAAGCAGUUAUCUUCCAACUUUUUCAAAAUAGUAAGGCCCUUAUCUUCCAUUUCUUGUCUUCUAUCCAUUUCAUCUAUGAAUCUCUCAUCAAUCCAACACUCGAUUAGUUCAUCCUUACUAAUUUCAAAAUCUUCAGGAUAUAAUGCACAAUACAAGAAGCAAGAUUUUACUUUCCCAUCUUUCAAGUGAUCAAACCUAAAUUUCAAAUGCUUGACUACCUCAGCUUCCACUUCUUCCACUUUCGCUAUUCUCUCUUUCAAUCCCUUGAAUGCAUUUUUCCAAAUGCGAGGGUCAUCUUCUCCUUUCAUGGUCCCAGCUACCACAACAAUUGGAAGAGGUAGACCCGCACAUUCGUUGACAACAAGCUUCAAAGUUGGCAUUAUAGUUGGAUUUUGAACUAUGUUAGGUCCAACUUUAUUCAAGAAUAGUAUCAAUGCCUCUUCUUCUGAAAGGGGCUUUACUUUUAUCACCUUUCAACCCAUAUACUUACGGACAUGCUCUGAAUGGGUUGUCAGCACCAACUUGCAGCCAUUGCGGCCACUCGGCUCGGGGAUCCCAACUUCCUCUGGAGAGACUUUAUCCCACACAUCAUCUUGGAUUAGAGCAUGUUUUCCAGCUCUCUUCAGCAUUUCCGAUAAGAUUGCUGCUCGUCUAACCUUGUUUCCUUCUUUGGCCAAAUCUUCCUUCAAGUUCAAGGCACUUGCAAUGUCAUCUUGUAACUUGAUAACAUUAAAAUCCUUUGAUAUAGUAACCCAGAUUACGCUUUCGAAUCUUUGUUCUUUCAAAAGAUCAUUGUGGAUGUGCUUCAUGAUAGUGGUUUUACCCACACCGCCCAUUCCCCAAACCCCAAUCUUGCUCACCACCUCCUGCAUCAAACAUAACCAAAUCUCAUCUCUCACAGCUUUCUCACCAACUAGUUCUGAUGUUUCCAGUCGCAACCCACCACUUGGACCAUCAAUGGCAAGACCUUCAGAGGCAUUAGGAGCUUUAUCAAGAAAUUCCUUCAUUUCUCGAGUCUUUUCGUCAACCAGCUUCCCGUAGCAAGCAAGACAGAGAUAUCUCCCGUUACUGACUUUGUUUUCAACAACUUGUGCUUCCCUAAUCAUCUCUUUCACAUCUUUCAACCAAUUUUCAACCCCCUUUUGGUAUCUUCCCGGGAGGCCGAAGCUCUGCUUUCAAUUGCAGCUCUAUAUCUUCCAUUUUGCAAUUCAAUUCAUCUCUGAUCCUCUUGAAGUUUCUCACAUAAUCAUUCAGCUUUCUGUGAUAUUGCAAGUAUUUACACACAGGAGUUCUGAGACAAUUUGCAAUGCCAAGAACAGGCUCUACGUACUCCAUUGCUAUGUCCCUGCAAAGCAAUCAUAUACAACAGUAGCAGAUAAUAAAAACCGUGAAUGUAUUGGAUUUUUUAUGAAGUUUAGAUAUGUCAGUGUAAGCAUGAAAAGGAAACAUGAAUGCAACUUUCAAGCAAUGGCAGACAGAAGCAUGAUGAAACUCUGGUCACCAUUGUAUAUCGUUUACCGAAUCAAUAAUUAAUAAAAAAAUUUAAAUCUAUAAAAUCAUUUAAUAAAACAACAACAACAACAACUUAAGGGUAGUCUUCUGCUUUCAUAUUUAUUUGCAAAUUAAUAUAAUAUAAUUACUUAUAAUUAUAAUGAAUUCAUUGGUAAUGCUUUUAUGGGUUGCCUACCGUUCAAUUAAGGGAUGGACUUUAGGUUUUGGCUCAUAGGCUUGGGUUUGGGUCUAAAAUUAGGCCAUGCCUUCACAUUUAGAAAAUAAUUUGUCUUUAUUUAUUUAUUAUUUCAUAUAGCAUUUGGUGGAGAUUUUUAAAUUUAUUAGAUUCUAAUGUAACAUGAAUUGAAUAUGAUUUGAAGUAUUUAAUAUUCAGUUCAUUUUUAAAUAUUUUAUUUUUAACAUAUAUUAAUUCAACUAUUAUAAUAGAAAAUGUUCAAAUUAUAAUUAAAUUAUUUUUAUCAUAUUCAACAUAUAAUAUAACUUUACUUUAUGUGAUUAAUGCAAAGUAACAUUACUCACAAUAAUAACUCUAUUUUAUAUCAAUAAAAUUAGCACAAACUUUUUUACGUCUAAAGUUUUUUAACUAAUAAUUGUAAUUAUUGAUUAUAAUUAUAAUUGUAAUGAUCAUAUUUUUUAUAUAUUAUAUGUUUAGUGUUUCAAGUAAUAACUCUAUUUUAAAAUUAGCGCAACUUUUUAACUAAAAAUUGUAAUUAUUUUUAAAUGUGUAAUUAUCACGACUUCUAUUUUAAUUCAAUUUUUUAUUUUUAAAUAUAUUUUUUUAAUAUGAUGAAAAACAAAAAAAUAUUCUCCUCUAUUAAAAACAAUUUCUAAACUCGUGAUUUUAUAUUAUUUAUAUAUAAGCGUGUUAAAUAUUUUUUAUAUGGAUUUUAUUUCUUUUAAAGGCAUCAAUUUAAAAUAUUUGGUGAUUUCUUAUGACAUGUUCAUCAUAUAUGUAUUUAAAAGUAAACAUUUAUUUAUUCAAAAAUUUCUAAUACUUUUUUUCAUGAUUAUAAAUUUAAAUCUUAACAUUUAUUUAUUUUUUGUAAAUUUGACCUUUAUUCUUUUUUUUAGUAAGCUUUCAAAAAAAAAUCAAAUUUAUUUUUUCCUAAUGAAAAUGCUGACUAAAAUAUUAAUUUUUAACAAUGUGGUGUGGCAAACCGCAUGACAGUACAUGUGUAUUUCAUGUUGACAUAGCAUAUGUCACAUCAAUAAAUAAUUUAAAAAUUAUAAAAAUAUACAAAAACAAAAAUUUCAAAUUUCAAAAUUCAAAAAAUAUAUAUAUAAGGUUCAUGAAAAUUUUUAAAAAUAGCAUAAAGUACACGUGAAUUGCUAUACGGGCUAUCAUGUUUAAAAUUUUAACAUUUUAGGUAGUAUUUCCAUUAAAAAAUAACAAUUCGACUCUUUUUGAAAUGUUAAUAAUCAAAAUUGACUCUUUUUAAAAGGAAGAAUGCCAAAUUUAGCUUUUUAAAAAAAAAAGAAUAAGAGUCAAAUUGAAAAAAAUAUAAACGUUAAAUAUUAACAUAAUUUUAAAAGUUUUUGUUCCUACAAUUAGUUAUCAUAAAACAUUUAAACAUGUUCAUUAUUCCAUAAAUAAAUCUUGAUUAAGUCUUUAUACUUUAUAUUUAUCUAAAAUUUUUAAUUUUUUUUUUAUAAAUCACAAAGUGUCCUUGUCCAUUUUACAAUUUGGAUAUAGACUGUUCGGGUUGGGAGUGGUAUUCAAGUAAUUUGUAGCGUGAAGUGCAAUUAGAGAUUCAUUUCAUUUUUUUGGGCUAUCCAGAUUAAUAUUUUCAUUUAGAAUGAUUUAUGGUUGGCUUGGUUGAACCGAUAAAAUGAAGCAUCCAGGCUCCGUUUAAAAAAAAAAUCCAAUUGGUAAUACAUUUAUGAUUACCACACCUAUAUCAUAAUCAUAAAUCUUUUUUAUGACAAGUUCUAAAUAGAAAUAAGAAUGAUUUCAAACUACUAAUCAAUCAAAUAAUACUACUAAUCAAUCAAAUAAUAUAAGAAAUACGUUGAAUAUCUUGUGGAAAACAUGAAAGAAAAAGGAAUUAAAUUAAAAUAAAAAAGGAAAUGAAAUCAUAGCAAAAAGAUGUGGUAUUGGGUCAUUUGUCUUAUAUUCGCAAAUCAAAAUCUGGCGAAUCUUUAUUCGGAGUAGAGCAUAAACCUAAAAAAAUUGAAUAAAAAAUUGAUGGAAUCCAUCCAGGAACAAGAAAAUGACAUUGAGAUUUGGAUUGAAUCCCAAUGAAAAAAAUAGAUCAAUGAAAAGUUUGUACGAUAAAUUUAGCGAAUUUUUUUCUAUAUGAAUUUUUUUCUAUAUUAUAGAUUAUAGGAAAACGAGCCAAAACUUAGCUUUCUUUAAUUUCAUUUUGAAUUUCAGUUUAUUUAAAAAAUGUAAGAAAAAGUCCCUUCAUCAAAAAUUAAAAGUUAGAAAAGGCACACUAGAAAAAACUAAGGAUGGCUGGAAUCUACACUUUGAUUUUUUUUUUCACAAUUUUUAUUGAAUCGUAUGCAUCAAAAGAUGCCUGUACAGCUACUAAGAGAUACAAUUUUAUCCUAAUCAACUAACUUUAUCGAUAAAAAUUACUUUUUUUAGGCCUAGAGUUUGAUAGCGAGAUCUCGAGUCAACAUAUUGGCGUCUUAUGGUAUAUCUUAGUAUAGAGAACGAUACCAAAGAUCUAUAUUUGUUUAUAAACUCUCCUGGUGGAUAGGUAAUACCCAGAGUAGCUAUUUAUGAUACUAUGCAAUUUGUGCAACCAGAUGUGCAUAGAAUGUGCAUGGGAUUGGCUGCUUCAAUGGGAUUGUUUCUGCUGGUCGGAGGAAAAAUUACCAAACGUCUAGCAUUCCCUCACGCUCAGUGCCAAUGAGUUCUUUAUGUGAUGAAAAGGAAAAAUAAGUUUAUACCUUUGACAUAUAAAAUAUGAAAUAGUAAGUAAUAAUAUCUUGGCACUUCGAAUUCGAUAUGAAAUUUUUAUUUUUUUUCAAAAUAAUAAAUUAUGUAUCAAAAGAGUAGUAUGAGAGAAAGGGCAUUUCCAAUUUUAUCUUAGCUGUCGUGGGCUCAUCUGAGCGUCACAAACCUUUUUUUUUCUUCUCACACCAAAGGCUAUUAACAAUAUUUAUGUUAUAAAUAAAAGAGUAUAAAAAAAAGACUAUUUCUUUCUUUCUUUCUUUCUUCAAAAAAAAUAAAAAGAAAUUUUGGGAUUGUUGAAUCAUAGACGAAAUAAAUAUAUAAAGCAACGGAGCCAUCAUAGUAUUUUUGAACUUGUCCGAAUAAAAAAAGAAGGGUAGUAAUUGGAUUAUUUAGUGAUCUGGGUCUAAUAGACGCUCUCUAUAUUUUCUCUUUUUCUUUUUUCGAUGAAAGAAAAAAAGAGAAUUCCAUCGUAAAGUCGUAUGUAAUGCGCAAAAUAUGCUUUCAAUCACUUUAGCGGUUCAGCUGAUUGGAUACCUAAUCUGCCAUGAAAUUUCAAAUUUGUUCUUGAACAAUCUGAAUUUCCUUCAGAUGUUAUCCCUUAGAUUCCCUUGGAUAAUUGAAUUUUAAUUCCGAUACCUGACGUCGUUAUAAAAUCCUUCAUCAUAGUAUAGUAAGUUGAUGUUUUGGUUCUUAAGAUUGGUAACAUAAGCUGAUUAUGUCUGCAAUGACUCCCUUUCGAUUGCGGGCAAAUGCAUCCGAUAAACUGAGCUUGGAUUUUUCGACUUGAGAAGAAGGCUGUGACAAGCCAUCACUGAACCCUACCUUCCCAUAGCAACCCUUCUUCUUCUUGGUCAUCUUCCCUGUCAUUGUCAAGUUCUUGAGCUAUGAAAUCCUUAUUUAUGGCAGCUCUGAAACCUGCAGCUUCCAUUGCAGGAGAAGGAGAUAUAAAUAAUGGAGAGUGGUACUGAAAUGUUGAAAUCAGAGUAAGAUGGAAGUGGAAAAAGUCGAAGGACCACAAGCUAACAUUAAUUUGUCUCACGUUUUUUCUUUAUGCAGUUUAGGAUUUAAUCCAAAAAGAAACAGAUGUAAGAUAACAUUAAUUUAAUAAAUCCUAGCAGUCAACUACCUAUACCUAUACCUAAAUUCUUAAUUAACUAUUAGUGUUGUUAAGUUAUCGGAUAAUUACUUCCUCUCAUCUUAAAUAAAAAAAAAAUCAUUAUCUCCAGUUUUUUUUUUUUUCAUUUAGUUUAAAUCAUUCUCUGUUUUUCAAAAAUCUGAGGUAAAAUCAGAUCUUACAUGUGUCGUGGACGAGAACUAUUUGGUUGUAUUUUUCUUAUAAAAAUUGUGGUAAUUUACAAAUAUUUAGAAUUGUGUUGGGGCACUGCAAUUGUUCAUUAGUGUUUAAAUUAUUAUAACGUUGAAGGUAAAGCAAUCGUUUGAAAUCAAGCUAAUCUCAGAGGCGAUAGAAACUAUUUAAGACUACGCUAAUGUAAUAAAGCGAGCUAUUGUUCGAUAAAUGAUCUUUAGUGAAUUGGAAAUGAACCCUUGCUGGAAGGGUGCCUUUACUGUGAAUAAAUGCCUUUAUGAGUCAUACCGUGGAUUGUACUACUGAACUGAAUCCAAGUCUUGACUUAAAUUUUUUUUAUUGGUAUAUUGAUGGAUAGUGCUUUCGUCUGGCUUAUAUGAACUUUACUUUGUAGUUUGAUGGAUGGUAGUCAUUGACUUGACAAUAUACAAUGACUAAUGAGAUUUUUGAAAUUCAUGCCUUUUUAACUUUUUUAAGGCAAUAGUGUUUUUAUUCAUAGUUGACUUGUAUAAAUUUCACUUUGUGAUUUAGUGAGUAGUGUGUCUAUUGGCCCAACAAUCGAGGAAUAUAUAAUGCAUAUUAUCACGAGUUGUAUAGUUGUUGAUUGAAUGAUCUAGAGUUAUAUUUUUGGAGAUACAUAUGUCUCACUUUUGUAGAGAGCUACUAAAUGGUUCACAAAGGGGCCCUACUGUCGUUUUUUGGAGAUAUGCUUCAUCUCUAUGGAGAGUGAUUAAACGGUUUAUGGGGGGCUUGAUUGUCAAUUUUUGGUGUUAUGCCUCACCUCUAUGGAGAGCUGUUGGACAGUUCAUGAAGGGCCUUGACUGCUAAUUUUUGGAGAUAUGUCUCACCUUCGUGGAAAGUCGUAGAACGGUUCACUGAAAGACCCAACUAUCAAUUUUUGGAGAUAUGUUUCACCUCCAAGAAGAGCCAUUGAAUGGUUCACGGAGGGGCCCAAAGGUGCCUAAAUAUGAAAAGUUGAGAAAUCUAAAAGACUGCUAAACUAAAAUUUGAAUUUCAAAGUUUGAUAACUAAAAUAUAACUUCUUGAAAACUUAAUGGUUAAAAUUAUAGUUUAUCUUUUUUUUAAUUUAAAAAUAAUAAAAAUGUACAAUGCUAUGUAAUGUAUAAGAUGACAUGGCAAUUUCACAAGUUAUUGACAAGUGUUUGGUAUUGCCAUGUCAUCUUAGUCACUAACUAUUGGGUGGCUAAUCAUUAGUAUUGAUGUCUAAAUAUAUAAUUUUAAUAUUUGGGUCAUCAAAUUCAAAUAUAUAAAAUAGGCAACUUUAUGUAAAUAUGAUAUAAUAGUAAUGACUAUAGCAUAAAAAUAAUUUAUUGAUUACAAUCCCUAUUUUAUAAACUAAAAUAUAAUUGUACUACAAGUUCUAUAAUUAUAAAUAGUUAAUUUAUAAUUUUAUAUUAUUUAAAUUAAAUUCGAGUUGGACCAACUCGAGAUAUGGUGAGGUCUGUAGUCAACUUGUAUUCCAUAUUAUUUACUUUAAAAGUGGAAGCGUAUAUAAAUUUACGAAAUAAUAGACUAGUGUUGAAUGUAAUAAAAGACCAUAAUAAUAUUUGAUUCGAUAUCAUAUCAAAAUAAGUUUAUAACUUAAAUGUUUUAAUUGUAAAUAUGAAUAUAUAGAAGGUUAUUUUGGGAAUUACAUAUAUAUUUUAAAAGAAAUAAAGUUAAUUUUAAGAGAAGAAAAAGAAAAUAGAAGGAAUGAUAAGAGAGGGAAAAUGUUUAAAAAGUGGAGGCAGUUUGAUUUCUUGUUUACCUUUGCCUCUUAACCUCUUCCUUCCAUCAUUCCUUUUCUCCUCUCUUUUGCACUAUCCUUCUUUCCCACCUACACUUUCAUCUUUCUCUUCAACAUCAUCACAAUUAUACUUCCAAUUUUAUUCAUAUUGAGAAAUUAGAUUUAUCAAUAUGAAAAAAUAAAGUAUACCAUACACGGUACAUACACAUACCUCUUAUCAGGUCGAAGCGAAGAACAUUUUUAAAGUUUGGAUGGUCAUCCCACUCUAACGAUUCCCACCAUUCUGUGUUUGACGUGAUGGUAAGAGAAGGUGGAGCAUAUGCAAAUGGCUGCCCAUUGUUGAAGUAAUGGUCAGCAUGCAGCAACCAAGACUGUCAAAGGCACUACAUGCAGAAGCUGCUGGUUCACCUAGUCAGCAAGCUGUUUAUGUUUCAUUUUGUAAUUUUAAGUUAGAGUAAUGUAACUUAGUUGCUUUAUAACUAUGUUAGGUUUAUGUUUGAUGUAAUUUUGAUGUUGACUGAGCUGAUAAAUCAGCUUUGUUUGUUUAUUCAAGCUAAUUAGCACAAGUUACUAUGUGUAUUAGUGGUAGUAGGUGAAGUUUAGGUCAACCUACUGUUUUGUCAAGAUUGUAAACUUGUUUUAUGUAUUGGCUUUAUGCCAUAUUUAGUAUGAUGAAUGAAUUCAAGAAGUUAUCAUCCAUAUGCUCUCCAUUUUUAGUUUUUCUUAAAAAUCCAUUUGAGUUUUCUGCUUUGUUUCUCCUACAAGUCACGAGACUUGUCAUACAAGCAUUCUGCUGAAGCUUGCUGCUGCUGCCUCUUGCUCCAACAAUUGGUAUCUAGAGCCACAUUCUUAGAGGACCUGUUGUAGUUCAGUAUCAAAACGAUGGCAUCAUCAGGUUUUUCACCAGCUUCACCACCUAUCUUCAAUGGAGAGGGCUUCAACAUUUGGGCAGUUAAGAUGAGGACUUACCUGCAGGCAUUCGACCUAUGGGAAGUUGUUAACUCAGAUGCUGAGCCAGCACCUCUUCGAGCUAAUCCAACAGUUGCUCAAAUAAGGCAACACACUGAUGAAAGGACAAAAAGGCACAAGGCCAUGUCAUGCAUACAGAAUUGUGUGACAGAUGUGAUCUUUAUGAGGAUCAUGGCCUGUGAGACACCAAAGGAGGCUUGGGACAAGCUGAAAGAAGAAUUUCAAGGGACUGAGAAAACAAGGCAACAACAGCUGCUCAAUUUGAGAAGAGAUUUCGAAAAUCUCAAAAUGAAAGAGGAAGAAACAGUUAAGCAGUACUCAGACCGGAUUAUGGCUGUUGUAAACAGCAUAAGGCUCCUAGGAGAGCAAUUCAGUGAAGCUAGAAUGGUUGAGAAAGUCAUGUCCACUCUACCAGAGAGGUAUGAAGCUAAAAUUUCAUCCCUCGAAGACUCAAGGGACUUGACAACUAUCUCCUUAACUGAGCUAAUCAAUGCCUUGUAUGCACAAGAGCAAAGAAGAGCUAGCAGACAAGAGGAGCACCAGGAAGGGGCUUUUCAAGCCAAAGAAGCCUCGAGCAUCAAAACUCAUAAAGGCAAAAAGUUCUGGAAAAACAGGCCUAAGCCUGAUGCUGCUAAGAGCAGUGACCAACUCUGCAUACAUUGUAAAAGAGCUGGUCAUCCAGAAGAUAGAUGCUGGUUUAGACCAGAUGCAGUAUGCCAACACUGCAAGAAAAAAGGCCAUGUUGAAAAGGUUUGCAAGAAUAGAAGCAAACCAAGACAGAAUCAAUUUCAGCAACAAAAGGUGGAAGCUCGAGUAGCUGAAGAAAGCAGUGAUCAAGAAGAACAUGUUUUUGCUGUGUCAUGUGCAGCAAAUCAGAAGAAGGGUUCAAAGGGCUGGCUUUUAGACAGUGGGUGCACAAACCACAUGUCACCAGAUGCAACUAUCUUCAAAACCCUGGACAGAACCUGCAAAACCAAAGUAAAAAUUGGAAAUGGUCAGUUAAUCAAUACUGAAGGAAGAUGAGAUGUGCUGAUUCAUACUUCUACAGGUGGCAAAAUCAUUUCAAAUGUACUUUUGGUACCUGAAAUCGAUAGGAACCUUCUCAGUAUAACUCAACUACUUGAGAAAGGUUACUCAGUUGUUUUCAAGGAGAAAGAAUGUCAAAUUUUUGAUCCAAGUGGAUCAAAUCUUAUAACAGUCACCAUGACUGAUAAAUGUUUUGAAGUAGACUGGCCAAAUGACUCACAUUCAGCCUGCAUAGCCUCCACUGAUGACUCGAGACUCUGGCAUCAGAGGCUUGGACAUGCAAACUACAAAUCCAUAGCCCGCAUGGUCAAUGAAGGUCUGGCAGAAAAUUUCAUUGAUUCAGUGAAGAAUGAUGAGCUUUAUGAGAUAUGUCAGCAAGGAAAAUUGGCAAGAUUGCCAUUUCCAACAAGCACAACAUGGAGAGCAUCAGAGAAGCUCCAGCUUGUGCAUACAGAUGUGUGUGGACCAAUGAAGACUGAGUCUCUCAAAGGAAGCAGGUACUUUAUUUUAUUUAUUGAUGACUUAACAAGAUACUGCUGGAUUUAUUUUCUAAAACAGAAAUCAGAAGUACCAUCUAUGUUCCUGAAGUAUAAGGCUGCUGUUGAAACUGAGUCUGGUUGCAAACUUAGAGCAAUGAGGUCAGAUAAUGGAACUGAGUACACCUCAGCUCAGUUCCAAGUCUACUGUGAAGAAGCAGGUAUCAAACACCAGUUGACUAAUGUGUAUACACCCCAACAGAAUGGGGUCAGUGAAAGGAAAAAUAGAAGCUUGAUGAACAUGGCAAGAUGUCUUCUGUUUGAGAAGAAUUUGCCCAAAAGUCUGUGGGCUGAAGCUGUUAACACAGCAGUUUAUCUCCAAAACAGGCUCCCAACCAAGGCUCUGGCUGAGAAGACUCCAUUUGAAGCCUGGUUUGGGUUUAAGCCAUCACUGGCUCAUCUCAGAACCUUUGGUUGUCUGUGCUAUACUCAAGUUCCAGCUGAGAAGAGAAGCAAGCUAGAUAAAAGAGCUCAAGCAGGGAUCCUGAUCGGCUACAGCUUGGUUAAGAAGGGCUACAGAAUUCUAGAACCUGCUACAAACAAGAUAUUGGUUAGCAGGGAUGUUUUCAAUGAAAAAGGACACUGGAAUUGGGAGAAGGCUGAACCAGAGGCAGUGGCUGAAGAUCUGGCAGUGGACCAAGUUGAAAAUGAUGAAAACACACCUGAAAUGGAUGUAGAUGAUGUUCCAAUCAGAGGCACUCGAUCACUGACUGAUGUUUAUGAAAGAGCACAAGUGGCUACUGUUGAACCAAGUUGCUUUGAAGAAGCAGAAAACCAGGAGGACUGGAAGCAAGCAAUGAUUGAAGAAAUCAGAAUGAUUGAAAAGAAUCAGACCUGGAGUCUGGUUGAUAAACCAACAAACAGGAAGAUUAUUGGUGUCAAAUGGGUUUAUCGAGUAAAGAACAAUGCUGAUGGUAGCCUAAACAAGUUAAAGGCUAGAUUGGUUGUGAAAGGCUUCAGUCAAAGGUAUGGAUCAGACUACCUGGAAACCUUUGCACCAGUGGCCAGGCUAGACACUAUUAGACUGCUAGUUGCCUUAGCAGCACAAAAACAGUGGCUGAUACACCAACUUGAUGUAAAAUCAGCAUUUCUGAAUGGAUUCCUUGAAGAGGAGAUUUAUGUGGAGCAACCUCAAGGUUUCAAGGUGUCUGGCAAAGAAGAUAUGGUGUACAAGCUCAACAAAGCCUUGUAUGGCUUGAAACAGGCUCCAAGGGCCUGGUAUAGCAGAAUAGAUGGCUAUCUGACCAGUCAAGGAUUUGAAAGAAGUCUUAGCGAGCCAACUCUGUAUGUUAAAUCAACUAGUGCUGAAACUCAGCUCAUUGUCUCAAUAUAUGUCGAUGACCUACUGGUGACAGGAGGAGAUCAUGAGAUGCUAAGCAGUUUUAAAGUCAAAAUGCAACAGCACUUUGAAAUGUCAGAUUUGGGAUUGAUGUCUUACUUCAUAGGCAUGGAAGUAACUCAAGCUAAGAAUGGGAUUUGGCUAAGUCAAAAGACCUUUGCUAUGAAGGUUCUCAACAAAUUCUCAAUGGAGAAUUGCAAAGCAACCAGCACACCAGUUGCUGUUGGAGAAAAACUCUCGAGCCAAGACAAGCAUGAAAAGGUUUGUGAAACAACCUAUCGAAGUCUAGUUGGAUGUUUGUUGUAUUUGACUGCUACUAGACCUGACAUAACGUAUGCUGUGAGUCUACUCUCGAGGUUUAUGCAUUGUUCAAAUGAAAGUCAUUUUAGAGCUGCAAAAAGGGUUCUAAGAUACAUCAAAGGAACUUUGUCCUAUGGAAUGCAGUUUACCAAGGCUGAGAACUUGAGGCUAGUUGGAUAUUGUGACAGUGAUUGGGCUGGUUCUUUGGAUGACAUGAAGAGCACUACAGGUUAUGCAUUCAACAUAGGCUCUGCUAUGAUAUGCUGGAGCUCAAAGAAGCAAGGAGUAGUGGCUCAGUCGACUGCAGAAGCAGAAUAUGUGGCUGCUGCUGCAGCAGUCAAUCAAGCCAUAUGGCUUAGAAAAAUUUUGAAAGAUAUCAAUCAUGAGCAAAAGGAAGCAACUGAGAUAAUGUGUGACAACCAAUCAGCAGUUGCUAUUGCAAAGAAUCCUGUUUUUCAUGGAAGGACCAAGCACUUCAACAUCAAACUUCAUGCAGUUCGGGAAAUGGAACAAGCUCAUGUUGUUAAGCUGAUACAUUGCAGUUCUGAAGAGCAAAUUGCUGAUAUUUUAACAAAAGCACUAAGUGUUUCCAAGUUUCAACACCUGAGAACUAAUAUGGGAGUUUGCAACAUGCUAACCAAGGAGGAGUGUUGAAGUAAUGGUCAGCAUGCAGCAACCAAGACUGUCAAAGGCACUACAUGCAGAAGCUGCUGGUUCACCUAGUCAGCAAGCUGUUUAUGUUUCAUUUUGUAAUUUUAAGUUAGAGUAAUGUAACUUAGUUGCUUUAUAACUAUGUUAGGUUUAUGUUUGAUGUAAUUUUGAUGUUGACUGAGCUGAAAAAUCAGCUUUGUUUGUUUAUUCAAGCUAAUUAGCACAAGUUACUAUGUGUAUUAGUGGUAGUAGGUGAAGUUUAGGUCAACCUACUGUUUUGUCAAGAUUGUAAACUUGUUUUAUGUAUUGGCUUUAUGCCAUAUUUAGUAUGAUGAAUGAAUUCAAGAAGUUAUCAUCCAUAUGCUCUCCAUUUUUAGUUUUGCUUAAAAAUCCAUUUGAGUUUUCCGCUUUGUUUCUCCUACAAGUCACGAGACUUGUCAUACAAGCAUUCUGCUGAAGCUUGCUGCUGCUGCCUCUUGCUCCAACACCCAUUGCCAACAAGGGGAACAAAUGGAGGAAUUCUCUUCAGUUUAUCACAUCUAAUAACAGCGAUUAACUUGAGAGAAUCACAAAUCAUCACUCCACUUUUGCUACAAAUGCUCUUCAAAUUUGGUAAUUUCCGGAAUGCCAACACUCUCAAUUUGGGAAGAUGGAAUUGGAUUAAUGCAUCACCCCUUUUUUCUUCAACUUCUGAUGUUGCUGCUCCCAAUAUUUCUACUAUCUCAUCACAUUCUGACACCCAAAUUUGUUCCAGGUUUUGGAGGUUUGGAAGCAACCAAUGUGGAAGCAACGUCUUCAUACUUGAGCAUCUCUGUACAUCAAUUUCCUUAAGAUGGGAAAAGGUGGUAGACGGAGCCAAUGUUGAUGUUGUUGCUGAACCAAUUCCUGCAUCUUUCAUAAUAAGGGCACUCAACUUUGGCAGAUCACGAAGAUCCAAUAUCUCGAGGCUCUGAAGUGGAUGAGCGGAAGAAGAGGCAAAAGCGGACAGGGAAACAACACACUCUAUCCCUUUACAAUCAUAAAUCCUCAAGUCAAUCGCAUUUUUCAAGGAAAAAUUAUCAUCGACUAAGUUUCUCAAAUAGUGGCACUUUACAAUGUUCAACUGUUGAAUUUCAAUUGGGUGCAUAAUUAAAUCACCUUCCCAAUUCUGGACUCCUCCAAUUGUUACUGUUUUAUCUCUUGCAGCAGGCAUAAUAGAUGAGCCCAUAUGUAAAUGGUACUUGAUGAGAUUUUUCUUACUUUUUUGCACUGAGGAGAUGAACUUAUUGAAUUCACUGAUGUAUUCGAAACGUCCGGUGAAGCAUUCCAACUUCUUCAAUGGUUCCAUCUCCUCUGCUUUUAGACUUGUUUUUUCAUUGACCACAUUAAAACUCAAGUGCUGAAGGUGAACGAGUUUUGGUAAAAGUCCAGCGGGUAUCUCUUUCAGAGUGCCCACUUGAAGAUCAAGAUAUCUUAGCUUUAUCAGCAUAUCCAUUCCUUCAGGGACUUCCUCAAUUUUAGUCCCACAAAGAUCCAACUUCUUCAAUUCUUGAAGCAUCGAAAGAUAUGGCAGAUCUCUUAUUUGAUAACAGCCACGAAGCAACAAUGUUGUGAGGUUCUUUAGUUCAGAGAUAGAAUUUGGUAAACUCUCGAUCUUUGUAAAAGACAAAUUGAGAACACUAAGACAAGGCAUGUUUGUGAAGAAAGAAAUUGAGAUAUUCUUUAUAGGGUUGUUCUGCAAUAACAAGGUUGUGAGCAGUUGACAUUUUGUGGGAAAUACAUCUAUGGAAAUUUCUGAUAUGGAGUUAUACAUAAGUGACACUUUCUCAAUAUCCGGACUCCAUUGCUCCUUUUCUGGUAACUCUUCUAAUUGCAAACCUGCUUUUAUCAUAUAUCGAGGAUUCAUUCUUGCGAUCGACAAUGCCAUCUCUCUCACUGCAUCAUGCAUCUUUAUGCAAGGUUGACCAAGUACAUUGGUAAUAUUUUCCAACAAGCAAUUCUCUUCUAACUUCUUCAAAAUAACAUGGCCCUUUUCUUCAUUUUCUUGUCUUGUAUCCAUAUCAUCUAUGAAUCCCUCGUCAAUCCAGCACUCAAUUAGUUUAUCCUUUUCAAUUUCAAAAUCUUCGGGAUAUAAUGCGCAAUGUAAGAAACAAGAUUUCACUUUCUCGUCCUUUAAGUGAUCGAAGCUAAAUUUCAAACGCUCUAUCACUUUAGCUUCCACUCCUUCCACUUUUUCUAUUCUUUCUUUCAAUUCCCUGAGUGCGUUUUUCCAAAUAAGAGGGUCCUCUUCUCCUUUCAAUGUACCAGCUACGACGACAAUUGUAAGAGGUAGACCCGCACAUUCCUUGACAAUAAGCUUCAGAGUAGGCAUUAUAGUUUGAUUUUGCACUAUGUUAGGCCCAACUUUACUCAAGAAUAGUGUCAAUGCCUGUUGUUCUGAAAGGGGCUUCACUUUUAUCACCGUGCAACCCAUAUACUUACAGACAUGCUCCGAACGGGUUGUCAACACCAACUUGCAGCCAUUGCUGUCACUCGGCUCAGGGAUCCCAACUUCUUCUAGAGAGACUUCAUCCCACACAUCAUCUAGGAUUAGAACAUGCUUUCCUACUUUCUUCAGCAUUUCUGACAAGAUUGCAGCUCGUCUGAGCUUGUCUCCUUCUAUGGCCAAAUCUUCCUUCAACUUCAAAGCACUUGCAAUAUCAUCUUGUACCUUCAUUACAUUGAACUCCUUUGAUAUGGUAACCCAGAUUACUGUUUCGAAUCUUUGUUCUUUCAAAAGAUCAUUGUGGAUGUGCUUCAUGAUCGUGGUUUUACCCACACCGCCCAUCCCCCAAACCCCAAUCUUUUUUACCACCUCUUGCAUCAAACAUGCCCGAAUCUCUUUUAUGGCAGCUUCCUCCCCAACUAGUUCUGAUGUUGGCAGUGGCAACCCACCACUUGGACCAUCCAUGGCAAGAGCUUCAGAGGCAUUAGGAGCUUUAUCAAGAAAUUCCUUCAUUUCUCGAGUUUUUUCAUCAGCCAGCUUCCCGUUGCAAGCACGACAGAGAUAACUCCCGUUACUGACUUUGUUUUCAACAACUUGUGCUUCCCUAAUCAUCUCUUUUACAGCUUUCAACCAAUUUUCAACUCCUUUCUUUGGUAUCUUCCCCUGAGGACGAAGAAGCUCUGCUUUCAAUUGCAGCUCUAUAUCUUCCAUUUUGCAAUUCAAUUCAUCUCUGAUCCUCUUGAAGUUAAUCACAUAAUCGUUCAGCUUUCUGUGAUAUUGCAAAUAUUUACAAACAGGAGGUCCAAGACAAUUUGCAAUGCCAACACCGGGCUCUACGUAUUCCAUUGCUCUGCCCCUGCAACGCAAUCAUAUAUGUUAGUGUAUAGGAUUUUUGAAUAAUUUUUUAUAUGUUAGUGUAAGCAUGAAAAGGAAGCAUAAAUGCAAUGGCGUUUAUUAGAUGGAGCUAUGGAUAGGUGGCAGACAGAAACAUGAUGAAAUUCUGGUCACCAGAGUUAACCUCUCAAUGUAUAUAAAAUGCUAGAUUCAAGUUUGCAACAGUUCAUUACGGAAUACUAAGAGCUAAAAUGUUCAACAGUCUGAGAUUUCUAUCUAUGAUAGAUUAUGUUUUCCGGUCAUCCUAUCCUGUCUUAAAAUCUAAAACUGUUGAUAAUCAGUAGAGGAAAUCAUUGCCUUAUUACCUGACUUAGUGGCUGAAAUGUGUUGAGAGAUUAGAACUGAAAAUGAAGCAGUGAAGUUGACUUCCUUGACUAUCUUACAAAGCUAACAGAUAAUAAAAAACAAUCAUUGCAUAGUCAUGAAUGAAGCAAGGAAAAGCAUGUCAUGAAUGAAGCAAAUGAAAGAAAAUUACCUUUGACGGAAUGCUUGAAAUUUGGUGAUAGACCUUGGAGAUCAAAACAAAAUAAAAACAGUGAAGAAGAAAGAAUGUUGUGGGUAGAAAGGCAGAACGAUUAAGCAAAGAAAAGCAUGUCAUGGAAGAAGCAAAUGAAAGGAAAGUAGGUAGAGUGGAUGGUUGAAAUUUUGUGAAAGAAGAAAGAAUGUUGUGGGUAGGAAGGCAGAAGUAUUAAGUAAGGAAUCCCAUCUUUUUGUACUUUUCCUUUGCUUCUGCCAUUGUAGUUGGCAUUUUGGGUAUUUGAUUCUCAGCAGUUGUGUCGAUCAGCUGAUUUACAAUUUGAUUCUUCUUUAAAUCUGUAAUAAUUCACUACUUGAUAAUAAAACCUCUAAUCUGCCAUGUCCUCUCCAUUCAUUCUGGACAUUACUAACAAGUUUUGCAGUCAUCUUGGUGCUUAAUUGUAACAACAUCAGCAGCAGCAGCAGCAUCAUAAUAAUGGGAAAGUAUGGUAUAAGAAUGCCUAAUUAUAUGUCACAACUUGAAAUUAAAUAUACUAGUCGGCAUCCUAUAAAAAAAAAAUUAAGCAAAAUCAUUUGUUUUCUGUUUUUUACCUCUUCUAUUUCUUGACAUAGCUUUUACAUUAUAAGAAAAGAUAAAAUUUUAUAUAAAAUUUAUUUUUACAAUUUGGUUUUUGAAAAAUAAUUUAAAUGUAAUGAAAUUUUGAAUUGAGUUUGAAAAAGAUAAUUUUUUGGUAUAUUUUGUAUUCUUUUUACUAAAAAAUGGCAUCCGGUUAAAUUUUAUAAGCCUCUGUAAUAUGAGUUCUAGAUGUUCUUCAAGGGCAUGAUACUCAACUUGAUAAUAUUACUAUUUUAGUUUCGAGAAACAUUGAGAAAGCAUGUAAUGAUUUAACUUGUUUUGGUUUUGUUUUGUUUUUAAUUUGUUAAUGGAUUCUAUUGAAUGGUAAUUUUCUUUAUUUUUCAUACAAUUUAGUUCUUCAGCAACAUAUUCAAGAUUUUAUUUUUCUACAAUUUUUAUAUACAUUUUUUAUUUUAUAAAUAAUUUUGAGUUUUUUUUAAUAAUCUUUAUAAAAAAUCAAGGUCAAAUUGAUAAAAAUAUAAAAAUUGAGAGCUAUAAUUAUUAUACCAAUUGAAACAAAUUCCACUUAACAGUUGGGUGAAAACAAAAUUUCAAAAACAUUAGUGACGAAAUUGUAAUUUUUUCUAGUUAAGUGAUAAAAAUAAAAACUUACCCAUAAUUGAAUCACUAAUGGUUUAAUUUACCCUAAAAUUCUUUUAAAAAUAGAAAAGAAAAACAUUAAGCAAAAUUAUUUGAUCUCUGUUUUUUACCUCUUCUGUUUCUUGACAUAACUUUUACAUUGUAAGAAAAGAUAAAAUUCUGAAUAUAAUUUACUUUUACAAUUUGGGUUUUGAAAAAUAAUUUAUAGGUAAUGAAAUUUUGAAUUGAGUUUGAAAAAAAAUUGUGGUAUAUUUUGUAUUCUUCUAAAUAAAAAAAAUAGCAUUAGGGUCAAUUUUAUAAGCCUCUAUAAUACCAAUUCUAGAUGUCGUUUAAGACCAUGAAACUCAACUUGAUAAUAGUAAUGAUUCGGUUUUGAGAAAUAUUGAGGAAUCAUGUAAUGUUCUAACUCUUUUUUUUUUUGGUUUUGUUCUCUUUUUAAUUUGUUAUCGAAAUCUAUUCUCCAUCUUCUAAUAUUCCUAGAUUGUUUUAUGAAAAAUUACUUCUUUAUAGAAAUCGGUAUUCUUGCUAUGCUCCAUUCAAUGCUCAGUGAAUUCUUUUUGUUAGUGCAAAACGUUGACAAUCAUUAGGUUUUAUUGUAUCCUCAAGGUCAAUUUAUGAGUAACUCUUUUGCACAGCAAUAAAUAGGUGGGAGUAAAUAGAACUUUAAAAUAGUGGUAUCGAUACACGUAUUGAAACCUUUUUUUAAUUUCUCAUAAAUUCAUUUGUAUCACCACACACUAACAAUAGCAGUUAUGGGAACAAUAAUCAAAGAAAAAAAGCAAUAUUAUGAGUCAAUUUUUAUGGUGUUCGGGGCAACUUUUAUUUUUAAGUUCCACAAAGGUAAAGUAAAUUCCAUCUUUUCUUAUUAUUAGUUUUUUCCUUUGCUGUCUUCCAUUAUUGUUGGCCCCAUUCUUCUCUACUAUGAUUAUAAAAUAUAAUAUUUAUAAAUCAUAUGUAUCUAAAUUAGAGCAAAUAGCAGUCUUAUGAUUUAUAAUGCAACAUUUCAUGUUGCCUCAGAUUUCAAUUCUUUUAGUCUCCUCCAUGUUCCACCUUCAAGAAAAAACAAGAGAGAAUGAACCUAAAUUUGGAUACCUAAUCCUUCCUCUAUGGAAUCGGAGUUACCUUCAGAUUUUAAUUCCAAUACCGACAUUGUAACGCCCUGAUUAUUUAACUUUGUUUUUGUGAAUUUUAUCACAAAUAUGUAUUUGCUUCAAUGGCUAAGUGUUUUGAUUGUGUGUUUGAUGUCUUGAGUUCAAGUCCUAUUUUUAGAAAUUUUUGCUAUUUGUGAUCCUAGCCUAUUCAUUGGCGGUUUGGCUUAUAUUCUAUUGCAAGUCAAGUUAUAUUAGAAUGAGCUUCUAUGUUUGAGCAGUAAGGUGUUAGCUUGUCUUGAGGUCUUGUGUUCAAAACUCUGUAUAAAUGUGAAUUGGAUGUGGAUUGAAGUGUCGGAUUUGGUGGGAUUAGGUUGAUUAGUGGGUUAGUGGAGAGUUGGGGGAAAUUAGUGAUAUUUUAUUAAAAUUUUAUUUUUAAUUUUUUAAUUUUAAUUUUAUUCUUCUUUUCCGCAAAAAAUUUCCUCUCUUUCUAUUUUAUUUUAUUUUAUUUUAUUCAAAAUAUCCAGUAAAACUAUUUUAAGAAAUUGAAGUUACCAUAUUAAAAUUCAAUAUACAAAACAAAGUCAUGUAAAUUUUUAAAGCAUUUCAUGUUGUUUAAGGCUUCUAAUUUUAUUGUGUAAAAAUAAAAACCUAUUUGCAAAAGUUUCAAAAUAUGCCCAAAACUCUUUAAUUACCGUGUUGCGACCUCAUGAUUCCCAUGUGGCAACAUCGGCCCAAUAUCGGUAUUGCAAAUUUUCAAGUACUUGUGUUGGACACUUUGACACCCUCAUACACAUACCAAAUCGAGAUUUCAUGCUAUUCUCCCUAUUUUAACAUGUCAUAUAACUUACAUUAACAUGUUUUGACAUCUCAAGUAAAUGACUAUGCUGUCAUGCAACCCUAAAGUCACAAUUCAAUUACUCAAAAUGUAAAUUUUGUAUUUUAAGCAUUUCUAAGUGCAUAAUUGAUACAUAACAUACUAUAUGGUCAUUUUGGACUUACCUCAAUACGCAACAAGCCAAUCCACCUGCAAUUUACAUGUUAGCCAAUAAACAAGUACACAACACCUUACUAAUUCAACCAAUAACAUUCAUUCUCAAAUCUUCCAUUGAAAGCAUUCAUUCGAACCAAUUUUAAAAGUUCUAAAAACCAUUUUAAACAACCCAUAUUGUCCAUUAAUAAAUCAUUAACAGUUCAAAGUCUAAAACCCUCUAGAUUAGUCCCACAUUGCCUUCCUUAUUGAUUUAAAAACACACCAAACGUAGUCAAGUUAAAAUGUCUUGCUUUGGAUCACUUGGCAGCUCACUUCUCCUCCUCGUUUAAGCUAUAUCUCUGCACUGUUAAAUAUAAAAGAGUGUGAGCUUUUUCAAGCUCAGUGAGUGCUUAGAGAUUGCCACAAGUAAUCACGAUAUCCAAAGUUAAAAGAAAGCAUACAAUCACAAUUAAUCACGGUGAGCAAUGAAGCAUAAUUCAUAGCAUUCACAUUAAUAUGUUGCCAGAAUGUGAUUAUGAAGCAUAUGUACAAAAUAUAUUGCAUUGGGUAACCAGAUUUCCAAAUACAACCAAUAUAAUGUGUAGCGUAAAGCUAUCACCGUCCAAACACAUCCACUUAAACAUGUAUACUUAUUGUUUUAUGCACACUUUCACAUAUCACACAACUCAUGUUCAUAUCACAUAUUCAAGUCUCAUAUCAUGCACUUACAAGUGCUCACAUUAUGCUCAAAUAGUCACAACAUAUAGAUCUCAUAUAGUGUAUAUAAAAUCAGCAAGACUCAUAUCAUAUUCAGUUAUAAACACAUAACAUUUUUAUUGUCAUCUCAAUAUACAACACAUAACAUAUUACAUUUAAGCAUCAUUUGCAAAUCAUCAUUAGUUUAGGUAGAAACACUUACUCUUGAAAAUUGGACAGUAUGGAUGUGUUUGGAUAGCUAGAAAAUCAUUAAGGAUGAGUUAAUUUUGAGAGAAAAUAUUAGAGUUGAAUUUGGGGAAAUUUUGAUUGUGAAAUUCAAUAGAGGGAAGGAUCGUUGGGUUCAUAAAGAAACGGGGAAGAUGAGUAGCUUUUUUUUUUUUUAAAUAAGGAAAAAUUGCAAUUUAAAAACUUCCAGUUUUCCUUUAUUUUUCAAUUCAGACCUUAGUUUAAUUAAAAUACAUUUUUCUCAAUUAUUUUCAAACUCAAUAUUUUAAAAAAAUCCAUUUUAACAAAAUUAAUUCUCGAACACCCAAUUUUAAUUUCUUAACAUAAAAUUAUUAAUUAUAUUAAUUUUAAUAUUUUAUUUAAUUAAUUCCUAAUUAUUGUAAUAAUCUAACUUAAUUACGAUUUUCGAUUCAUUAACCCCCGAUUUACUAUCCCAAUUUUUGGGAUGUGACAUGACAACAUUAUGUAAAUAUGAUAUAAUAAUAAUCACUGCAAGUUCUAUAAUAUGAUAUCUAAUGGGUUAGUUUUUAAAAUUGCAUAUUUUAAAAUUAAAAAAUUAAAAAAAUGUUAAUUUAUAAUUAUUUCUAACUUAUAUGCUUUUCAAUGUUAAAACUUUUAUUAGAAUUAUUAGUAAAAAAAUGCAUAAAUGAUUGAUAGCAUAAUCAUUUUAAAGACAAAUAAUUAUAAAUUAAUUAUAUAAAAGAGAUAACAUUUUGUACUUUGUUAAUAUAAAAAGGGUAAACACUUCAUAACAUAGUAAAUUAUGGAUAAAAUAAUAAGAAAUAAUAUAGUAUAAAAUUAAAUAAUUAAUAAUAUAAUAUAAUAUAGUAAUAAAAUAUAUAAAUAUCAUUAUUUUUAAUGCCUAAUCGUAUAUACAUCAUUUUAAUUAAUAAAAAAAUUAUAAUAUUAUAAAUAAAACCAUGAUGAUAGUUUUGUUUCACCUUAAAUCAUUUUGAUUAAAAUAUGUUUAUAUUUUAUUAAUAUAUUAAUAAAAAUGGAAUAUAUUUUAAUUAAUACAUGAUCUUAUUUAUUAUUUAUUAUAUGUUAUUUUUAGACAUUAAAUACAUGACUUCCACACGCAUAUGCGUCUGAUAAGAUUUCUAGCGUUAUUUGAACCUUUCAGACAAUAAAAUUUUUAAUUAUUAGACUCUUGAUAUACUCUUAAAAACAAUCUACAUUUUUUUUUCUAAAUCUAGACCCAUUUUUGGCCUAGCUCGGUCAAUCCAAAAAAUAACUCAUUUUCCUGUUCAAAAAUAAUAAAAUAAUUUUAUAUUAAUAUUUUUAUAUUUAAAUAUAAAUUUAAAAAUAUUUUUAUUAUUUAAAUUGAAUUCGAGUUGUACCGUCUCAAGACAUGGAAGGGUCUAUAGCCAACUUCUAUACCAUAUAUAUAUUUUUUUACUUUUAAAAUUUGAAGCGAAUAUAUAUUAUUAUAUAAAAUUGAAAUUUAUAAAAAUUUACGAAAUAAUAUAUUAGUGUUAAAUGUGAUAAAAGAUCAUAAUAAUAUCAAAAUAAGUUUAUAACUUAAACGUUUUAAUUAUAAAUAUAAAAAUUUAGAAGAUUAUUUUGGGAAGUACAUAUAUAUAUAUAUAUAUAUGAGAAGAAAAAGAGAAUAGAAGAAAUGGUAAGAGAGGGAAAAUGUUUAAAAAGUGGAGGCAGUUUGAUUUCUUAUUUACCUUUGCUUCUUAACCUCUUCCUUCCAUCAUUCCUUUUCUCCUCUCUUUUGCACUAUCCUCCCCCCUCCACCAACCCUUUCAUCUUUCUCUUCGCCAACAUCAAAAAUAUACAUCAAAUUUUAUUAAUAUGGAGAAAUUAGAUUUAUCAAAAUAAAAAAAUAAACAAAACCAUAAAUGGUUCAUACCUCUUAUCCUCCUCAGGGGCUGAAGCGAAGAACAUUUUUAAAGUUUGGAUGGUCAUCCCACUCCAACGAUUCCCACCAUUCUAUGUCUGACCAGAUGGUAAGAAAAGGUGGAGCAUAUGCAAAUGGCUGCCCAUUGCCAACAAGGGGAACAAAUGGAGGAAUUCUCUUCAGUUUAUCACAAUAUUCAACAACUUGGAUAAGUUGGAGAGAAUCACAAACCAUCACUCCACUUUUGCUGCAUAUGCUCUUCAAAUUUGGUAAGUUAUUUAGUCUCAAUUCUCUCAAUUUGGGAAGAUGGAAUUUGAUUAAUGCAUCAUUCCCUUUUUCUUCAACUUCUGAUGUUGCUGCUACCAAUAUUUCUACUAGCUGACUACAAGCACCCACCCUAAUAUCUUCCAGGUUUUGGAGGUUUGGAAGCAACCAAUGUGGAAGCAACGUCUUCAUACUUGAGCACCUGUAUACUUCAAUUCGCUUAAGAUGGGAAAAGGUGGCAGACGGAGCCACUGUUGAUGUUGUUGCUGAACCAAUUCCUGAAUCUUUCAUAAUAAGGGCACUCAACUUUGGCAGAAAUUGAAGAUCCAACACCUCGAGGCUCUGAAAUGGAUGAGCGGAAGAAGAGGCAAAAGAGGACAAGGAAACAACACACUCUAUCCCUUCACAAUCAUAAAUCCUACAAACCCUCAAGUCAAUCGCAUUUUUGAAGGAAGAAUUAUCAUCGACUAAGUUUCUCAAAUAGUCGCACUUUAAAAUAUACAACUCUUUAAUUUUAAUUGGGUGCAUAAUUAACUCACCUUCCCAAUUCUGGACUCCUCCAAUUGUUACUGUUUUAUCUCUUCUACGAGGAAUAAAAGCUGGGCCCACCCUAUAUGAGCCCACUUGUAAAGAGUACUUGAUGAGAUUUUUUUUACUUUGUUGCAUUGACGAGAUGAACUUAUUCAAUUCCUUGAUGUCUUCGAAACGUCCGGUAAAACACUCCAACUUCUUCAAUGGUUCCAUCUGCUCUGCUUUUAGACUUAUUUGUCUAUUAAAACCCAAGUGCUGAAGGUGAACGAGUUUUGGCAAAAGUCCAGCGGGUAUCUCCUUCAGAGUGCGCACACUAAGAUCAAGAUAUCUUAGCUUUAGCAGCAUAUCUAUUCCUUCAGGGACUUCCUCAAUUUCUGUCCCAGAAAGAUCCAACUUCUUCAAUUCUUGAAGCAUGGAAAGACAUGGUAGAUCUCUUAAUUCAGAACAACCACAAAGCAACAAUGUUGUGAGGUUCUUUAGUUCAGAGAUGGAAUUUGGUAAACUUUUGAUCUUCGUAGAGGACAAAUUGAGAACACUAAGAUAAGGCAUGUUUAUGAAGAAAGAACUUGAGAUCUUCUUUAUAGGGUUCUCUUGCAAUAACAAGGUUGUGAGCAGUUGACAUUUUGUGGGCAGCACAUCUAUGGAAAUUUCUGAUAUGGAGUUAUUCAUAAGUGACACUUUCUCAAUAUCCCGACUCCAUCGCUCCUUUUCUGGUAAUUCUUCUAAUUGCAAACCUGCUUGUAUCAUAUAUCGAGGAUUCAUUCUUGUGAUCGACAAUGCCAUGUCUCUUACUGCAUCAUGCAUCUUUAUGCAAGGUUGACCACAUCCAUCGGUAAUAUUUUCCAGCAAGCAAUUCUCUGCUAACUUCUUCAAAACAACAUGGCCCUUUUCUUUCAUUUCUUGUCUCGUACCCAUAUCAUCUAUGAAUCCCUCCUCAAUCCAACACUCAAUUAGCUCAUCUUUUCCAAUUUCAUAAUCUUCAGGAUAUAAUGCGCAAUGUAAGAAACAAUAUUUCACUUUCUCGUCCUUUAAGUGAUUGAAGCUAAAUUUCAAACGCUCUAUCACUUUAGCUUCCACUUCUUCCUCUUUUUCUAUUCUCUCUUUCAAUUCCCUGAGUGCGUUUUUCCAAAUAAGAGGGUCCUCUUCUCCUUUCAAUGUACCAGCUACGACGACAAUUGUAAGAGGUAGACCCGCACAUUCCUUGACAACAAGCUUCAGAGUAGGCAUUAUAGUUGGACUUUGAACUAUGUUAGGUCCAGCUUUAUUCAAGAAUAGUAUCAAUGCCUCUUCUUCUGAAAGGGGCUUCACUUUUAUCACCUUACAACCCAUAUACUUACAGACAUGCUCCGAACGGGUUGUCAACACCAACUUGCAGCCAUUGCUACCACACGGCUCGGGGAUCCCAACUUCCUCUAGAGAGACUUUAUCCCACACAUCAUCUAGGAUUAGAACAUGCUUUCCUGCGUUCUUCAGCAUUUCUGACAAGAUUGCUGCUCGUCUGAGCUUGUCUCCUUCUCUGGGCCAAUCUUCCUUCAACUUCAAAGCAGCUGCAAUAUCAUCUUGUACCUUCAUGACAUUGAACUCCUUUGAUAUGGUAACCCAUAUUACCCUUUCGAAUCUUUGUUCUUUUAAAAGAUCAUUGUGGAUGUGCUUCAUGAUAGUGGUUUUACCCACACCGCCCAUCCCCCAAACCCCAAUCUUGCUCACCUCCUCCAGCAUCAAACAUGCCCAAAUCUCUUUUCUGACAGCUUCCUCUCCAACUAGUUCUGAUGUUGGCAGUGGCAACCCAGCACUUGGACCAUCCAUGGCAAGACCUUCAGAGGCAUUAGGAGCGUUAUCAAGAAAUUCCUUCAUUUCUCGAGUCUUUUCAUCAACCAGCUUCCCGUUGCAAGCACGACGGAGAUAUCUCCCGUUACCGACUUUGUUUUCAACAACUUGUGCUUCCCUAAUCAUCUCUUUCACAGCUUUCAACCAAUUUUCAACUCCCUUCUUCGGUAUCUUCCCUAGAGGACGAAGAAGCUCUGCUUUCAAUUGCAGCUCUAUAUCUUCCAUUUUGCAAUUCAACUCAUCUCUCAUUCUCUUGAAGUUUCUCACAUAAUCAUUGAGCUUUCUGUGAUAUUGCAAGUAUUUACAAGCAGGAGUUCCAAGACAAUUUGCAAUGCCGAGAACAGGCUCUACGUACUCCAUUGCUAUGUCCCUGCAACGCAAUCAUAUAUAACAGUAACAGAUAAUGAAAAUCUGUGAAUGUAUUGGCUUUUUGAUAUGUCAGUGUAAACAUUAAUGCAAGUUUCAAGCAAUGGCGUUUAUUAGAUGGAGCUAUGGAUGGGUGGCAGACAGAAACAUGAUGAAAUUUGUAUAUCCAGAAUUAACCUCUCAAUUAAUAGAAAAUGCUAGAUUCAAGUGUGCAACAGAAUAUGAAGAGGUAAAAUGUUCAAUAGUUUGAGAUUUCAACAUUAUAUUGCUUCUGGGAAGCUCUUUUUGUAUUAAUUUCUAUCUAGAGUAGAUUAUGUGUGCUGGUCAUCCACUCUUAAAAUCUAAAAUUGUUGAUAAUCAGUAGAGGAAAUCAUAGCUUCAGAUCUUAUUACCUGACUUAGUGGCUGAAAAGUGUUGAGAGAAUAGAACUGAAAUUGAAGCGGUGAAGUUGACUGUCGUACAAAGCUAGCUGCUAAGAGUAGCAGAUAAUCAGAAACAACCAUUGCAAAGUCAUGAAUGAAGCAAAGAAAAGCAUGUGAUGGAUUAAGCAAAUGAAAGAAAAUUAGCUUGAAAUUUGGUGAUAGACGUUGGACAUCAAAACAAAAUCAUUGUAGUUGUCAAGAAAUAAUAUUUAAUAAUAAUAGUUGGCAUGGUAUAAGAAUGCAUAAUUAUUAUGUAUAGUUAUUCGCACCCUAUUAGUAAAUUAUUUGCAUUGUUGAAGUUGUCAGAAUUCAAUUUUGGACAAUUUCUUACAUAUGGACAUUAGUAAGAUGUGAAUAAAUCUAUUUAAACUUUUUAUAUAAGUAAGUUUAUUCAACUUAAAAUAAAUUUUUAAUUACAUACAAAUUUCUCGAUAUGCUAUAUCAUUGAAUCUAAGUUGGUUUUAAAAUUAAUUUUUUUGUCAUUUGACUGUUGAGUGGUACUUUUUAAAUUGGUAUAAUAACAAUUUUAGUUUUUAAAUUUUAUACUUUCACUCAAUUUGAUCUUGAUAAUAUAUAAAAUAGAAAUAAGCAAAAGUGUAAUAGGUUCCACGAAGGCAGAAUUAUGAUUAAGAAAUCCCAUCUUUCUUUUAGUUUUUUUUUCCUUUGCUGUUCGCCAUUAUAGUUGGCAUUAAACUAUGGGAUACCCUCCUGUUGCUAUUUCAAUUUCAAUUUUUUAUUUUUGUAAUAAACAUAGACAUGCCUGGGAGGGGGUGUUGCACCUCUCGUGAGAUUCCCUUCAAUUGCUAGUUCAAUUUCUUUUUAUUUUUAUUUUUAUAAUAAACAUACACAUGCCUGGGAGGGGGUGUUGCACCCCAUGUGAUCGAGGGUUGCAAUAACGUUACUGCGAAUGUCUUACUUGAUAGUUACUGAGUGGUUGAUGAUAACCAAUUAAAACUCAAAACAUUCUAACAUUUCACAUCAUGCGCAUGUUGACAAUUAUUUUUUAUAAUUAAACUAUAAAAAUGCUUAUCUAUGCUUUUCAUUUUAUGUUGGUCAUCCAACUAUUAAUUUUUUUCGAUUUAGUCAUUAAACUUUUCGGAAUUAAAUAUUUUAAUCACUCCAAGCUGAUUGGGCUUUCUUUUAUUGGUCUAGUAACUAAAUUAGUCCUCUAAUAGUUAUACGUUCUAUUAAUUUGAUCUUAAAUAUAAAAAAUUCAAUAAAUCUAGCCUCAAUGCUCACAAAAUUUAUCAUUUUAGUUUUAAUUCUAAAACUUAAUUGCGAUUUUUAAUUCACUAACCCCCGAUUUACUAUCCCAAUUUUUGGGAUGUGACAUGACAGCAUUAUGUAAAUAUGAUAUAAUAAUAAUCACUGAUAGCAUACAAAUAAAUUAUUGAUUACAUACCCUAUUGUAUAAACUAAAAUAUAAUUUUACUACAAGUUCUAUAAUAUGAUAUCUAAUGGGUUAAUUUUUAAAAUUGCAUAUUUUGAAAUUAAAAAAAAUAAAAAAGUUAAUUUAUAAUGAUUUCUAACUUAUAUGCUUUUCAAUGUUAAAAAUUUUAUUAGAAUUAUUAGUAAAAAAAUGCAUAAAUGAUUGAUAGCAUAAUCAUUUUAAAGACAAAUAAUUAUAAAUUAAUUAUAUAAAAGAGAUAACAUUUUGUACUUUGUUAAUAUAAAAAGGGUAAACACUUCAUAACAUAGUAAUAAAUAAAUUAUAAUACAUGAAUAACUUAUGGAUAAAAUAAUAAAGAAAUAAUAUAGUAUAAAAUUAAAUAAUUAAUAAUAUAAUAUAGUAAUAAAAUUUAUAAAUAUCAUUAUUUUUAAUGCCUAGUCGUAUAUACAUCAUUUUAAUUAAUAAAAAAUUAUAAUAUUGUAAAUAAAACCAUGAUGAUAGUUUUGUCUCACCUUAAAUCAUUUUGAUUAAAAUAUGUUUAUAUUUUAUUAAUAUAUUAAUAAAAAUGGAAUAUAUUUUAAUUAAUACAUUAUCUUAUUUAUUAUUUAUUAUAUGUUAUUUUUAGACAUUAAAUACGUGACUUCCACAUGCAUAUUCGUGUGAUAAGAUUUCUAGCGUUAUUUGAACCUUUCAGACAAUAAAAUUUUUAAUUAUUAGACUCUUGAUAUACUCAUAAAAACAAUCUACAUUUUUUUCUAAAUCUAAACCCAUUUUGGCCUAGCUCAGUCAAUCCAAAAAAUGACUCAUUUUACUGUUCAAAAAUAAUAAAAUAUUUUUAUUAAUUAAAUUGAAUUCGAGCUGUACCGUCUCAAGACAUGGAGGGGUUGAUAGCCAACUUCUAUACCAUAUUUUUUUUACUUUAAAAUUUGAAGCGAAUAUAUAGGGAAAAUUAUAAAAAUAGUCACUUUUGUUUACCUCAUAUUACAUUUUAGUCAUUUACGUUAUCGUUUUGUUACGAAGCGGUCACUCUACCAUUAAGCUUUUUACCUCCCUAACAACAGUCCUAUGUGGUAGUCCAAAUGGGUUUUAAAUGCUAACUUGGAUGUUUUACAUGACAGUCCAAAUUAAAUUUUUUAAUUAAAAACUUAUUUUCAUCCCAACAAAUGGACAUCCAAGUUGACAUUUAAAACCCAUUUGGAUUGCCAUGUAAGACUAACGUUAAGGAGGUAAUAAAGUUUAAUGAUAAAGUGAUUAUUUCGUAACAAAGAGAUAACGUAAGUGACUAAAACGUAACAUUUCAAACAUAAGUGACUAUUUUUGUAGUUUACCCGAAUAUAUAUUAUUAUAUAAAAUUUGAUAUUUAUUAAAAUUUACGAAAUAAUAUAUUAGUGUUAAAUGUGAUAAAAGAUUAUAAUAAUAUCAAAAAAAGUUUAUAACUUAAAUGUUUUAAAUGUAAGUAUGAAAAUUUAGAAGGUUAUUUUGGAAACUACAUAUAUAUAUAUAUAUAUAUAUAUAUUAGAGAAGAAUAAGAGAAUAAGAGAGGGAAAAUGUUUAAAAAGUGGAGGCAGUUUGAUUUCUUAUUUAUGCUUUUAACCUCUUCCUUCCAUCAUUCCUUUUCUCCUCUCUUUUGCACUAUCCUCCCCCCUCCUUUCCCACCAACCCUUUUAUCCUUCUCUUCAUCAACAUCAAAAAUAUACCUGAAAUUGUAUUAAAAUGGAGAAAUUUCGUUUAUAAAAUAAGAAAAUAUAAACUAAACUAUAAAUGGUUGAUACCUUUAAAAGCUUUCUAAGGGUUUCAAUAGAAAAACAUUUUUAAAGUUUGGAUGGUCAUCCCACUCCAACGAUUCCCACCAUUCUGUGCUUGACCUGAUGGUAAGAGAAGGUGGAGCAUAUGCAAAGGGCUGCCCAUUGCCAACAAGGGGAACAAAUGGAGGAAUUCUCUUCAGUUUAUCACAAUCUCCAUCAACUUGGAUAAGUUGGAGAGAAUCACAAACCAUCACUCCACUUUUGCUGCAUAUGCUCUUCAAAUUUGGUAAUUCCCAGAAUGACAACUCUCUCAAUUUGGGAAGAUGGAAUUUGAUUAAUGCAUCACUCCCUUUUUCUUCAACUUCUGAUGUUGUUGCUCCCAAUAUUUCUACUAGCUGUCUACAAGCCUCCAGGUGUAUUUCUUCCAGGUUUUGGAGGUUUGGAAGCAACCAAUGUGGAAGCAACGUCUUCAUACUUGAGCAGCUGUCUAUCUUAAUUUCCUUAAGAUGGGAAAAGGUCGUAGACGGAGCCAAAGUUGAUGCUGUUGCUGAACCAAUUUCUUCAUCUUUCAUAAUAAGGGCGCUCAACUUUGGCAGAUAUUGAAGAUACAACACCUCGAGGCUCUGAAAUGGAUGAGCGGAAGAAGAGGCAAAAGAGAACAGGGAAACAACACACUCUAUCCCUUCACACCACCAAAUCCAACAAACCCUCAAGUCAAUCGCAUUUUUGAAGGAAGACUUGUCAUCGACUAAGCUUCUCAAAUAGUCGCACUUUAAAAUAAUCAACUCUUGAAUUUCAAUUGGGUGCAUAAUUAAAUCGCCUUCCCAAUUCUGGACUCCUUCAAUUGUUACUGUUUUAUCUCUUGUAGCACGCAUAAAAGAUGAGCCCACCUGUAACGAGUACUUGAUGAGAUUUUUCUUACUUUGUUGCAUUGAGGAGAUGAACUUAUUGAAUUCAUUGAUGUCUUCGAAACGUCCGGUAAAGCACUCCAACUUCUUCAAUGGUUCCAUCUCCUCUGCUUUUAGACUCGUUUUUUCAUUGUUCUCAUGAAAACCCAAGUGCUGAAGGUGAAUGAGUUUUGGUAAAAGUCCAGCGGGUGUCUCUUUCAGAGUGAGAAGUGGAAGAUCAAGAUAUCUUAGCUUUAUCAGCAUAUCCAUUCCUUCAGGGACUUCCUCAAUUUUAGUCCCACAAAGAUCCAACUUCUUCAAUUCUUGAAGCAUCGAAAGACAUGGCAGAUCUAAGACAUUUUUAAUCACUUAAUUUUAAAUAAUUUUUAAUCUAAGACAUUUUAUUUUGGAUAAUUAUUUGCAAUUUAGUAUUAACACUAGCAUGUUUACGACAUUGGUUUUGUUUUUUUCUAAAUUUGCUAAGGAAUACAAUAUUUUAUCAAGAUACUUAUGAUCACAAGUCACUUUGGGUUGGAACAUAUGCAAAGGGGAGAUUUAAAGACUUGAAUGUGGGAAAGGGGAACAACUCCAUCAAUGUCCCAAUGAAUUUUAUUGACAUUAAUUUAACUACUAUUAUAUCUAUUUUCAUUUUUCAAGGUUUGAUAAUCAUCUUGCUCAAAUUAAUUAAAGAAACUCAUGAAUUAUCAAAUGUUAAUAUUGGUGUAUUAAAUUCUUCUUGAUCUCUACUGAUUGUAUUAUCUGCCAUUAUUUCUUGACUGUUAUCUCCAUAUGGAUACUCAAUAUAUGUUGUUCCUUUCUUCAUUUUUAUAUUAGAGACUUAAAAUCCUCAAAGCAAGUUUGUUGAAUAUGUCCCGUCUUUCUCAUUCAUUCUCUCGCUCUUUGACAUGAACCUAUUCCUCUAUAUUUUUUAGCUUUUUUCUCCAAUCAGGAGAGCCUUUUGAUUGAACGUUCAAUGGCACUAGAGAUAUAGACUUGUUAAAAUCAUUUUAUAAACAAAAAAUAGUGAACCGAUACCAAAAUAUAUUUACAUUCUAAAACUCUAAUUAGGAAAUUAUUACCUUUGCAAUUAAGUAUGAAAACCUCCUUAAUUAAUAUGAAUUAAUCAAUUAGUUAAAAAGUCUCAUAUAAUCAUUUUACUCUAAUUAUAAUCUCCCACAAAUGAUUCCUCCACUGAGACUAUUUCUCCCCAUGGAUCAACAAAGUUUGUGUUACUUUUACGAUGAAGUGGAUAGAAGUGGAAAAAGUAAAAAGGACCACAAGUUACAUUAAUUUGUCCCAUGUUUGCUUUGUGCAGUUCAGGAUUUAAGAGAUGUAAGGUAACAUUAACUUGAUAGAUGUAUCAUAACACAAAUAAUACGAUCCCGAAUCAUAAAAGUACAAAUUGUAGGCUUGCGUCACUCGUCAACAACUCUCGCUUUUCCUUUUCCUUUCGAAUGCACGUUAGGUACGUACAAUCACAAAGCUGUUCACCAUAGUUAACCUCACAAUGUAUAUAAAAUGCUAGAUUCAAGUGUGCAAGAGUUCAUUACAGCAUAUUAAGAGCUAAAAUGUAUAGAUUAUGUCUGCUUAACAUCCUAUCCUGUCUUAAAAUCUAAAACUAUUGAUAAUCAGUAGAGGAAAUCAUUGCCUUAUUACCUGAACUAGUGGCUGAAGAUAAGUGGGGGCGAAUAUGUGGGGGCGAAUAUAACCUUAAAGAUAGUGGCUUGAUACACGCCUUGGAGCCUGUCCUAUUUCUUCUUUUUCUUUUCGAGUUCCGAUCGUGUGUUCGAGUUUUUUUUCCUUACCAGAGUUUUAUACUAACAAGACAUGGCAGAUCUCUUAAUUGAUAACAGCCACGAAGCAAUAAUGUUGUGAGGUUCUUUAGUUCAGAGAUGGAAUUUGGUAAACUCUCGAUCUUUGUAAAAGACAAAUUGAGAACACUAAGACAAGGCUUGUUCAUGAAUAAAGAAUAUGGGAUUUUCUUUACAGGGUUCCCCCGCAAUAACAAGGUUGUGAGCAGUUGACAUUUUGUAGGCAGCACACCUAUGGAAACUUCUGAUAUGGAGUUAUACAUAAGUGACACUUUCUCAAUAUCUGGACUCCAUUGCUCCUUUUCUGGUAACUCUUCUAAUUGCGAACCUGCUUGUAUCAUAUAUCGAGGAUUCAUUCUUGUGAUCGACAGUGCCAUGUCUCUCACUGCAUCAUGCAUCUUUAUGCGAUGUAAACCAAAUUCAGUGGUAAUAUUUGCCAACAAGCAAUUAUCUUCCAACUUCUUCAAAAUAACAUGGCCCUUGCCUUCCAUUUCGUGUCUUGUAGCCAUAUCAUCUAUGAAUCCCUCUUCAAUCCAGCACUCAAUUAACUCAUCCUUCCAAAUUUCAAAAUCUUCAGGAAAUAAUGCGCAAUGUAAGAAACAAUAUUUCACUUUCUCGUCCUUUAAGUGAUCGAAGCUAAAUUUCAAACGCUCUAUCACUUUAGCUUCCACUCCCUCCACUUUUCUAUUGUCUCUUUCAAUUCCCUGAGUGCGUUUUUCCAAAUAAGGGGUUCCUCUUCUCCUUUCAAUGUACUAGCUACAACGACAAUUGUAAGAGGCAGACCCGCACAUUCUUCGACAACGAGCCUCAAAAAUUGGCAUUAAAGUUCGAUUUUGCACUAUGUUAGGCCCAACUUUACUCAAGAAUAGUGUCAAUGCCUGUUGUGCUGAAAGGGGCUUCACUUUUAUCACCGUGCAAUCCAUAUACUUAUAGACAUGCUCCGAACGGGUUGUCAACACCAACUUGCAGCCAUUGCUGUCACUCGGCUCAGGGAUCCCAACUUCUUCUAGAGAGACUUCAUCCCACACAUCAUCUAGGAUUAGAACAUGCUUUCCUACUUUCUUCAGCAUUUCUGACAAGAUUGCAGCUCGUCUGAGCUUGUCUCCUUCUAUGGCCAAAUCUUCCUUCAACUUCAAAGCACUUGCAAUAUCAUCUUGUACCUUCAUUACACUGGACUCCUUUGAUAUGGCAACCCAGACUACUCUUUCGAAUCUUUGUUCUUUCAAAAGAUCAUUGUGGAUGUGCUUCAUGAUCGUGGUUUUACCCACACCGCCCAUCCCCCAAACCCCAAUCUUUUUUACCUCCUCUUGCAUCAAACAUGCCCAAAUCUCUUUUCUGGCAGCUUCCUCCCCAACUAGUUCUGAUGUUGGCAGUGGCAACCCACCACUUGGACCAUCCAUGGCAAGAGCUUCAGAGGCAUUAGGAGCUUUAUCAAGAAAUUCCUUCAUUUCUCGAGUCUUUUCAUCAACCAGCUUUCCGUUCCAAGCACGACAGAGAUAUCUCCCGUUUCUGACUUUAAUUUCUACAUCCUGUGCUUCCGCAAUCAUCUCUUUCGCAUCUUUCAACCAAUUUUCAACUCCCUGCUUUGGUAUCUUCCCCCCAGGAGAAAGAAGCUCUGCUUUCAAUUGCCGCUCUAUGUCUGCCAUUUUACAAUUCAAUUCAUCUCUGAUCCUUCCGAAGUUUCUCACAUAAUCAUUCAGCUUUCUGUGAUAUUUCAAGUAUUUACAAAGAGGAGGUCCAAGACAAUUUGCAAUGCCAACACCGGGCUCUACGUAUUCCAUUUGCUCUGGCCCUGCAACGCAAUACGUAUUCCAUUUGCUCUGGCCCUGCAACGCAAUCAUAUAUGUUAGUGUAUUGGAUUUUUGAAUAAUUUUUUAUAUGUUAGUGUAAGCAUGAAAAGGAAUCAUAAAUGCAAUGGCCUUUAUUAGAUGGAGCUAUGGAUAGGUGGCAGACAGAAACAGGAUGAAAAUCAUUGCCUUAUUACCUGACUUAGUGGCUGAAAUGUGUUGAGAGAUUAGAACUGAAAAUGAAGCAGUGAAGUUGACUUCCUUGACUAUCUUACAAAGCUAGCAGAUAAUAAAAAACAAUCAUUGCAUAGUCAUGGAUGAAGCAAAUGAAAGAAAAUUACCUUUGACGGGAUGCUUGAAAUUUGGUGAUAGACCUUGGAGAUGAAAACAAAUUAAAAACAGUGAAGAAGAAAGAAUGUUGUGGGCAGAAAGGCAGAACUAUUAAGCAAAGAAAAGCAUGUAAUGAAAUAAGCAAAUGAAAGAAAAGUAGGUAGAGUGGAUGGUUGAAAUCAGUAGAGGAAAUCAUUGCCUUAUUACCUGACUUAGUGGCUGAAAUGUGUUGAGAGAUUAGAACUGAAAAUGAAGCAGUGAAGUUGACUUCCUUGACUAUCUUACAAAGCUAGCAGAUAAUAAAAAACAAUCAUUGCAUAGUCAUGGAUGAAGCAAAUGAAAGAAAAUUACCUUUGACGGGAUGCUUGAAAUUUGGUGAUAGACCUUGGAGAUGAAAACAAAUUAAAAACAGUGAAGAAGAAAGAAUGUUGUGGGCAGAAAGGCAGAACUAUUAAGCAAAGAAAAGCAUGUAAUGAAAUAAGCAAAUGAAAGAAAAGUAGGUAGAGUGGAUGGUUGAAAUCAGUAGAGGAAAUCAUUGCCUUAUUACCUGACUUAGUGGCUGAAAUGUGUUGAGAGAUUAGAACUGAAAAUGAAGCAGUGAAGUUGACUUCCUUGACUAUCUUACAAAGCUAGCAGAUAAUAAAAAACAAUCAUUGCAUAGUCAUGGAUGAAGCAAAUGAAAGAAAAUUACCUUUGACGGGAUGCUUGAAAUUUGGUGAUAGACCUUGGAGAUGAAAACAAAUUAAAAACAGUGAAGAAGAAAGACUGUUGUGGGCUGAAAGGCAGAACCAUUAAGCAAAGAAAAGCAUAUGUAAUGAAAUAAGCAAAUGAAAGCAAAGUAGGUUGAAAUUUUGUGAAAGAAGAAAGAAUGUUGUGGGUACAAAGGCAGAAGUAUUAAGUAAGGAAUCCCAUCUUUUUUUACUUUUCCUUUGCUUCUGCCCUGAUUUACAAUUUGAUUCUUCUUUAAAUCUGUAUAAAUCACUAAUCUGCCAUGUCCUUUCCAUUCAUUCUGGACAUUACUAACAAGUUUUGAAGUCAUCUUGGUGCUCAAUUGUAACAACAACAUCAGCAGCAGCAGCAGCAUAAUAAUGGGAAAGUAUGGUCUAAGAAUGCCUAAUUAUAUGUUACAACUUGAAAUAAAUAUUUACUUACGUACAUAUAAAUUCCUUCAUAAGUUACACUUUUAAAUCCAAAUUGUGGUUUAUUGAUUGGGUGUUCACUAUUAGAAAUAGCCGAAAUUCAAAUUAUCAUUGUACCCAAAUUUGAAAUUGUUUUAAAAUUUUAGAAUAUUAUAAAAUUUAAAAGUAAAUAACAGUAGAUAAACAUUUCAAAAAUAGAGAAAAUGAGGGAAAAACAUUUCAAUAUUUUAUUUUUCUACAAUUUUUAUAUACAUUUUUCUAUUUUAUAAAUAAUUUUGAGUUUUUUUUAUAAUCUUUAUACAAAAUUAAGAUCAAAUUGAUAGAAAAUAUAAAAAUUGAGAGCAAUAAUUAUUAUUAUACCAAUUGAAACAAAUUCCAGUUAACAGUUGGGUGACAAAAAAAAAAUUCAAAAACAUUAGUGAUGAAAUUGUAAUUUUUUUUAGUUAAGUGAUAAAAAUAAAAAAAACUUACCCAUAAUUGGAUCACUAAUGGUCUAAUUUACCCUAAAUUCUUUUAAAAUUUUUAGUUUAAAACUUUUUUUUUAUAAAUACUAUGUAUUAAGCCUUUUAUGUUGGUGCCGCUAUCAAUCAAAUCACAACUCAAUAAGAAAGUUAUCAAAAAACUAUUUUAUUUGAAAAGUAAAAUAUAUGAUUAUGAGAAUGUUUUCAUCUUUUUAUACUUUUAUAAAUUAAUAAAAAAAUUAUCCAUAAUGAGAUUUGAACUAAUGACAUUCACUUGAAACUUUAAUAAUUAUAUCUAUGUUCUAAAUUUUUAUUUAUUUGUGUAUAUAAAAAAUGUUGUUGAUUUAGUGUCACAAAUGAACACGGCACCAACUCAGAAUUGAAAACAAAACAAUGAUAAUCAAUUGCAUUCAUUUAGUAUUUUUAAUCUGAUGUGUUUUUUUGUUUAGAUUUCGUUUUACUCACAAUUUAUUCUAAUUUUUAUUUUAAUAUAGUGCAUAUUUUAUAUGUUAUUAUUAAUUAGUUCCAAAUUUGAUAGCAAGUUACUUUAAUAUAUUUAAUAUACCCAAUUUUGGUAAACUUUUUAAUAGAAUUCUACUAAACUUGUGAUUUAUUGCCCAAAUUUUAUUAUGGACACAAUUGGAGUGCCGAAGUUCAAAAACAAACAAAUUGAGCUAAAUUGGAACAAAAAACAAGUUGGGGAGCUGAAUUGAAAGUUGCAAAAUUAAUUUUGGGAUGAUAAAAAAUAUUAGAUUUUUUACUUUGACUAAUUCUAUAUUUAGAAAAAUUUGAUUUAGUGGUUGCUUGUUAAGCAUAAUUCUAAGAGUAAAAUGAUGUGAAAUUGAUUCUUUGAGAUCCGUAUAUAAAGGUUUUUAAUUGUGGCACGAAUACACACUUUGAAUUUAAAAAGACAGUUUAGCACAUUCUUGCGUCUAUUGCAUUUGAAGCAAUCUGCCAUUGUUUUUCUCUUUUUAUGUUUUGGUGCAAUUUCCCUUUUAGUUCUCUCCUUUCUUCACCUAUUAUCUUUCAUUAAAAUUCACUCUCAUAAUCCAAUCAAGUAUGAUUAAUUCAUGUUCAACCAAUCUUCGUUUAGCUUUAGACCGGUUAUCAUUUCGACCAAGAAACAUGACAAAUGAACCCACGCUAAAACCUUACAAUACGGUAUUCAUUAUCUUUCCGUAAUAUGAGAUAGUUACAAUUAUCCCUUAAAGUUAAUUCAAUUUCAACUCAAAAAGUGUGGAUUUGAGUUGCUUGGUGUACAGUUAAGAAAAUGAGUUGUUAUUCUCUUUGUCAAUUUGAUGUUGAUAAUAUAUAAAUUGGUAAAAAAAUUAAAAUUAUUUUUAAAAUUUUAUAAAAUUAUAAAAUUAAAAAUUAAAUAAAAAUAGAUUAAAAAAUUCAAAAAUAAAUAAAGUGAGAGAAAAUUAGGGGUAAUUGUUUUUAAACCCUCCAAUAUUUCUCUAUAUUAUCUGUAUCAAAAUAUUCAAUACCCAUUAUUUUAAAAAAAACAUAGAAAAGAAAAACAUUAAUCAAAAUUAUUUGAUCUCUGUUUUUUACUUCUUCUAUUUCUUUUCAUAACUUUUACGUUGUAAGCAAAGAUAAAUUUCUGAAUAUAAUUUAUUUUUACAAUUUGGGUUUUGAAAAAAAAUUUGUGGUAUAUUUUGUAUUCUUCUAAAUAAAAAAAUGGCAUUAGGGUCAAUUUUAUAAGCCUCUAUAAUAUCAAAUCUAGAUGUCGUUUAAGACCAUGAAACUCAACUUGAUAAUAGUAAUAAUUCGGUUUCAAGAAAUAUUGAGGAAUCAUGUAAUGAUCUAAUUCUUUUUUUGGGGGGGGUUUUGUUCUCUUUUUAAUUUGUUAUAGAAUUCUAUUCUCCAUCUUCUAAUAUUCCUAGAUUGUUUUAUGAGAAAUUAUUGUAGAAGUUCUUUAUAGAAAUUGGUAUUCUUGCUAUGCUUCAUUCAAUGCUCAGUGAAUUGUUUUUGUCAAUGCAAAACAUUGACAAUCAUUAGGUUUCAUUAUAUCCUUAAGGUCAAUUUGUGAGUAACUCUUAUGCAUAGUAAUAAAUAAUUGGGGGCGAAUAGAACUUUAAAAUAGUAGCAUCAUACACAUAUUAAAACCUUUUUUAAUUUCUCAGAAAUUCAUUUUUAUCACCAGUAGCAGUUAUGGGAACAAUAAUCAAAGAAAACAAACAAUAUUAUGAGUCAAUUUUUAUGGUGUUCGGGGCAACUUUCGUCUUUUAAGUUCCACAAAGGUAAAGUAAAUUCCAUCUUUUCUUAUUAUUAGUUUUUUUCCUUUGCUGUCUUCCAUUAUCGUUGGCACUAUUGUUCACUACUAUGAUUCUAAAAUAUAAUAUUUAUAAAUCAUAUGUAUCUAAAUUAGAGCAAAUAGCAGUCUUAUGAUUUACAUUAAUGCAAUAUUUCAUGUUGCCUCAGAUUCCAAUUCUUUUAGUCUCCUCCAUGUUCCACCUUCAAGAAACAAGAGAUAAAUUUGGAUACAUAAUCCUUACCCUAUGAAAUCAGAGUUACCUUCAUAUUUUAAUUCCAAUAUCGACAUUGUAACACCCUGAUUAUUUAACUUUGUUUCUUUGAAUUUUAUCACAAACAUGUAUUUGUUUUAGUGGUUAAGUGUCUUGAUUGUGUAUUUGAUGUUUUGGGGGCGAAUAGAACUUUAAAAUAAAUAAUUGGGGGCGAAUAGAACUUUAAAAUAGUAGCAUCAUAAAACCUUUUUUAAUUUCUCUGAAAUUCAUUUUUUAAGUGCGUAAUUGAUACAUAACAUACUAAGUGGUCAUUUUGGACUUACCUCAAUACUCAACAAGCCAAUCCACCUGCAAUUUACAUGUUAGCCAAUAAACAAGUACACAACACCUUACUAAUUCAACCAAUAACAUGCAUUCUCAAAUCUUCCAUUGAAAGCAUUCAUUCGAACCAAUUUUAAAAGUUCUAAAAACCAUUUUAAACAACCCAUAUUGUCCAUUAAUAAAUCAUUAACAGUUCAAAGUCUAAAACCCUCUAGAUUAGUCCCACAUUGCCUUCCUUAUUGAUUUAAAAACACACCAAACGUAGUCAAGUUAAAUUGUCUUGCUUUGGAUCACUUGGCAGCUCACUUCUCCUCCUCGUUUCAGCUAUAUCUCUGCACUGUUAAAUAUAAAAGAGUGUGAGCUUUUUCAAGCUCAGUGAGUGCUUAGAGAUUGCCACAAGUAAUCACAAUAUCCAAAGUUAGAAGAAAGCAUACAAUCACAAUUAAUCACGGUAAGCAAUAAAACAUAAUUCAUAGCAUUCACAUUAAUAUGUUGCCAGAAUGUGAUUAUGAAGCAUAUGUACAAAAUAUAUUGCAUUAGGUAACCAGAUUUCCAAAUACAACCAAUAUAAUGUGUAGCGUAAAGCUAUCACCCUCCAAACACAUCCACUUAAACAUGUAUACUUAUUGUUUUAUGCACACUUUCACAUAUCACACAACUCAUGUUCAUAUCACAUAUUCAAGUCUCAUAUCAUGCACUUACAAUUGCUCACAUUAUGCUCAAAUAGUCACAACAUAUAGAUCUCAUAUAGUGUAUAUAAAAUCAGCAAGACUCAUAUCAUAUUCAGUCAUGAACACAUAACAUUUUUAUUGUCAUCUCAAUAUACAACACAUAACAUAUCACAUUUAAGCAUCAUUUGCAAAUCAUCAUUAGUUUAGGUAGAAACACUUACUAUUGAAAAUUGGACGGUGUGGAUAUGUUUGGAUAGCUAGAAAAUCAUUAAGGGUGAGUUAAUUUUGAGAGAAAAUAUUAGAGUUGAAUUUGGGGAAAUUUUGAAUGUGAAAUUCAAUGGAGGGAAGGGACGUCGGGUUCUUAAAGAAAUGGGGAAGAUGAGUAGUUUUUUUUUUUUAAAUAAGGAAAAAUUGCAGUUUAAAAACUUCCAGUUUUCCUUUAUUUUUCAAUUCAGACCUUAGUUUAAUUAAAACGCAUUUUUCUCAAUUAUUUUCAAAUCCGAUAUUUUUAAAAGGUCCAUUUUAACCAAAUUAAUUCCCGAACACCCAAUUUUAAUUUCUUAACAUAAAAUUAUUAAUUAUAUUAAUUUUAAUACUUUAUUUAAUUAAUUCCUAAUUAUUUUAAUGAUCUAACUUAAUUAUGAUUUUUGAUUCACUAACCCCGAUUUACUAUCUCGAUUUUUUGGAUGCGACAUGACAGCAUUAUGUAAAUAUGAUAUAAUAAUAAUUACUGAUAGCAUACAAAUAAAUUGUUGAUUACAUACCCUAUUGUAUAAACUAAAAUAUAAUUAUACUACAAGUUCUAUAAUAUGAUAUCUAAUGGGUUAAUUUUUAAAAUUUCAUAUUUUAAAAUUAAAAAAAAUUAUAAAAAUGUUAAUUUAUAAUUAUUCCUAACUUAUAUGCUUUUCAAUGUUACAACUUUUAUUAGAAUUAUUAGUAAAAAAAUGCAUAAAUGAUUGAUAGCAUAAUCAUUUUAAAGACAAAUAAUUAUAAAUUAAUUAUAUAAAAGAGAUAACAUUUUGUACUUUGUUAAUAUAAAAAGGGUAAACACUUCAUAACAUAGUAAUAAAUUCUGGAUAAAAUAAUAAGAAAUAAUAUAGUAUAAAAUUAAAUAAUUAAUAAUAUAAUAUAAUAUAGUAAUAAAAUAUAUAAAUAUCAUUAUUUUUAAUGCCUAAUCGUAUAUACAUCAUUUUAAUUAAUAAAAAAAUUAUAAUAUUAUAAAUAAAACCAUGAUGAUAGUUUUGUUUCACCUUAAAUCAUUUUGAUUAAAAUAUGUUUAUAUUUUAUUAAUAUAUUAAUAAAAAUGGAAUAUAUUUUAAUUAAUACAUGAUCUUAUUUAUUAUUUAUUAUAUGUUAUUUUUAGACAUUAAAUACAUGACUUCCACACGCAUAUGCGUCUGAUAAGAUUUCUAGCGUUAUUUGAACCUUUCAGACAAUAAAAUUUUUAAUUAUUAGACUCUUGAUAUACUCUUAAAAACAAUCUACAUUUUUUUUCUAAAUCUAGACCCAUUUUUGGCCUAGCUCGGUCAAUCCAAAAAAUAACUCAUUUUCCUGUUCAAAAAUAAUAAAAUAAUUUUAUAUUAAUAUUUUUAUAUUUAAAUAUAAAUUUAAAAAUAUUUUUAUUAUUUAAAUUGAAUUCGAGUUGUACCGUCUCAAGACAUGGAAGGGUCUAUAGCCAACUUCUAUACCAUAUAUAUAUUUUUUUACUUUUAAAAUUUGAAGCGAAUAUAUAUUAUUAUAUAAAAUUGAAAUUUAUAAAAAUUUACGAAAUAAUAUAUUAGUGUUAAAUGUGAUAAAAGAUCAUAAUAAUAUCAAAAUAAGUUUAUAACUUAAACGUUUUAAUUAUAAAUAUAAAAAUUUAGAAGAUUAUUUUGGGAAGUACAUAUAUAUAUAUAUAUAUAUAUGAGAAGAAAAUGAGAAUAGAAGAAAUGGUAAGAGAGGGAAAAUGUUUAAAAAGUGGAGGCAGUUUGAUUUCUUAUUUACCUUUGCUUCUUAACCUCUUCCUUCCAUCAUUCCUUUUCUCCUCUCUUUUGCACUAUCCUCCCCCCUCCACCAACCCUUUCAUCUUUCUCUUCGCCAACAUCAAAAAUAUACAUCAAAUUUUAUUAAUAUGGAGAAAUUAGAUUUAUCAAAAUAAAAAAAUAAACAAAACCAUAAAUGGUUCAUACCUCUUAUCCUCCUCAGGGGCUGAAGCGAAGAACAUUUUUAAAGUUUGGAUGGUCAUCCCACUCCAACGAUUCCCACCAUUCUAUGUCUGACCAGAUGGUAAGAAAAGGUGGAGCAUAUGCAAAUGGCUGCCCAUUGCCAACAAGGGGAACAAAUGGAGGAAUUCUCUUCAGUUUAUCACAAUAUUCAACAACUUGGAUAAGUUGGAGAGAAUCACAAACCAUCACUCCACUUUUGCUGCAUAUGCUCUUCAAAUUUGGUAAGUUAUUUAGUCUCAAUUCUCUCAAUUUGGGAAGAUGGAAUUUGAUUAAUGCAUCAUUCCCUUUUUCUUCAACUUCUGAUGUUGCUGCUACCAAUAUUUCUACUAGCUGACUACAAGCACCCACCUGUUGAAAGCUGGACUGCAAUGCAACAUGGAACCAAAAGCUUGCUACUGUCGAGACCAGCAGCUAUCGAGCUCAGCUCGUUUUGCUUGGUGCACAAGAAUGGUUUUUGAACUGAAUGAAGCAACCAACUUUGCUGUUUUGUUUUGAUGUAAUUUGAUUCAGUUCAACUUUAGUUUGUUUGUAAUGCUAGUUAAACUUAAGUUAGUGACAAGAUCUUUUGAUGUAAUGGCUGAUUGGUCAGCUAUGUUUGAUUAUUUUUUGGCUAGUGAUUAGGUUUGUAUUAGUUGGGGCAGUUAAAUACAUUAGGUAACUGUCAAUGUACAAUUGUAACUCUUUUAUAUAUUUCAAGUUGAAUGAAAAAUGAUGUAUGUUCAGUCACAAACAUUGCUGAGUAUUUUGAUUUUUGAUGCUUUGCUUGCCUUGAUUCUUCUUGCUUCAGUCUUGCAAACACUGAGUUGCAAAUUUGCUUUGAUGUUUGCUGCUGUCAUUGUUCCUACAAAUGGUAUCAUGAGCCCGAGUCUUUGAGGGGCCUUUGUAUGCAAUCUGUUGUGUUCGAAACAAAACCAACAGCAAGUUCAAAAUUUGGUAAGAUUGAAGCAUUUAAAAUCAGUUUAGCAGAAUGAGUUUCACUCCACCACCUCCACCAGUGUUCACUGGAGAAAACUAUCACAUUUGGAUAGUUAAAAUGAAGACUUAUCUCCAGGCACAUGAUCUUUGGAGUGUGAUCGAGAAUGAUGCUGAACCACCUCCAUUGAGAGCCAAUCCCACCAUUGCACAGAUGAGGCAACAUACUGAGGAGCGAGCCAAGAAGCAUAAGGCUAUGGCCUGCUUGCAAAAUGGAGUCUCUGAUGUGAUAUUUACUCGCAUCAUGGCCUGUGACUCACCUAAGCAGGCUUGGGAGAAGCUGAAGGAGGAGUUCAUGGGGACUGAUAAGACAAGGCAACAGCAAGUAAUCAACCUCAGGAGAGACUUUGAAAACUUGAGGAUGAAGGAGUCUGAGACCAUCAAGCAGUACUCAGACAGGAUAAUGGCCAUUGUCAACAGCAUUAGGCUCCUGGGAGUGGACUUCACAGAGAGCAGAGUUGUUGAAAAGGUUAUUACAACUCUUCCUGAGAAAUUUGAGUCUAAAAUCUCUUCACUUGAGGACUCGAGGGACUUAUCAGCCAUUUCAUUGUCUGAGCUGAUAAAUUCCCUAUAUGCACUUGAGCAAAGGAGGGCAAAUAGGCAGGAGGAGAAUCCUGAAGCUGCUUUCCAGGCUAAAGCCAGUGAAGGCUCGAGUGUGAGUGCAAAAGGCAAGAAGCCUUGGCACAAUAGAAGGGUCAAGUCAGGAAGAGAUGAAGCAAAAAGGGUGUUCCCACCAUGUGUUCAUUGCAAGAAGACAACACAUUCAGAAAAGUAUUGCUGGUUUAGGCCAGAUAUUCAGUGUAGAAAAUGCAAACAGUUUGGCCAUGUGGAGAAGGUGUGCAAGGGCAAACCAAGGGAGGCUACCUUGCAACAAGCUAGACCUGCUGAGGACAUUCAAGCUCAGGAGGAGCAAGUGUUCACAGCAACUUGUUUUGCUGGCACAACCAAGGCCAGCAAUGAUUGGCUACUAGACAGUGGCUGCUCACACCAUAUGGCAGCAGAUGAGAAGCUGUUCAAAAGCCUAGACAGAAGCUUCCACUCGAGGAUUAGAAUUGGAGAUGGUAGGCUGAUUGAGGCUAAAGGCAAGGGCAGUGUGUUGAUUAGCACUGGUUCAGGUAACAAGCUGAUCUCAGAUGUGUUUUUUGUACCUGACUUAGACCAUAAUUUGCUUAGUGUGGGCCAAUUAGUUGAAAAGGGCUAUACAUUGGUUUUUAAGGAUGGUUGCUGUAUUGUUCAAGACAUGAAUGGUCUGGAGUUAGUCACAGUCUCUAUGACUGAUAGGUGCUUCAUGCUGGAUGUUAGCCAAAUAGAAAGAAAGGCAUACACCAGCCUUGUUGAAAGCACUGACUUGUGGCAUAGGAGACUAGGCCAUGCAAAUUUUAGAUCUAUUGAUCUAUUACAUAGGCUGAAUCUGGUUGAUGACAUUUCAAAAAUUGAAGCUAGUGGGAAUGUUUGUGAGGUUUGUCAGCUUGGUAAGCAGGCUAGACUGCCUUUUCCUGCUGACAGUGCUUGGAGAGCUCAAGACAAGCUCGAAUUGGUGCACUCUGAUGUUUGUGGCCCUAUGAGAACACCUUCAAUCAGUGAGAACAGGUACUUUGCCUUGUUUAUAGAUGAUUUAACAAGGUUAUGCUGGGUCUACUUCUUGAAGCAAAAGUCAGAAGUGUUUGAAGUCUUCUGUAAAUUCAAGGCUUAUGCUGAAAAUCAGUCAGGCUGCAAAAUUAGAGCCUUGAGGACUGAUAAUGGAUCUGAAUAUGUGUCUGAGAGAUUUCAGAAGCUUUGUGACAGUGCUGGGAUUCACCAUCAGCUCACAACAGUCUAUUCUCCUCAACAGAAUGGAGUCUGUGAGAGAAAGAAUAGGACUGUAUUGAACAUGGCCAGGUGCCUCUUGUUUCAAGGCAAGCUUCCAAGUCAGUUUUGGGCUGAGGCAGUCAACACUUCAGUGUAUCUGCUCAACAGACUGCCAACUAGAGCAGUCAAGGAUAAGACUCCUUUUGAGGCUUGGCACGGAGUCAAACCUGUGGUAACACACUUAAAAGUGUUUGGCUGUGUAUGUUAUGCACUUAUUCCAGUGGAGAAAAGGACCAAGCUUGAGAACAGAGCAACUCCAGGAAUCUUUGUUGGCUACAGCAGCAACAAGAAGGGCUAUAGAGUGUAUGAUCCUACAGCAAAGAAGGUUUUAGUCAGCAGGGAUGUUAAGUUUGAUGAGGAAAAGGUGUGGAAUUGGAAUGGUGUUGUGGCUAACUUGUCUGAAUUGGACCAGUUAGACUUGGUUGCUGAACCUGCAGAAGAAGGACCAAGUAAUGAUGCUGUCGAUGAUAUACCAGUGAGGGGCACCAGAACUUUGGUUGAUGUUUAUCAGAGGUGCAAUGUUGCUGUGAUUGAGCCCUCAGACUUUGAAGAAGCUGCUAAAAACAGAAGCUGGAUGAAAGCUAUGGAAGCUGAGUUGGAAAUGAUCAACAAAAAUCAGACUUGGGAGUUGGUGAGCAGACCAGAACACAAGAGGGUCAUAGGAGUUAAAUGGGUGUAUCGGGCCAAGUACAAUGCUGAUGGCUCACUGAACAAGCACAAGGCCAGGCUUGUGGUGAAGGGCUACAGUCAGCAGUAUGGUGUUGACUACCUAGAAACUUUUGCUCCAGUGGCAAGACUGGAUACAAUUAAGCUGCUGUUUGCUUUAGCAGCUCAGAAGCAGUGGAGAGUUCACCAAUUGGAUGUCAAAUCAGCAUUCCUGAAUGGUUUUCUCAAGGAGGAGAUCUUCAUCGAGCAACCUGAAGGUUUUGAAGUUGUUGGACAUGAAGACAAAGUGUAUAAGUUGAGAAAGGCCCUCUAUGGCCUGAAACAGGCACCAAGGGCCUGGUAUGACAGAGUUGAUGCCUACCUAACCAAACUUGGAUUUGUAAAGAGCCUUAGUGAGCCUACUCUAUAUGUUAAAAAGUCAGAACAUGAAACCUUGCUGAUAGUCUCCUUGUAUGUGGAUGAUUUGCUUGUGACAGGGAGCAAAAUCGAGCUCAUUGAUCAGUUCAAGGUCCAAAUGCAGCAAGUGUUUGAGAUGACAGAUUUGGGGAUCAUGACUUACUUCCUUGGCAUGGAAGUGCACCAAUCUGAUCGAGGUAUCUUCAUCAGCCAACAUUCAUUUGCUUUGAAGAUUCUAGACAAAUUUUGCAUGCAUAACUGUAAAGCAGUCAGCACACCUGUGGCUCAAGGAGAAAAGCUGACUAGCAGUGGUGAUCAGCAGAGGGUUGAUGAGAGGCACUAUCGAAGCCUGGUUGGUUGUCUGUUGUAUCUAACAGCAACCAGGCCAGAUAUCAUGUUUGGUGUCAGCCUGUUAUCAAGAUUUAUGCAUUGUUGCAAUGAGGCACAUUUGAAGGCAGCAAAGAGGAUCCUUAGAUACAUCAAGGGCACUGCUAGUUUUGGUGUAAUGUUUGAAAGUCAGAACCAACUGAAAUUAGAAGGUUACUCUGACAGCGAUUGGGCAGGAUCUCUCGAUGACAUGAAGAGUACCUCUGGAUACUUCUUCACACUUGGAUCGGGCAUGUUUUGCUGGAGUUCUAAGAAGCAACAAACUGUUGCUCAGUCCACAGCUGAAGCAGAAUACAUUGCUGCAGCAGGAGCAGUUAAUCAGGCCAUUUGGCUAAGAAAGCUGCUUUAUGACCUUAAUGAAACUCAAGAUGAAGCAACUGAAAUCUGGGUGGACAAUCAGUCUGCAGUUGCAAUAGCCAAGAACCCUGUGUUCCAUGGCAAGACUAAGCAUUUUAAGAUCAAAUUGCAUUUUGUUAGAGAGGCUGAACAAGCAAAGGAAGUCAGCCUUGUGCAUUGCAGCUCAGGAGCACAAUUGGCUGACAUAAUGACCAAGCCCUUAGGGGCUGCUCGAUUUGAAUCUUUGAGAAGUGCAAUUGGAAUGUGUUGCAUACAGUCCAAGGAGGAGUGUUGAAAGCUGGACUGCAAUGCAACAUGGAACCAAAAGCUUGCUACUGUCGAGACCAGCAGCUAUCGAGCUCAGCUCGUUUUGCUUGGUGCACAAGAAUGGUUUUUGAACUGAAUGAAGCAACCAACUUUGCUGUUUUGUUUUGAUGUAAUUUGAUUCAGUUCAACUUUAGUUUGUUUGUAAUGCUAGUUAAACUUAAGUUAGUGACAAGAUCUUUUGAUGUAAUGGCUGAUUGGUCAGCUAUGUUUGAUUAUUUUUUGGCUAGUGAUUAGGUUUGUAUUAGUUGGGGCAGUUAAAUACAUUAGGUAACUGUCAAUGUACAAUUGUAACUCUUUUAUAUAUUUCAAGUUGAAUGAAAAAUGAUGUAUGUUCAGUCACAAACAUUGCUGAGUAUUUUGAUUUUUGAUGCUUUGCUUGCCUUGAUUCUUCUUGCUUCAGUCUUGCAAACACUGAGUUGCAAAUUUGCUUUGAUGUUUGCUGCUGUCAUUGUUCCUACACCACCCUAAUAUCUUCCAGGUUUUGGAGGUUUGGAAGCAACCAAUGUGGAAGCAACGUCUUCAUACUUGAGCACCUGUAUACUUCAAUUCGCUUAAGAUGGGAAAAGGUGGCAGACGGAGCCACUGUUGAUGUUGUUGCUGAACCAAUUCCUGAAUCUUUCAUAAUAAGGGCACUCAACUUUGGCAGAAAUUGAAGAUCCAACACCUCGAGGCUCUGAAAUGGAUGAGCGGAAGAAGAGGCAAAAGAGGACAAGGAAACAACACACUCUAUCCCUUCACAAUCAUAAAUCCUACAAACCCUCAAGUCAAUCGCAUUUUUGAAGGAAGAAUUAUCAUCGACUAAGUUUCUCAAAUAGUCGCACUUUAAAAUAUACAACUCUUUAAUUUUAAUUGGGUGCAUAAUUAACUCACCUUCCCAAUUCUGGACUCCUCCAAUUGUUACUGUUUUAUCUCUUCUACGAGGAAUAAAAGCUGGGCCCACCCUAUAUGAGCCCACUUGUAAAGAGUACUUGAUGAGAUUUUUUUUACUUUGUUGCAUUGACGAGAUGAACUUAUUCAAUUCCUUGAUGUCUUCGAAACGUCCGGUAAAACACUCCAACUUCUUCAAUGGUUCCAUCUGCUCUGCUUUUAGACUUAUUUGUCUAUUAAAACCCAAGUGCUGAAGGUGAACGAGUUUUGGCAAAAGUCCAGCGGGUAUCUCCUUCAGAGUGCGCACACUAAGAUCAAGAUAUCUUAGCUUUAGCAGCAUAUCUAUUCCUUCAGGGACUUCCUCAAUUUCUGUCCCAGAAAGAUCCAACUUCUUCAAUUCUUGAAGCAUGGAAAGACAUGGUAGAUCUCUUAAUUCAGAACAACCACAAAGCAACAAUGUUGUGAGGUUCUUUAGUUCAGAGAUGGAAUUUGGUAAACUUUUGAUCUUCGUAGAGGACAAAUUGAGAACACUAAGAUAAGGCAUGUUUAUGAAGAAAGAACUUGAGAUCUUCUUUAUAGGGUUCUCUUGCAAUAACAAGGUUGUGAGCAGUUGACAUUUUGUGGGCAGCACAUCUAUGGAAAUUUCUGAUAUGGAGUUAUUCAUAAGUGACACUUUCUCAAUAUCCCGACUCCAUCGCUCCAUUUCUGGUAAUUCUUCUAAUUGCAAACCUGCUUGUAUCAUAUAUCGAGGAUUCAUUCUUGUGAUCGACAAUGCCAUGUCUCUUACUGCAUCAUGCAUCUUUAUGCAAGGUUGACCACAUCCAUCGGUAAUAUUUUCCAGCAAGCAAUUCUCUGCUAACUUCUUCAAAACAACAUGGCCCUUUUCUUUCAUUUCUUGUCUCGUACCCAUAUCAUCUAUGAAUCCCUCCUCAAUCCAACACUCAAUUAGCUCAUCUUUUCCAAUUUCAUAAUCUUCAGGAUAUAAUGCGCAAUGUAAGAAACAAUAUUUCACUUUCUCGUCCUUUAAGUGAUUGAAGCUAAAUUUCAAACGCUCUAUCACUUUAGCUUCCACUUCUUCCUCUUUUUCUAUUCUCUCUUUCAAUUCCCUGAGUGCGUUUUUCCAAAUAAGAGGGUCGUCUUCUCCUUUCAAUGUACCAGCUACGACGACAAUUGUAAGAGGUAGACCCGCACAUUCCUUGACAACAAGCUUCAGAGUAGGCAUUAUAGUUGGACUUUGAACUAUGUUAGGUCCAGCUUUAUUCAAGAAUAGUAUCAAUGCCUCUUCUUCUGAAAGGGGCUUCACUUUUAUCACCUUACAACCCAUAUACUUACAGACAUGCUCCGAACGGGUUGUCAACACCAACUUGCAGCCAUUGCUGCCACACGGCUCGGGGAUCCCAACUUCCUCUAGAGAGACUUUAUCCCACACAUCAUCUAGGAUUAGAACAUGCUUUCCUGCGUUCUUCAGCAUUUCUGACAAGAUUGCUGCUCGUCUGAGCUUGUCUCCUUCUCUGGGCCAAUCUUCCUUCAACUUCAAAGCAGCUGCAAUAUCAUCUUGUACCUUCAUGACAUUGAACUCCUUUGAUAUGGUAACCCAUAUUACCCUUUCGAAUCUUUGUUCUUUUAAAAGAUCAUUGUGGAUGUGCUUCAUGAUAGUGGUUUUACCCACACCGCCCAUCCCCCAAACCCCAAUCUUGCUCACCUCCUCCAGCAUCAAACAUGCCCAAAUCUCUUUUCUGACAGCUUCCUCUCCAACUAGUUCUGAUGUUGGCAGUGGCAACCCAGCACUUGGACCAUCCAUGGCAAGACCUUCAGAGGCAUUAGGAGCGUUAUCAAGAAAUUCCUUCAUUUCUCGAGUCUUUUCAUCAACCAGCUUCCCGUUGCAAGCACGACAGAGAUAUCUCCCGUUACCGACUUUGUUUUCAACAACUUGUGCUUCCCUAAUCAUCUCUUUCACAGCUUUCAACCAAUUUUCAACUCCCUUCUUCGGUAUCUUCCCUAGAGGACGAAGAAGCUCUGCUUUCAAUUGCAGCUCUAUAUCUUCCAUUUUGCAAUUCAACUCAUCUCUCAUUCUCUUGAAGUUUCGCACAUAAUCAUUGAGCUUUCUGUGAUAUUGCAAGUAUUUACAAGCAGGAGUUCCAAGACAAUUUGCAAUGCCGAGAACAGGCUCUACGUACUCCAUUGCUAUGUCCCUGCAACGCAAUCAUAUAUAACAGUAACAGAUAAUGAAAAUCUGUGAAUGUAUUGGCUUUUUGAUAUGUCAGUGUAAACAUUAAUGCAAGUUUCAAGCAAUGGCGUUUAUUAGAUGGAGCUAUGGAUGGGUGGCAGACAGAAACAUGAUGAAAUUUGUAUAUCCAGAAUUAACCUCUCAAUUAAUAGAAAAUGCUAGAUUCAAGUGUGCAACAGAAUAUGAAGAGGUAAAAUGUUCAAUAGUUUGAGAUUUCAACAUUAUAUUGCUUCUGGGAAGCUCUUUUUGUAUUAAUUUCUAUCUAGAGUAGAUUAUGUGUGCUGGUCAUCCACUCUUAAAAUCUAAAACUGUUGAUAAUCAGUAGAUGAAAUCAUAGCUUCAGAUCUUAUUACCUGACUUAGUGGCUGAAAAGUGUUGAGAGAAUAGAACUGAAAUUGAAGCGGUGAAGUUGACUGUCGUACAAAGCUAGCUGCUAAGAGUAGCAGAUAAUCAGAAACAACCAUUGCAAAGUCAUGAAUGAAGCAAAGAAAAGCAUGUGAUGGAUUAAGCAAAUGAAAGAAAAUUAGCUUGAAAUUUGGUGAUAGACGUUGGACAUCAAAACAAAAUCAUUGUAGUUGUCAAGAAAUAAUAUUUAAUAAUAAUAGUUGGCAUGGUAUAAGAAUGCAUAAUUAUUAUGUAUAGUUAUUCGCACCCUAUUAGUAAAUUAUUUGCAUUGUUGAAGUUGUCAGAAUUCAAUUUUGGACAAUUUCUUACAUAUGGACAUUAGUAAGAUGUGAAUAAAUCUAUUUAAACUUUUUAUAUAAGUAAGUUUAUUCAACUUAAAAUAAAUUUUUAAUUACAUACAAAUUUCUCGAUAUGCUAUAUCAUUGAAUCUAAGUUGGUUUUAAAAUUAAUUUUUUUGUCAUUUGACUGUUGAGUGGUACUUUUUAAAUUGGUAUAAUAACAAUUUUAGUUUUUAAAUUUUAUACUUUCACUCAAUUUGAUCUUGAUAAUAUAUAAAAUAGAAAUAAGCAAAAGUGUAAUAGGUUCCACGAAGGCAGAAUUAUGAUUAAGAAAUCCCAUCUUUCUUUUAGUUUUUUUUUCCUUUGCUGUUCGCCAUUAUAGUUGGCAUUAAACUAUGGGAUACCCUCCUGUUGCUAUUUCAAUUUCAAUUUUUUAUUUUUGUAAUAAACAUAGACAUGCCUGGGAGGGGGUGUUGCACCUCUCGUGAGAUUCCCUUCAAUUGCUAGUUCAAUUUCUUUUUAUUUUUAUUUUUAUAAUAAACAUACACAUGCCUGGGAGGGGGUGUUGCACCCCAUGUGAUCGAGGGUUGCAAUAACGUUACUGCGAAUGUCUUACUUGAUAGUUACUGAGUGGUUGAUGAUAACCAAUUAAAACUCAAAACAUUCUAACAUUUCACAUCAUGCGCAUGUUGACAAUUAUUUUUUAUAAAACUAUAAAAAUGCUUAUCUAUGCUUUUCAUUUUAUGUUGUUCAUCCAACUAUUAAUUUUUUUCGAUUUAGUCAUUAAACUUUUCGGAAUUAAAUAUUUUAAUCAUUCCAAGCUGAUUGGGCUUUCUUUUAUUGGUCUAGUAACUAAAUUAGUCCUCUAAUAGUUACACGUUCUAUUAAUUUGAUCUUAAAUAUAAAAAAUUCAAUAAAUCUAGCCUCAAUGCUCACAAAAUUUAUCAUUUUAGUUUUAAUUCUAAAACUUAAUUGCGAUUUUUAAUUCACUAACUCCCGAUUUACUAUCCCGAUUUUUGGGAUGUGACAUGACAGCAUUAUGUAAAUAUGAUAUAAUAAUAAUCACUGAUAGCAUACAAAUAAAUUAUUGAUUACAUACCCUAUUGCAUAAACUAAAAUAUAAUUAUACUACAAGUUCUAUAAUAUGAUAUCUAAUGGGUUAAUUUUUAAAAUUGCAUAUUUUGAAAUUAAAAAAAAUUAAAAAAGUUAAUUUAUAAUUAUUUCUAACUUAUAUGCUUUUCAAUGUUAAAACUUUUAUUAGAAUUAUUAGUAAAAAAAUGCUUAAAUGAUUGAUAGCAUAAUCAUUUUAAAGACAAAUAAUUAUAAAUUAAUUAUAUAAAAGAGAUAACAUUUUGUACUUUGUUAAUAUAAAAAGGGUAAACACUUCAUAUUAAAAUAAUACGUGACUUCCGCACGCAUAUUCGUGUGAUAAGAUUUCUAGCGUUAUUUGAACCUUUCAGACAAUAAAAUUUUUAAUUAUUAGACUCUUGAUAUACUCUUAAAAACAAUCUACAUUUUUUUCUAAAUCUAAACCCAUUUUUGGCCUAGCUCGGUCAAUCCAAAAAAUGACUCAUUUUACUGUUCAAAAAUAAUAAAAUAUUUUUAUUAUUUAAAUUGAAUUCGAGCUGUACCGUCUCAAGACAUGGAGGGGUUGAUAGCCAACUUCUAUACCAUAUUUUUUUUACUUUAAAAUUUGAAGCGAAUAUAUAGGAAAAAUUGUAAAAAUAGUCACUUUUGUUUACCUCAUAUUACAUUUUAGUCAUUUACGUUAUCGUUUUGUUACGAAGCGGUCACUCUACCGUUAAGCUUUUUACCUCCCUAACAACAGUCCUAUGUGGUAGUCCAAAUGGGUUUUAAAUGCCAACUUGGAUGUUCUACAUGACAGUCCAAAUUAAAAUUUUUAAUUAAAAACUUAUUUUCAUCCCAGCAAAUGGACAUCCAAGUUGACAUUUAAAACCCAUUUGUAUUGCCAUGUAAGACUAACGUUAGGGAGGUAAUGAAGUUUAAUGAUAAAGUGAUUACUUCGUAACAAAGUCAUAACGUAAGUGACUAAAACGUAACAUUUCAAACAUAAGUGACUAAAAUGUAAUUUGAGACAAACAAAAUUGACUAUUUUUGUAGUUUACUCGAAUAUAUAUCAUUAUAUAAAAUUUGAUAUUUAUUAAAAUUUACGAAAUAAUAUAUUAGUGUUAAAUGAGAUAAAAGAUUAUAAUAAUAUCAAAAUAAGUUUAUAACUUAAAUGUUUUAAAUAUAAGUAUGAAAAUUUAGAAGGUUAUUUUGGAAACUAUAUAUAUAUAUAUAUUAGAGAAGAAUAAGAGAAUAAGAGAGGGAAAAUGUUUAAAAAGUGGAGGCUGUUUGAUUUCUUAUUUAUGCUCUUAACCUCUUCCUUCCAUCAUUCCUUUUCUCCUCUCUUUUGCACUAUCCUUCCCCCUCCUUUCCCACCCCCACUUUUAUCUUUCUCUUCAACAUCAUCACAAAAUAUACCUGAAAUUUCUUCAAACGAGACUUCAGUCCACACAUCAUCUAGGAUUAGAACAUGUUUUCCUGCUCUCUUCAGCAUUUCGGACAAGAUUGCUGCUCGUCUGACCUUGUUUGCUUCUUCGGGAAUCUUUCCAUUCAAUGCACUUGCAAUAUCAUUUUGUAACUUCACAAUAUUGAACUCCUUUGAUAUAGUAACCCAAACAACCCUUUCAAAUCGUUGUUCUUUCAAAAGAUCAUUGUGGAUGUGCUUCAUGAUGGUUGAUUUACCCACGCCGCCCAUCCCCCAAACACCAAUCUUGCUUACCUCCUCCUGCAUCAAACAUGCCCAAAUCUCUUUUCUGACAGCUUCCUCUCCAACUAGUUCUGAUGUUUCCAGUGGCAACCCAGCACUUGGACCAUCCAUGGCAAGACCUUCAGAGGCUUUAGGAGCUUUAUCAAGAUAUUCCUGCAUUUCUCGAGACUUUUCAUCAACCAGCUUCCCGUUGCAAGCACGACAGAGAUAUCUCCCAUUACUGACUUUGUUUUCAACAACUUGUGCUUCCCUAAUCAUCUCUUUCACAUCUUUCAACCAAUUUUCAACUCCCUUCUUCGGUAUCUUCCCCAGAGGACGAAGAAGCUCUGCUUUCAACUGCAGCUCUAUAUCUUCCAUUCUGCAAUUCAAUUCAUCUCUGAUCCUCUUUAAGUUUCUCACAUAAUCGUUCAGCUUUCUGUGAUAUUGCAAAUAUUUACAAACAGGAGUUCCGAGACAACUUGCAAUGCCGACAACAGGCUCUACGUACUCCAUUGCUAUGUCCCUGCAAUGCAAUCAUAUAAAAAAGUAGCAGAGAAUGAAAAUCUGUGAAUGAAUUGGAUAUUUUAGUAAGUAUUGAUAUGUCAGUGUAAGCAUGAAUGCAAGUUUCAAGCAAUGGCGUCUAUUAGAUGGAGCUAUGGAUGAGUGGCAGACAGAAACAUUAUGAAAUUCUAGUCACCAUUGUAGAUCCAGAAUCAAUCUCUCAAACUAUAUAACAUGCUAGAUUCAAAUGUGCAAGAGUUCAUUACAGAAUAUUAAGAGGUAAAAUGUUCAACAGCAAGAGAUUUCAACAUUAUAUUGCUUCUGGGUAGCUCUUUUCGUAUUAAUUUGUAUCUAGUAGACUAUGUCUGCUGAUCAUCCUGUCUUAAAAUUGAUAAUCAGUAGAGGAAAUCAUUGCUUCAGAUCGUAUUAUCUUGACUAUCUUACAAAGCAUAGCUGUUUUCGUAUUAAUUUGUAUCUAUAGUAGAUUAUGGCUGCUGAUCAUCCUGUCUUAAAAUCUAAAACUGUUGAUAAUCACUAGAGGAAACCAUUGCUUCAGAUCUUAUUACCUUGACUAUUUUACAAAGCUAGCUGCUAUAACAGAAGCUGAUAAUAAAAAACAAUCAUUGUAUAGUCAUGCAUUAAGCAAAUGGCAGAAAAUUACCUUGACUGGAUGCUUGAAAAUUAGUGAUAGACCUUGGAGAUGAAAAGAAAUUAAAAAGAGUGAAGAAGAAGGUGAAAACAGAAAUAAGCCAAAUUAUGAUAGGAAUUACUGGGAAAGUAUGUGAAGCAGAAGAAGAAAGAGAAAAUAAUUAAUAAUUACAUGUAUAAAAAGACGAAAAUAAUUAAUAAUUACAUGAGUAAGAGAUCCAUCUUUUUUUACUUUUUUCUUUGCUGUCACCCAUUAUAAUUCGCAUUAAAUAAUAAUAAUUAGGUCCCUUCAAAAAAAUAAUAAUAAUUAGGUUUAAUGAUAAAUUUGAUCACUAAUUUUUGCUUGUUUUGUCAAAAUGACCCUAAUUCUAUUUUUGAGCAUUUCUUUACCAUCAACCUUUGUUUCAAUAUUUCUUUUCUUUCAAAAGUUUUCAAUCUUUCAUAUGUUUGUUUACUGAGAAGUUUUUCUACUGAGUUAAAAUUUUUUAAAUAAUUACAUUUAUUUUCUUUAAAUUAAGAUUUUUUUAAUUUAAUGUAUUAUUUAUUUUAAUAUUUUUUACAUGUAAUUAUCUUAUUGGGUAAGUUUUGCAGUCAUCUUGGUGCUCAGUUGUAACAACAACAUCAGCAGCAGCAUCAUAAUGGGAAAGUAUGGUAUAAGAAGGCCUAACUAUAUGUUACAACUUGAAAUAUCUCAUAUUGGGUAUUCACCGUUUUUAAAAAUAGUUGAAAUUCAAAUUGUCAUUGUACUAAAAUUGUUUUAAAAUUUUAGAAUAUUAUAAAAUUAAAAAUUAAAUAACAGUAGAUAAACAUUUCAAAAAUAAAUAAAUUGAGGGAUAAUUAUUUUUAAACCCUCUAAAAUUUCUCUUUAUUAUCCAUAUCGAAAUAUCUAAUAUCCAUUCUUUAAAAGAAAUAUAGAAAAGAAAAAAACAUUAAGCAAAAUCAUUUGUUUUUUGUUUUUUACCUCUUAUGUUCCUUAACAUAACUUUUACAUUACAAGAUGUAAAAAGAUAAAAUUCUAAAUAUAAUUUAUUUUUACAAUUUGAGUUUUGAAAAAUAAUUUAAAUGUAAUGGAAUUUUGAAUUGAGUUUGAAAAAGAAAAUUUGGUGGUAUUUUUUGUAUUCUUUAUACUAUAAAAUGGCAUCAAGUUCAAUUUAUCAUAAGCUUUUGUCAUAUCAAUUACUUUAAAGACAUGAAACUCAACUUGAUAAUAUUACUAAUUUGGUUUUGUUUUGUUAGUGGAUUCUAUUGAAUGAUAAUUUCCUUUAUUUGGUUAUUCAACAAUAUAUUCAAGAUUUUAUUUGCAAAGUAAGAUAUAUGAUUAUGAGGGUGUUUUCGUCUUUUCAUAUAUUUAUAAAUCAAUAAAAAUUUAUCCAUAACAAGAUUUGAACCAAGGGAAACAUGAGAAAUGAACCAACGUUAAAAUCUUACAACACAAUAUUCAUUAUCUCUUCUGAAUAUGGGAUAGUUACAAUCAUCCCUUAAAGUUAAUUCAAUUUCAAUUCAAAAAGUGCGCGUUGGAUUGGAGCUGUUUGAUGUACAGUUGGAAAAACAAUUUCAUGGGUUAAGCAAAUGAAAGAAAAUUACCUUGGCAGGAUGCUUGAAAUUUGGUGAUAGACCUUGGAGAUCAAAACAAAAUCAUUGAAGUUGGCAAUGAAUAAUAUUUAAUAAUAAUAGGUAUAAGAAGGCAUAAUUAUAUGUUACACCUUGAAAUUAAAUAUAUAAGUAAAUGGGUUGUAUUAGGUAGAGUUAUUCGCACCCCAUUACUAAAUUAUUUGCGUUGUUGAAGUUGUCAGUAUUCAAUUUUGGAUCCAACUCUGGACAAUUUCUUACAUAUGGUACUUUUUAAAUUGAAAUAAUAAUAAUUUUAGUCCUUAAUUUUUUUAUAUUUUCAGUUAAUUUGACUUAAAUUAUUUUUAAAAUUUUAAAACAUUAUAAAAUUAAAAAUUAAAUAAAAAUAGAUAAAAUUUUUAAAAUUAAAUAAAGCGAGUGAAAAUGAGGGUAAUUUCUUUUAAACCCUUCAAAAUUUCUCUAUAUUAUUUAUAUCAAAAUAUCCAAUACCCAUUCUUUAAAAAGAAUAUAUAUAUAAAAAAAUUAAAAAAAUUAUAUGUCUCUGUUUUUUACCUCUUCUAUUUCUUGACGUAGCUUUUACAUAAUUUAAAUGUAAUGAAAAUUUGAAUUGAGUUUGAAAAAUGAUUUUUUUUUGUGGUAUGUUUAAUUUGUAUUCUUUUGAUUAAAAAAAAAUAGCAUCAAGGUCAAUUUCAUAAACCUUUGUAAUAUCAAAAUAUCCAAUACCCAUUCUUUAAAAAGAAUAUAUAAAAAAAUUUAAGAAAAAUGACAUGUCUCUAUUUUUUUACCUCUUCUAUUUCUUGACGUAGUUUUUACAUUAUAAGAAACUAUAAAAUUCCGAAUAUAAUUUACGUUAUAAGAAUCUAUAUUAUGUAUUAAGUCUUUUACUGAGUUGGUUUAACCCAUCAAUCGGUCCCAACUCAGUAAGAAAAAUACGAAAAAAUAAUUUUAUUUGUAAAGUAAGAUAUAUGAUUACGAUGGUGUUUUCGUAUUUUCAUAUCUGUAUAAAUCAAUAAAAAAUUAUCUAUAAUGAAAUUUGAACCAAGGACACCAUGCAUAUAAAACUUUUUUGAGGUCUAUUGAGUCAUUCACAAUUGCUUCGCCCCCCAAGGCUCGUAUUCAACUGUUACGCAUAACCAUUUACAUAAUUCUUCAUUUUGAUUUACAUCAGUACACAAGUGGUUCCAUAUCAUCAUACCAUUGCAUUUUGAUAUCAUUUACCAAGUUUACCAUUUAUAAUCCCUAUUAAUAGGCUCGUAUUGUCCCCGGUGAGGGUUUUGUCUCUCAUACUCUGCCGAGAGCCAGUAUUUGGUACAUAUCCCAACUGGUAUUACGGAUGUAGCUAAGCAGUAUAAGCUUUAAGUUGGUGAUUCGAGUCUCCGUACCCAUGAUGAGCUUUAUAAUUGUUCAUACGCCCUAUGCUAGCAGUUUUCCCUUGAGUUUUGUAGAUCCAACAAUUAAGACCCUCCUGGCAAGAUAAACCAGGAACUCCCUUGAGCACCAUCCAAGGUGACCUUAACACUAUCCCCCACGUUAUCUCCAUCCUAAACAACUUGAGAGGUAUCCGAAUGAAGCUGCAAUGGAGCAACUUUCUCAUCACCACCUUAAAACAAUACAAGAAUUUGCAUUAAAAUAGAGAAAUGAGAUUAUAAAGUACAAAUAAAUAAAAAUGUUGACAUUACACAAUUUAUGCCAAUGGGGUUGAAUAACAUUCUUAAAGUUUAAUCAUGCCUAUUUUACAAUUUAUUCAAUUUAGUCCUAAACCUGAGAUAAGAAAAACUUUCGAUUUAAAGCUUCGGAAUAAAAUUUGAUUUCACAUGUAUUCAUUAGGGACCUUAUACUUUCUAUUCCUACCACAAUUUUAUAAAAAAAUUUAUUUUAUUCAAUUUUGUCCCUAAUAUAAAAGGCUAACAAUCAAGUUUUAUAAUUUAGUCCUUUUGAUAACCUAAGCUUAAUUUCUAUCAAUUUCAAGCCUAAUUCAUUCAAUUCUCAACAAUGGUAACUUAUCGAAAUUUCACCAAUUGAACAAAUUGAUACAUGAGCUAGCUUAAUCAAGCUCUCAUUAUAAAAAAAAAUCUAUUAAAAAAAAAACAAAAUGGCUAGAGACUUACUUGUAAAUGUUGGUCGAAUGAACAAGGUUUCAAAAAUGGCAUUUUUACUUGGCUUUACUCCCUUGGCCAGUUGAAAAAGAUGAAUAUUCAUCUCUCCUUCCACUAAAUUUGGUUUAUAUAGCUAGGUUAGUUUAUAAUUAAGCUUAAUUAAUUACUUUAAUCGUGUUUAAUUAACAUUAAUCUUUAAUUAAUAUUAUCUAAUGAUAUUCAAGAUCACACCCCACUAUCAUCUAUUUAAAAUUGGUCUAUUAACCAUUUUAGUCCUUUGGAUAAUUUUUAUCUAAGCCCCCAAACUUUUAUCAAAUUAAAACUCUAUAGCGAUUUAACUUUUACAAUUUAGUCUCUAGGCCUUAAUUAACCACAUUUUCAACUAAAUUAUUUAACUAAAUUUCAAUACAUCUAUAUACUAACUAAAUUUCAAUACAUCUAUACUAACUCUGUAAAUAUCCAUAUUUAAUAGUUAUGGACUCAAUUUAUGGAAAUUUGACACCACUAAAAAUUGAGUCAUUAUAGGGUUCACAGAAGGGGCCGAAUGUAGAAGUUAUGUCUCACCUCUGUCGAGAGCCCAAGGAGUUCACUAAAGGGCUGAAAUGGAAAAGAUAUGUCUUACCUCCAUCGAGAGCCCAAAAGAUUCACAGAAGGGCCCUAAUGUCCUACUCCAAGACGCAUCAAGGGAGGUUACGAAAAGUGGUAAUAAAGGCUCUGUUCCAAUAUGCAUGGGGGGAGACUUACGGAAAAAUGGUGGUGCUUUCUCCACUUAGAACAGAAGGCUUAUGAUAGAUCCUGCUCCUAAACACAUAGGGGGAGACUUACGGUAAGAAUCACAAGUCGAUCACAUUACUGUGGCUCUCGAAGAUCAGAAUUACGUGGAGUGUAAGGCCCUGCCACGUCAAAUCACAACCUUCGACCAAGUUUACUCGACUUGGGUUUACAUAAUGGAAGUAGAAUUACAUAAAUGUAGACAACAAGUAAUCAUUCGUAGGAGUCUUUUGUGGGUUUCCUUUGUGUACCAUAUAUACUAUAUGACUAUACAUAUAUAUGCUAGGUGGUAGAACCACUCGUGGGAACCCCUCAUAGGUUCCCUUUCUGAAACUCGUAUAGAUUUUCAUGUAUAGAUAAGUACAAAUAAGCAUACCGAGUGUUUACUGUCUACGGAGGUAUAAUCGCCUGUUAGUGUGAAAGAAAAUGUUGGUGCAAGAGGCAGCAGCAGACUGCUUUUCAAUCUUGCUUGUAUGGCAAGCCUCGAGCCUUGCUAGAGAAACAAACUCAGAAGCAAGAACAGAAACACAUGCAAAUGGAAAACAAAGAAAUUGAGAGAGUAAUUUUGAAUGAAAAGAGCUGAUGUUUUUUCAUACAUUUUUAGAAGGCAUAAUGCCAAUACAUAUAAGAAAUUACAACAGCAAAAACAAACAAGUUAUCACCUAAUAACUUACCUAACACCACUAAUUUGCCUAGUAACUUGGUAAACUUGUUUGAAUACAUAAACAGCUACCUAAACUUGUCAUUCAUCACUUAGUUACAUCAAAAUGCAGCUACCAACUAAGUUUGAUCCUAACUAAAUACAAAACAUUCAAUUAAGGAAACUAAAUGGAUAGCUUCAGCUUGCUGCACCAGUUUUGCUGUUGAAGCACGUUCCUUGCAUGGCCACCUUUGCUGCUACAUGGGAGCUGACUUCAACACUCCUCCUCAGCUUCUAUGCAGCAGACUCCUAGCUCCCUCUUUAGGCUUAGAAAUCUUGAUACACCAAGAGGCUUUGUGAAGAUAUCAGCAAUCUGAUUUUCAGAACUGCAAUGGAUUAGCUCGAUCUCUCGAGCUUGUUCCAUUUCUCUUAUCACAUGGAGUUUGAUGUUGAAAUGUUUUGUCCUACCAUGGAAGACAGGAUUUUUAGCAAUAGCAACUGCUGACUUGUUGUCACAAUGUAUCACAGUUGCUUCAUUCUGCUGUAGAUUCAAGUCGCUCAAAAUUUUUCUCAGCCACAUAGCUUGAUUAACAGCAUUGGCAGCUGCUACAUACUCUGCUUCUACUGUCGAUUGAGCCACCAUUGUUUGUUUUCUUGAGCUCCAACAAAUCAUAGCUGAGCCAAGUGUAAAAGCAUAGCCAGAAGUGCUCUUCAUAUCAUCCUUUGAACCAGCCCAAUCGCUAUCAGUGUAGCCAAUCAGUUUCAACUCUUCAGCCCUUCUAAACUGUAUUCCAUGGUUUAAGGUACCUUUGAUGUACCUCAGAACCCUUUUUCCUGCUUUAUAAUGCUGCUGAUUACAGCAAUGCAUGAAUCGUGACAGCAUGCUCACAGCAAAUAGAAUGUCAGGUCUUGUUGCUGUCAAAUACAAUAAACAGCCAACAAGACUUCUAUAAUCUGUUUCACAGACAGAUUCAUGUUCCUCCUGGCUCGAUAGCUUUAUGCCAAUAGCCAUUGGUGUGCUCACUGGUUUACAAUUCUCCAUUGAGAAUUUAGCCAGGACUUUCAAGGCGAAUGUCUUUUGUUUCAAGAAGAUUCCUCCUUCUACUUGAUUGACUUCCAUUCCUAGGAAAUAUGUCAUCAAUCCCAGGUCUGACAUCUCAAACAUUUCCUUCAUUCUUGCUUUGAAAUCAGCCAUCAUAAACUUGUCUCCUCCAGUCACUAGAAGAUCAUCAACAUAUAGUGACACAAUAAGCUGUGUUUCAGCUCCAUUCCUCUUAACAUAGAGUGUUGGCUCACUAGCACUCCUUUCAAAUCCCAAACUGACCAAAUAUGAGUCAAUUCGAGCAUACCAGGCUCGAGGGGCCUGUUUUAGGCCAUACAAGGCCUUUCUUAGCCUAUACACCAAAUGUUCCUUACCAGGCAUUAUAAAACCUGGGGGUUGCUCGAUGUAUAUCUCCUCUUCUAGGAAUCCAUUGAGGAAUGCAGACUUGACAUCCAUUUGGUGGAUUGUCCACUGGUUUUGAGCAGCAACUGCAAUCAGCAAUCUGAUUGUAUCGAGUCUGGCUACUGGAGCAAAUGUUUUCAUGUAGUCCAGACCAUACCUUUGACUGAAGCCCUUUACAACUAGCCUGGCCUUUAGCUUGUUUAAACUUCCAUCCGCAUUGUGCUUCACUCUAUAGACCCAUUUUACACCGAUAGUCUUUCUGUUGGCAGGCUUUUCAACCAACUCCCAUGUCUGAUUCUUUACAAUCAUGUUGAUUUCAUCAACCAUAGCUUGUUUCCAACCUUCAUCUGCCUCAGCCUCUUCAAAACUGCUAGGUUCUACUAUUGCAACCUGUGCCCUUUCAUAAAUAUCUUCUAGGGGCCUUGUGCCUCUCACAGGCACAUCAUCAACAUCCAUUUCAGGUCCUAGCUGCUCAAGUUCAGCUUGAUUAGGCACUAGGUCUUCUGAAAUUUCUUCUGGCUCAUUUUUCUCCCAAUUCCAGCAGGCUUUUUCAUCAAAGAUGACAUCUCUGCUCACCUGGACUUUGUUUGUCAAGGGAUCCAGAACCCUGUAGCCCUUUUUGACUGAACUGUAGCCUACUAGAACACCUGGUUGAGCCCUUUUAGAGAGCUUGUCUCUCUUUGCUGCUGGUAUUUGUGCAUAACACAGGCAACCAAACACCUUCAGAUGUGCCAAGGAAGGCUUGAAACUGAACCAAGCCUCGAAAGGUGUCUCGGAUGCAAGAGCUUUAGUAGGAAGCCUGUUCUGAAGGUAAACAGCAGUGUUUACUGCCUUAGCCCACAUGGUCUUGGGCAGUUUCUUUUCAAACAGAAGACAUCUGGCCAUAUCCAUCAGACUUCUAUUAUUUCUUUCAGCUACCCCAUUCUGCUGAGGUGUGUAGACAUUUGUAAGCUGAUGUUUAAUACCAGCAUCAUUGCAAAUGGCUUGAAACUGAGCUGAAGUGUACUCAGUGCCAUUGUCAGUCCUUAUCGAUUUUAGCUUGCAACCUGUUUCUGUUUCUACAGCAUUUUUAAACUUCACAAACACUUGAGCUACCUCAGACUUGUGUUUUAAAAAGAAAAUCCAGCAAAACCUUGUAAGGUCAUCAAUAAAGAGGAUGAAAUACCUGUUUUUGCUGAGUGAUUCAGUCCUCAUCGGGCCACAUACAUCAGAGUGCACCAGCUGCAGUCUUUCAGUAGCUCUCCAAGCUGAAUUUGUCAGAAAUGGCAGUCUUGCCUGUUUCCCCAUUUGGCAAACUUCACACACAUCAUCAUGCUCCACUGAGCUGGUGAAGUUUUCUACCAUGCCCUCUUUGGCCAAUCGAGCCAUUGAUCUAAAGUUGGCAUGUCCAAGCCUUUGAUGCCAAAGCUUGAAGUCAUCAACAGAAGUUGUGUAUGCUGAGUUUGAGUCAUUUGCCCAAUGAACCUCAAAGCAUUUAUCAGUCAUUGUGACUGUCAUAAGGCUUGAUCCACUUGGAUCAGCAAUGUGACAUUGUUUGUCCUUGAACACAACAGAAUAACCUUUCUCGAGCAGUUGAGCUAUGCUGAGAAGGUUUCUGUCAAUCUCUGGCACCAACAACACAUUUGGAAUGAUCUUGUUGCCUGUGGGAGUACAUAUCAGCACUUCUCCUCUUCCUUCAGCCCUUAUAAACUGACCAUUUCCAACCUUGACCUUGGUUUUAUAACUUCUGUCCAAGGUUUUAAACAAAGAGACAUCUGGUGACAUGUGGUUAGUGCAACCACUGUCCAGCAACCAGCCUUUUGAGCAUUUCUUCUCAGCAGCUAAACAGGAAACAGCAAAGACCUGUUCUUCUUGGUCACUACUGUCCUCAGCUACUCGAGCUUCAACCUUGACCUGCUGAAAUUGAUUCUGCCUUGGCUUACUCCUGUUUUUGCAGACCCUUUCAACAUGGCCCUUCUUCUUGCAGUGUUGGCAUACUGCAUCUGGCCUAAACCAGCAUCUGUCUUCUGGAUGGCCAGGCUUCUUGCAAUAUCUGCAGGGCUGGUCAUUGCUCCUUGCAGCAUCAGGCUUAGGCCUGUUUUUCCAAGGCUUUUUGCCUCUUUGAGCAUUGGUGCUCGAGGCUUCUCUGGCCUUGGCUUGAAAUGCACCUUCUUGGUGAUCUUCAGCUCUGCUAGCUCUCCUUUGUUCCUGAGCAUAGAAGGUGUUGAUUAACUCAGUCAAAGAGAUGCUAGCAAGGUCUCUUGAGUCCUCUAGGGAGGAUAUCUUGGCCUCAUAUCUCUCAGGCAAAGUGGAGAGGACUUUCUCCACAAUUCUUGCCUCAUCAAAGUGCUCACCUAGGAGCCUUAUACUGUUAACCACUGCCAUGAUUCUGUCUGCAUACUGUUUCACUGUUUCUUCUUCCUUCAUUUUCAGGUUCUCGAAAUCCCUUCUCAAAUUCAACAGCUGCUGUUGCCUUGUUCUCUCAGUGCCUUGAAACUCCUCCUUAAGCUUAUCCCAGGCCUGUUUUGGAGUCUCACAGGCCAUGAUUCUGGUGAAGAUGACAUCUGACACACAGUUCUGAAUGCAGGACAUGGCUUUGUGCCUUUUGGUCCUCUCAUCAGCAUGUUGCCUAAUCUGAGCUACUGUGGGAUUAGCCCUCAGUGGUGCUGGCUCAGUAUCUGUGUUGACAACUUCCCACAGAUCGAAGGCCUGUAGGUAAGUCUUCAUCUUGACCAGCCAUAUGUGAAAGCCUUCUCCAUUGAAGACUGGUGGGGCUGCUGGUGAAAAUCCUGAGGAAGCCAUCAGGUUCCUUGGUUUGAAGCAACAGGUCCACUAAAACAAGAGCUCUGAUACCAAUUGUUGGUGCAAGAGGCAGCAGCAGACUGCUUUUCAAUCUUGCUUGUAUGGCAAGCCUCGAGCCUUGCUAGAGAAACAAACUCAGAAGCAAGAACAGAAACACAUGCAAAUGGAAAACAAAGAAAUUGAGAGAGUAAUUUUGAAUGAAAAGAGCUGAUGUUUUUUCAUACAUUUUUAGAAGGCAUAAUGCCAAUACAUAUAAGAAAUUACAACAGCAAAAACAAACAAGUUAUCACCUAAUAACUUACCUAACACCACUAAUUUGCCUAGUAACUUGGUAAACUUGUUUGAAUACAUAAACAGCUACCUAAACUUGUCAUUCAUCACUUAGUUACAUCAAAAUGCAGCUACCAACUAAGUUUGAUCCUAACUAAAUACAAAACAUUCAAUUAAGGAAACUAAAUGGAUAGCUUCAGCUUGCUGCACCAGUUUUGCUGUUGAAGCACGUUCCUUGCAUGGCCACCUUUGCUGCUACAUGGGAGCUGACUUCAACAGAAAAGAUGUCGAGUAAUAACUGUUCGUGAAGUGUAAUUGUCCAUGAAAAACUUUCAAUCAUCAUUCUCUCUCUUUUUAAUAAAAUAUAAUAUAUAUAUAUAUAUACAUAGGCGGGGUUAUGCUCGUGGGAGGGUCCCCCUUCCAUUCAUUUUCUUAUUGUUAAUAACACAUAUGCAAGAAACCUUGUGGGAACCUUCGCGGGUCCCUCUAAUUCACCACCAUCGAUUUUUCUUUUUUAUAAUAAACAUACACAUGCAUGGGUGUUGCACUCUGCUGAUAUACAUACGUACACAGGGGAUUACACCUCUGGGAUAAAGAGUUGCAAUAAUGUUAUUGUGUAUCAUGUCUUAGUUGAUAGUCACCAAAGGCUGUAGAUGACCAAAAAAACACAAGCUAUAGGCAAUUUAAACUGCAGUGAUAUUGGUCACAGUGAGACGCAUAAACAAGCAUAGCUUCAAUUAAUUCUUCUAGACUAACAAUCAUACCGGAGAAAAUGAGCCAAACAUAUUUAAAGCACACACAAAACAACAACAACUUCGAAUUAUAACUUAAAACAGUCUAACAUUUGACAUUCAGUGACAACAUUCAAUAAUAUAAAAGCCAACAAUGUAAAAAGGAAAUUAAAAAAAAUUAAUGAUGGUUGUAAAGGUUAGCCGAGAAGCUAUGAACAAGUAACAAGCAAACCAUAUUUUGCAUUUGCAUGUACCAUAGAAUAGUGGUGAAUUACAUUAAAAGCAAUAAGCAAUUUUAACAAGUCUGGUGCAUUAUUUGCAAGCCACGCUAACUUAUGUUGAAGUCAAAGAGCAUGUUAUCAGAAAGAAGCUCAUUAUUCCCUAUCUUCCGAACCUGGCAACUCUUGUAAUUUCUAUUUUUAGGAUAUUCUUCAUUUAUACAUGUUUUGAUAAGUACUUAACAAACGUUAUGUUUGUGUAUUUAGGACAUGUUCUACUUUAAUGUAUAAUUGAGUGGAAUCAGCAUGACCAUGUCUAACAUCCCCCUAUUAUGCUUUUAUUUUAUGUACUAUAGAGGCAAUACAUUUGUUAUACAAACAUACGAGCUCUCUAAGAAUCAACAAGAAGUUCAAUCAAUGAAACAAACUGGGAUCCAGCCCUUGAAUGACAAAGUCAACCGGUGAAUUAUAAUAAAACAAGAGAAUAACCACAAGCAAACAUCAUGAAAUUCUUACUAUGCAACAAUACACUUGAACCCCAUCAACUAUCACAACAGGAAAACCAUGAUCAAAGAAUCAAACCCCAAAUUCCACUAAAAUUCGUACACAGAGAAAAUUAUGUAUUCUAAAACCCCACUCAAAGACCAAUGCACCACAACCGAAAAGAAAAAGAAAAAUGCAAGCACAUACCAUAUGCUACCGAAAUAAAAAUAGAUUGCCCACAAAUAUCCAACUACCAUGAAUCGUGUCAAAAGCUAUGUAUCUUUCAAUCUCCAAAUCUUUUGGCAACGAAUACAAGCUCUUUGAACAUAAAAUUUGUUUUUUUUUCAUUUGUAUAUUGAGAGGGUGAAUUUCUAGGGUUUUGCGCAUGUUCGAUCCACCGCCACCUCUAUCAUUGUUGGUACACAGUAUUAAUGGGAGUGGAGAAGGAGGAAGAGGUAGUGUCGAGGAAGACCAAUUCACCCAUUCUAGGACCAUGCAAGAAUCAGUCAAGUAGGGGGCCUGAUCAAUAUGAAUGUUUAGCAUAUUUCAAAUUUUGAGUCUAGAGAAGACCACUAUAAUAAUGUUGGUACCUUUGGGCAUUUAUAGCUAAGUGAAGAUCCUUACCUAAUUAUGUUACUUGUUAAGCCUUGAUCAGUGGCCUAUUGGAGGGUCCAACUGGAUCGAAGUUGAAGUAGAGAUAUAAUAUUAUUCUAAAAAAGAUUUUUAUAUUAAUAACAUUGUUUCGAUAUAGUAUAAAAAAAUAAGGUUGGAUUACAUUAGCAUGUUGCAUAUCUCAUAACCUCAUUCGUAGGUGGAAUUGAGACGAUCCAUUAAAAAGUAAAUAGAAUUAGAUCGUGAUAAUCUUAAUGACACAAAUACGAAUUCAGAUUUAGAUGACAAUAAACUCAGCGACCAAUUGUUGAUGAAAAAGAGUAAGCGGCCAAUUGUUGAUGAAAAAGAGUAAUAGAGUAUAUGUUAAAUGUUAAAAGAUCAAAUAACCCAAUAGGGAUAGUGCCAAGGGGGUAGGUAAAGGCCCUAUCCCCUUAAAAUAAAAAAAAAUAUCAUUUUAGUCCCUUAAAAUUUUUAAAACUAUAAGUUAGUUUAAUGGUAAAAUACAGUUUGGCCCUCCAAAGAUGAAAAAAAUUCUAGUUUAAACCCUUUACCUUUCUAAAAUAACAAGCAUUAACAAAGAUAAAAUUGUAAUUUGACUCAUUUAAAGGUUUGUAAUUUAAUUGGCCUCACAAAGAUAAAACUUUUGGCUUGUCCCUAUAACCCAACAAUAAAUACUAGAGAAAUUAGAUAAAAUUGCAUAUGAAAUUUAUUUUUCCUUGGUAUUUAAUCGUAUUAUCAACUACCUUCUUGGAACAACAUAUUGCAUAUGAUUAUUUUAUUUUAAUUUUUGAUAUUCAUUUUGACGUUGUAAUCUCAUAUGUGUCGAAACCAUUUUUUUGAGAACAAAAAUUUAGUUGUCGAUUUUUAAAAAUGGAAAAAUUGGGAGUCGCCACCAAUCUUUUAUUACGGUGUGAUUGGAGCACCUGAAAAACGGCUUCGGUCUACGAGUUUUAAAAAAAUGGAUUCGGGAGUCAGUUAGGUACGAGGAAGGAUUAGCACCUUCGUAAUGCCCAAAAAUUGGUACAAAAUUGAAUAAUUAAUGUCUUGAAGUCGAGAGUUUAAAAAAAUGCGAUCCUUAAUUAAAUUAAAUUAUUUAUUAAGACAUUCUCAUUUUGAAAAAAGAAAAAAUAUCACACCCAAUGCGUUAGGGCACAACAUUUUAUUCUCUUCACGAUGAGUUAGUCAAAAACUCGUGUAAUAAAAUUUAAGAAAAUAUCUAAUUGUUUAAAAUUUAUAAUGAAAUCGCAGCCCAAUACAUUAGGGCACGAUUUCUUAAAAUCCCAAACAUUCAAUAUUUCCUUUAUUUUUUUAAAAAAAAUCUUUAUCUCGACAAAUCAACGUGUCACAUCCAAUACGUUAGGACACAACAUACUGAAUUCCCGAUGAUAAGUUUUAUUUUGUUUGAUUAAAGAGCAAUCCUCGAUUGUUAGAUUUUACAAAAAAAUCGAAACCCAAUACGUUAGGGCUCAAUUUUCUUGAAAAUCCUAAAUACGAGUAUUAUCCCUAUUUUGAAAAGUUCUAUUUUUUAAAAGCGAGUAAAAAGAUGAUGUAAUGUUAUGUUGUAUGUAUAAAUGUCACAAUAACAAAUACAACAAUAAUAAUACGAUAAUGGCAUAGAAAUAAUAUAAACAAAUAAAUAAACAAAACAAAUAUACAUAAUGGAGGAAAAGUUAAUGACAUACCAAGUAUUAAAUAAACGAGCAAGAUAAAAAAAAUUAAUGAAAACAUAAAUAAAUAAAAAACAAAAAAAUAUAAAGAAUAAAGGUAUAUAACAUAUACAUUAAAACUAUGAAGAAUACACAUGAAUUUAUAUAUAAAAUUUAGAUUAUAAAAAGUUAUAUACACAAAUAUUUGUAAAAAUAAAGAAGAGUAUAGAAAUAUAUACAUAAAUAUAUAAUUAUAAAAUAUGUGUUAAAAUAUAAGAAGAUAUUUAAGCAUUUUUGAAAAUAAAAAAAUAGAUAUGUGCGUAUAUAUAUAUAUAAAUAUAAAAGAAUAUUCAUUAGGAAAAAAAAGUAUGUAUAUGUGUAUAUAUAAAAUAUAUGUAUGUAGGUUAAAAAUAGUUAAAUAAUAUCUACAUUAUCAAAAUAAAAAAAUAAAUAUGUAUAUAUAUAUAAAUAUGAGAAAAACAUUACUUGAAAAAAAAUAUAAAUAUAUACAUAAAAAAUAAACAUACAUAUAUAUAGAUUAAAAAGAUAAUUACAAAUGAAAAUUAAAAUAAUAAUAAUAAUAACAUUAGAUUUAAAACUAAAUACAUUAAAAACAAAAAAAAAUCUAAACAAAAUUUCAGUAAAAAAUGAGUAAAUUGAAAUAAGGAUUAAAUCGAAUUUUAAAAACAAAUUUAAAGGAAAAUCUAUAAAUAAAAUAAAAUUUAGGGGCAAAAUGCAGCGCGCGGGUAACAUGGGGGACUUAGUGGGAAAUAUUCCCUUUUCCCCUAAAACGCAGCGCUGCAAUCUGGGUUAAAAUGAAACAAAAAACCAAUUGCAGGGUCAAAAUUAAAAAUAAAAAAAUCAAAUUGAAUCUGUUAUGGAAGUGAGAGGACCAAAACCGUAAAUUUCCCAUUCAGGCUUCAAAAACACGCGGACAGGUCGGGUUGCGCUAGUUAGGGCCAAUACGACGUAGUUUCAACACCUAUAGUCCUUGUUCAAAACGGUACAGUAUGGUACCACUAUUUAAAUCAAAAUUUCCCCCAAAAUCGUUAUUUGCAGCCCUAAAAAUAAAAAAAAAUUUGAUGUUUCUCUGCUAGGGUUUCGACCCUAGUCUUGGCCGCCACCCUUCCGCCAUAGUUCCACUGUGACCAGCGACCGGAAAUGCUCUGAGUUGGGUUUUUAACCCCUUUUGAAACAGAUCCAAGGGCAAAGGUAAGCAUCCAUUUCCCUUUUUUUUUAUUUUUCCGCAUAUAUAGAAAAUGAGUCAUAAAUCGAAGAAAGAAAAAAAAAGCUCUAAUAAUCACCUUAAAAGGAAACUGAUAUUUGAUUUAUUUUGUAUCAAUCCCCUCUUUCUUCCCAUAUUACAGUAUGUUAAGAUGGCUUUUAUAAUCGAAAUGAAACAAGAAAAUAAAGGAAAAAAAAUCAUUCUAUUCUCUGCUUGAUUUGCGAUUUUUCUAAUUUUCUUGCCUAUAUUGUUUGUUGCCUUUUGCAGGUACAUGCUUGGAGGAGUGCAUGCGCGCGGAGGCACAGCACUCGCGGGGAAGGACUCAGGUUGCGGUGCCAAAUGCCACUGUUUCUGUCCUAGGGUUUCAAAAACUGUUUUGGGCAUUUGGGCCACAUUGUAAUCGGGCCUUUGUUUUUAGAUUGGGUCUGGGGUUUAGAGUGUACUGGGCCCGGGCAAAAAUGGGCUAUUACAGCUGCCCCUCUUUGCUUGUUGUUGUGUAACAGGAACAGAGCAAAAACUUUAAAAAUGCCCAAUUUUGCCCGGUCUUGCUGGACCUUGGAACUCUUCUUCUUUAAGUAGCCUCAUUCCUUCCUACUGCAUCUUCAGAAGUAUAGGAGCUAGUGCUUCAAUCUACUCCACUACAAUAUUAGGGAGAUGUAAUUUCUCAAGAGAACAAGAUUUACUAUCUUCGAUCUGCUCCACUAUUGUUUAGGGAGAUAAGAUCUGUAAUUUUUAACCUACUCCACUGCUGCUCAGGGAGACAAGGCUGGGGUCUUCGAUUUGCUCCACUACUGCUUAGGGAGAUAAGAUCUAUAAUUUUUAACCUACUCCACUGCUGCUUAGUGAGAUAAGGCUGGGGACUUCGAUAUGCUCCACUCCUGCUUAGGGAGAUAAGAUCUGUAAUUUUCAACCUACUCCACUGCUGCUCAGGGAGAUAAGGUUGGGGACUUCGAUCUGCUCCACUACUGCUUAGGGAGAUAAUAUCUGUAAUUUUCAACCUACUCCACUGCUGCUCAAGGAGAUAAGGCUGGAGACUUCGAUCUGCUCCACUACUGCUUAGGGAGAUAAGAUCUGUAAUUUCCAACCUACUCCACUGCUGCUCAGGGAGAUAGGCUGGUCUCUUUGAUCUGCUUCGCUGUUAGUACAGGAAGGCAAGAUAUGCUAUCUUCAGUCUGCUCCACUGUCAGUACAGGAAGGCAAGACUGGCGUUUUCAACCUGCUCCGCUGUAACCCAGGGAGGCAAGGCUUUGUGAUUUCGAUCUGCUUCGUUGUCAGUACAGGAAGGUAAUAUCUGCUAUUGUCAACCUGUUCCGCUACAACCCAGGGAGGCAAGGCUGGUGUCUUCGAUCUGCUACGCUGUCGGUGCAGGAAGGCAAGAUCUGCUAUUUUUAACCUGCUCUGCCGCAACCCAGGGAGGCAAUGCUGGUGUCUUCAAUCUGCUUCGCUGUCGGUGCAGGAAGGCAAGAUUUACUAUUUUUAACCUGCUCCGCUGUAACCCAGGGAGGCAAGGCUAGUGUCUUCGAUCUUCUUCGCUGUCGGUGUAGGAAGGCAAGAUCUGCUAUUUUUAACCUGCUCCGCCGCAACCCAGGGAGGCAAGGCUGGUGUCUUCGAUCUGCUUCGCUGUCGGUACAAGAAGGCAAUAUCUGCUAUUUUUAACCUGCUCUGCCGCAACCCAGAGAGGCAAGGCUGGUGUCUUCGAUCUGCUUCGCUGUCGGUGCAGGAAGGCAAUAUCUGCUAUUUUUAACCUGCUCUGCCGCAACCCAGAGAGGCAAGGCUGGUGUCUUCGAUCUGCUUCGCUGUCGGUGCAAGAAGGCAAGAUCUGCUAUUUUUAACCUGCUCCGCCGCAGCCUAGGGAGGCAAGGCUGAUGUCUUCGAUCUGCUUCACUGUCGGUGCAAGAAGGCAAGAUCUGCUAUUUUUAACCUGCUUCUCUACAACCCAGGGAGGCAAGGCUGGUGUCUUCGAUCUGCUUCGCUGUCGGUGCAAGAAGGCAAGAUCUGCUAUUUUUAAACUGCUCCACUGUAACCCAGGGAGGCAAAGCGAGUGACUUCGAUCUGCUUCGCUGUCGGUGCAGGAAGGUAAGAUCUGUUAUCUUCACUGAUCUGCUCUCUGGGGAACAUGACCUGUAUAAUGAACCUAAUUAUGCCUAAUGACUAGGAUGACAUAAAAUGAAUCAAAUGCUCCUAACUAGACAUGUGUGAAUGGUGUUUGCACGAAUGUGUAAUUUUUUUUAAGAAUGUUCCCACUUAGGUUGUCAUUGUUUGAAGUUUAUUAAGGCUUUAUCACUGAUGUGCUACGACGUCUUCUUGCUUAGCUGUCUUUUCUGAAGAAACAUUUAGUCAAUUUGCCCCUCACUGUAAACCUUAAAGUUCAAUCCAUUAGGGCACAAAAUUUGUACCAGCAUUCUCCCACUAUAACCCAAAGGUAGGAAUAUAUGGCUUUUUCUCGAUCCUCUCCUAUCACAAUUCAAGGAUACAGGAUCUAAAUCUCUCUGCUCCCUUACACCAUUCCCAGGGUAUCGUACCAAAGGCUCAUGCAUAAAUGAAGGCUUUCUUCUCUGAGGAAACCUCUUCCUACUGUCUGGUGAUCAUUGCUUACUUGUUUAUUUAAGCUUUGUCAUUUUGUUCAAUCAAUGUUUUUAACAACAAAAUCCAAAGAGAAAGUCCUAAUUUAGACUCUUUCUUUUCAGAUUUCCAACCUUUAAACAUGGUGCGUUUUAAACAAUAGUCCUGUUUCAGGUUCCUGUAUUAUUUAGAUACUUCUAAAGUAAUAUGCAAAACUUCCCUUGUGAAAGUUUUAUUAGUCGAUUAUUCAUUAUUCCAAUGCAACAUGCUUGCAAAAAGGUCAUAACCUCGGAUAAGAAUAAAGUUAGUUCUGAGUAUAGCUCGAAAGGAAUAAAUUAUCAAAAAUAGUAAAGAAGGGUAACAAAGAAAUUGAUUGGGAAUAUGUAUCUUGGAAAAGAAUGAAGUAUUCCAAGAAAAAAAAAUUCAAUAGUAUGAAAAUUGGGUGCCCCAGAUAUCGCAGCUUGAACUUCUCUGCACAACUAAGAACCAUUUCGAGUUUAACAUGUGUUUAGGAGAUCUGCAAUACUUUGUCGAUGCCCCAAGAUGUCGCCUACCCUUUCCUGUUGAUUCAGAUAUAACUAGAUCACCACAUGCCCCAAUCUGAUCAAGAUUCGAAUUGCUCUGAUCACCCCAUGCCCCAUUUUGAUCAAUAUUUGAGCCGCCCUUUUCGGGUUUUCAACUUAAAUUCCCUUUGGUCUCAAGCCGUCCUUUGUGGAUUUUCACCUUGGCCUCUCACUUUGCUUUUUCUUUUUCUUUUUUCCUUUUCUUUUUUCUUUUUUUUUGAAAUAUUUUUUGAUUGAAUCUGAACUCAUAAGAUUAGGCAUGUCUUUAUUAUCCCUUCUGAUCAAAAUCAACACUUUUCCAGAUAAUGCAUUCCACAUAAGGUCCUUUCCAGCUUGGAAUGAAGUUCUUUUUGUAUGGGAAGGAUCUUCUUCAAUACCAGGUCCCUCUCAAAUAAUUCUCUAAGGCGAACCUUUUUAUGAGCUCGUAUCAUUUGUUUUUGGCGCAUUUGACCAUGAUGGAUAACUUUGAACAUUCUUUUCAAUCGGAAUUAAUCUAAAAACUCAGAGAGAAUGAAUCUUAUCUUCAAACUGCGAUGAGCCCAAGAGAAAGAUAUUGCCCCGGUAGAGUUUUAAAUGCAUCGUUCAUGAUGUUAAUCUUGAACAUACUAUAAAUUUUUGAUAUCAUAUUGUUGUUCAGAUUACAAUGUCAGUGCUUACCCAAGCAUAUCCUGAUAUGACCAUACGAAGACAUCUUUGAACUCUUUGAAGUAACUCAACAAGGUCCUGCUUUGUUUCUUCGGUUAUGCAAGUUCCCUUAAGGUCACAAUCUCCAUUGUCUCAUCAUGAGGUAAGAUUUCAUUCCUGUUCUACCAUCCUCAACAAGUCUGAAAAUAGGCUACAAUCUAUGUCAUCUUCAAAGUCAUGAGAUCCCUCUAAACACAUACCUCGCUGAAAAGGAAGUUCUAAGUUUGUAGCAGCGUCACUCAUGUCAUUGAUAUUUGGGGACCCAUAGUAAGUGCAAAAGAAUAUACAAAAGAAUGUGUGAAUUUACAAAUAAUUAUUUGUGCAAUAGAAUUAUGAAUGAAAGAAAUGAUAUGGAAGAAAAUCCAAAAGAAUGAAAGUAUAAUUACUCACAAAGAAUAAAAUAAUAUUAGCUCAAAAAUAAAUGCAAAGAUGUAUUUUAUUAGAAUAAUGAUGUUCAGACAUGAGCCUAUUUCACAAAGGAAUUCCUAUCAUUUUUAGGCUAAAAACAACAAGAAUGUUCUGAACAUUACUCUAAAUAAGCUCUAAAGACUACAGAGAUUUCUUCCGCAAUCCAAUUACUUAGAACACUCCCAAAUUAUAAGGGCAGACAUCUAACAAGGUCCCUUAUCAAUUGUGUCUUCGUAUGUGAACACUUAUCAACACCUCUUCAUAUAUUGCAUUCACCCUAUUGUCAAUCAUGAUUGGGUAGCAAAUUUUCUGCAUUAAAUGAGCCAUCCAACUUGACAAUACCCAUGUUGAUGAAUUUUUCAACUAGCUUUUUGAAGGUAAUGCAAUUCUCUAUUGAGUGUCCCGUAAUUCCCGCAUGAUAAUCGCAUUGUGCACUUGCGUCGUACCAUUUGGGAUAUGGAGGCUGUGGAGGCUUCACAUGUAAAGGAGAAACAACAUGUAUAUCGAAUAAGCUUUGAUACAGCUCCUUGUACGACAUUGGAAUUGGUGUGAACUGGAUUUUUUUAGUACCUUGCUUCAUACAUGAUUCUUGUCUUGAUGAACCCUGCUGAUUAAUAACCGAUUUGCUAUACGUAUUCACGCUGUUCACCUUAUUUUUUUCUUUUAAGGCUUGCCUUCUGUUAUUUCCUCCAGCAUCAAUCUUUUCGCUCCUUAUGGUGCUUUCAAUCAUUUCACCAUUCAUGACUAUGUCAGAAAAGCUUUUUUUGGCACUCCCUAACAUAUGUGUGAUGAACGGAGCUUUCAAUGUAUUUAUGAAUAGCAUUGUCAUUUCCCUUUCCAGGAGCGGUGGCUGAACUUAGACGGUGAUCUCUCUCCACCUCUGUGCGUACUGCCUAAAACUUUCACCCGAUUUCUUUUCCAUGUUCUGUAGAGUGAUUCUAUCAGAUACCAUGUCAGUUACAUGAUUGUACUGCUUUAUGAAUGCCUGUGCUAAAUCUCUCCAUGAAUUAAUCUUGGUACGGCUCAAUUGAUUGUACCACUUGGACGCUACCCCUGUGAGGCUAUCCUGAAAACAAUGUAUUAGUAGUUGGUCAUUAUUAACAUACCCAGUCAUCCGCCUACAAAACAUGGUAAUAUGAGCUUCGGGGCUACUAGUUCUGUUGUACUUCUCAAACUCAGGCAUUUUGAAUUUAUAAGGGAGUACUAAAUCCAGAACCAAGCUCAAUUCUUUAGCGUCAAUUCCAUGGUAGCUCUCAGUACUUUCCACCGCUCUAAGUUUUUCCUCCAGCCAUUUAUACUUUUCUUCGAGCUGUUUUGGCAAUUCACCAUUCAUUUUCUUUUUUUUAGCUAUUUUUUUGAAGUUAAGGAUAUUAGGAUUAACAAGGUCGUCUCCGGGGUUAGGGCCUGAUCUAGCUCGAAAAUUCAUUGGUGUUAUAGCACCGGCCUGAAACUGUUGAGGCUUGAUGGUGACAGAGGAUUUGUGUGGAUAUACCUCUACUUAGGUCUGCCCAUGCUGAGGGGUCAAGCUUGGGGGAUAGAGUGGUUCAUCCUCAUUACCCUCUUCGACAUCAGCCAUGGGACCCUUUCCCUUAUCACUUCCUUCAGUCAACAGUUGGGUUAACUUUACCAUCAUACUCCCCUGAGAUUCCAUUAUUUUAUCUAUCAUUUUUGUUGAAUCUUCUCAAGCUGCUCAUUCAUUUAUUGUUGAAGCUGAUCCUGCAUUUCUUUUUUGAACUGUUCUAGCCUUUGGUCCAUGUCUUUAGUCUUUGAUCGAGUACCGCAUCAGUGUUUGGCAAGUUGGUUGGUUUCCAGAUUAACUGAGGAAUUAUUUUAAUCAAUUAGGCUCUUUUAGUGGACUUUAAUGUUUAUGAUGUCAUGCAAUGCGAAUGCAUGCAAUGAAUGCAUAAAGAGAUGUUGAUUCUGAUUCAAUUCCAUUUAGAACACUUUACUAGAAAACAAAUCUCUUUACAUAAAAUGGAUAUUUAUACGGCCUUGCCCUCAUAGGCGGAGAUAUUCAAUCCUCUUCUUUAUUCGAGCGUUAAGAUAAAUCUCACGAACUCUUCAAAAAAUGUCUCUUCUAUCUCCUUUUUGCUUGAUCCGGGCCAUAACUUGUUACUCACUCAUCCUCGUGAUGCUCGUUGGCUUCUCUUUAAGAAGGUUCAGCAGCUCUCGAAUAAUCUUUGCCAUCUUGAAUCCUUGGGCAACAGAGCCAUAGUCGUGUAGUCCUCCAUUAAAUUAUCAUCUUCUCUUAUCACGUGUUCUUGGACCAUAUUCGGACAACCAUAUUGUCAUCCACUUUAUCAAGAAACCCAUUUUCUUAUGACAAGCUCUCUAUUUAGUAACUGAAUGUGAAUCAACACCUCUUUUUCAAAAAGAAAAUGCAAUGCAAUCAUAAUAAAAACAACAUAAAAAACAAGUUAGUACAAAGUAAAAGCAAAUAAAUAAAGUACCUACUCGGGUGACCUCUAGGGGUUUGGCAUAGUUCUACCUAGGGCAAGUUCCUAAGGUUCAUUAUAUGAGGUUUGGCUUCUAGAGCAAGGGUACCCGAACUAGCAGAUUCCUCAAUCCUCACCCAUUAUAGGCUCAUAUGGACCGAGUUCAGUUUAGGGGAAUACAUUUCCCUAUGGCUGCACGGAGAUGAAAAUCUCACGAAGACAUAGGUACGGAUGUAUCCCGGAAGCGGUCCACUACCCUGCAUGGAGGUGAAAACCUCACGAAGGACUAGUUUCUCGCUCCCACUUAAAGGGUAAAAAUCAUUCAACUCAUAUAAUGUGUAGUGCAAACAAUACUUAAAUACAUUAAGCAAGAAGAUAAUGAAUGCAAAAAGAUAUCAUGAAAUUUUUUUUAAAACAAAUACUUUCUCGACCAUAAUACAAAAAUUAAUCAACUUUGUGGCUCGACUCUCUUAUUUUUUUUUUAAAAAUGUCCCUAGUGGAGUCGCCAAGCUGUCGAAACCAUUUUUUUGAGAACAAAAAUUUAGUUGUCGAUUUUUCAAAAUGGAAAAAUUGAGAGUCGCCACCAAUCUUUUAUUACGGUGUGAUUGGAGCACCUGAAAAACGGCUUCGGUCUACGAGUUUUAGAAAAAUGGAUUCGGGAGUCAGUUACGUACGAGGAAGGAUUAGCACCUUCGUAACGCCCAAAAAUUGGUACCAAAUUGAUUAAUUAAUGUCUUGAAGUUGAGAGUUUAAAAAAAUGCGAUCCUUAAUUAAAUUAAAUUAUUUAUUAAGACCUUCUCAUUAUGAAAAAAGAAAAAAUAUCACACCCAAUGCGUUAGGGCACAACAUUUUAUUCUCUUCACGAUGAAUUAGUCAAAAACUCAUGUAAUAAAAUUUAAGAAAAUAUCUAAUUGUUUAAAAUUUAUAAAGAAAUCGCAGCCCAAUACAUUAGGGCACGAUUUCUUAAAAUCCCAAACAUUCAAUAUUUCCUUUAUUUUUUUAAAAAAAAUCUUUAUCUCGACAAAUCAACGUGUCACAUCCAAUACGUUAGGACACAACAUACUGAAUUCCCGAUGAUAAGUUUUAUUUUGUUUGAUUAAAGAGCAAUCCUCGAUUGUUAGAUUUUACAAAAAAAUCGAAACCCAAUACGUUAGGGCUCAAUUUUCUUGAAAAUCCUAAAUACGAGUAUUAUCCCUAUUUUGAAAAGUUCUAUUUUUUAAAAGCGAGUAAAAAGAUGAUGUAAUGUUAUGUUGUAUGUAUAAAUGUCACAAUAACAAAUACAACAAUAAUAAUACGAUAAUGGCAUAGAAAUAAUAUAAACAAAUAAAUAAACAAAACAAAUAUACAUAAUGGAGGAAAAGUUAAUGACAUACCAAGUAUUAAAUAAACGAGCAAGAUAAAAAAAAUUAAUGAAAACAUAAAUAAAUAAAAAACAAAAAAUAUAAAGAAUAAAGGUAUAUGACAUAUACAUUAAAACUAUGAAGAAUACACAUGAAUUUAUAUAUAAAAUUUAGAUUAUAAAAAGUUAUAUACACAAAUAUUUGUAAAAAUAAAGAAGAGUAUAGAAAUAUAUACAUAAAUAUAUAAUUAUAAAAUAUGUGUUAAAAUAUAAGUAGAUAUUUAAGCAUUUUUGAAAAUAAAAAAAUAGAUAUGUGCGUAUAUAUAUAUAUAAAUAUAAAAGAAUAUUCAUUAGGAAAAAAAAGUAUGUAUAUGUGUAUAUAUAAAAUAUAUGUAUAUAGAUUAAAAAUAGUUAAAUAAUAUCUACAUUAUCAAAAUAAAAAAAUAAAUAUGUAUAUAUAUAUAAAUAUGAGAAAAACAUUACUUGAAAAAAAAUAUAAAUAUAUACAUAAAAAAUAAAUAUACAUAUAUAUAGAUUAAAAAGAUAAUUACAAAUGAAAAUUAAAAUAAUAAUAAUAAUAACAUUAGAUUUAAAACUAAAUACAUUAAAAACAAAAAAAAAUCUAAACAAAAUUUCAGUAAAAAAUGAGUAAAUUGAAAUAAGGAUUAAAUCGAAUUUUAAAAACAAAUUUAAAGGAAAAUCUAUAAAUAAAAUAAAAUUUAGGGGCAAAAUGCAGCGCGCGGGUAACAUGGGGGACUUAGUGGGAAAUAUUCCCUUUUCCCCUAAAACGCAGCGCUGCAAUCUGGGUUAAAAUGAAACAAAAAAACAAUUGCAGGGUCAAAAUUAAAAAUAAAAAAAAUCAAAUUGAAUCUGUUAUGGAAGUGAGGACCAAAACCAUAAAUUUCCCAUUCAGGCUUCAAAAACACGCGGAUCCGCUUUUGGAUUGGGUUGGGUUGUGCUAGUUAGGGCCAAUACGACGUAGUUUCAACGCCUAUAACCCUUGUUCAAAACGGUACCAUAUGGUACCACUAUUUAAAUCAAUUUUUCCCUCAAAAUCGUUAUUUGCAGCCCUAAAAAUAAAAAAAAAUUGAUGUUUCUCUGCUAGGGUUUCGACCCUAGCCUUGGCCACCACCCUUCCGCCACAGUUCCACUGUGACCAGCGACCGAAAAUGCUCUGAGUUGGGUUUUUAACCCGUUUUGAAACAGAUCCGAGGGCAAAGGUAAGCAUCCCUUUCCCUUCUUUUUUUUUAUUUUUUCGCAUAUAUAGAAAAUGAGUCAUAAAUCGAAGAAAGAAAAAAAAAAGCUCUAAUAAUCACUUUAAAAAGAAACUGAUAUUUGAUUUAUUUUUUAUCAAUCUCCUCUUUCUUCCCGUAUUACAGUAUGUUAAGAUGCCUUUUAUAACCAAAAUGAAAUAAGAAAAUAAAGGAAAAAAUCAUUCUAUUCUCUGCUUGAUUUGCGAUUUUUCUGAUUUUCUUGCCUAUACUGUUUGUUGCCUUUUGCAAGUACAUGCUUGGAGGAGCGCACACGUGUGGAGGCACAGCACUCGCGGGGAAGGACUCAGGUUGCGGCGCCAAAUGCCACUGUUGCUGUCUUAGGGUUUUAGAAACUGUUUUGGGCAUUUGGGCCACAUUGUAAUCGGGCCUUUGUUUUUAGAUUGGGUCUGGGGUUUUGAGUGUACUGGGCCCGGGCAAAAAAUGGGCUAUUACAAUAUGAAAUUACACUCUGUCACCCAAAUAUGUCUGGAAAAUUAUUAUUCUUUGUAAUUAAAAGAGGGUGAAAUUAUUACAGUAGUAAUUACACUUUCAUCCAACCAAUCUAUCAUAUCUAAACACAUACUACAUUUGGACCAUACAUAUGUUUUUUUUUUUUUGAUAAAAUUUGAAGUUUACUUAACAUAAAGUUUACGAAAUAAAAUACUGUUGUUGAAAGUGGUAAAGGAUCAUGAUAAUAUUUGAUUCAACAUCAUAUCAAAAUAAGUUUAUAAUGUAAUUGUUUUAUAUAUAUUAAUUAAAAUAUUUUAAAAAUAAAUAUUUUAGAAGGUUACUUUUUGAAGUAUAUAUAUAUAUUAAAAUAAAUCAAGUUAUUUUUUAGGGAAGAAUAAGAAAUUGUUUAUUUAAAGGGGAAAUAAAUUUUAAGGAUCCUAAGAGGAGAAAUGUUUACAAUUGCAUCCUUGAAUGUGGGAAACAAAUUUUAAGAAAUCCUAAAAGGGAGAAAUAGUUGGAUUUGCAUACUUGAAAGUUAGAACAAUAUAAGGGAUCUCAAAGGUAAAAGUAUUAGGAAGAUUGAUGUGCUUAGGGCGGAUUGCUUUUCCAUUUCUUUAUUGAAAAAACGAGUAAAUUAACCCUUAUUUAUUUUAAAAUGUGUAAAUUAGUUUCUCCAUUAAAUUUUAUCUAUUAAAAGAUUAUGUGAACACGUUGAAAAUUAUUUUUUAUGCGUAAACUGUAAAAAUGAUUGUCCAACUAUGCUUUUUAUUCUAUUUCGGUCACCGAACUAUUAAGUUUUUUUAAUUUAGUUGCUAAACUUUUCAAAAUUAAAUAUUUUAGUCACUUUAAACUAAUGUGGGCUUUUCUAUUGGUCUAGUAACAAAAUUAGCCCUCUAAUGUUUACACAUUUGAUCAAUUUGAUCCUAAAUAUAAAAAAUUCAACAAAUUUAUCCCUCAAUGUUUACAAAUUUUGUCAUUUUAGUUCUAAUUCUAAAAAUUUCAAAAAAUUUGACCCUCAAAAUUUACAAAAUUUGUGAAUUUAAUUCUAACUCUAAAAAUUAAACAUAUAAUUUUUAAAAAACAAUCAUUUUUAGUCUUGUACGUAUAACCCAUCGGCUAACCCAUGUGAGAUUAAAAUGAGAAAAAGAGUACCCCCUUUCAAGUCACUUACAAAAGAACUCUAAAAAGUCGGGAUAAAACACAAAAAAAUUUAAGGGCCAAAAUAAAAUAAAGACAUUAAAAACAUUAUUUGUUCGAGUAGUAAUGCAACCAAUUAUUCCAAAAAGGUUUCAAAUCAAUUAGUUUGGUUUGGUGUGAAGUCUAAGUUAGAGUAAAAAAAAUUUGUUGCAAGUGACUUGAAAAUAUGGGAAAAAAUUGUUGCAAGUGACUUGACCCACAUAACCUGGCACACGGCUGUGUGACGUCGAUAGUGGGUUUUCCUUUAAAGUACACUAGAAAUUUUGAUCUUAGAAGUCGAAUGGCGUCAAGAACAGUUGCCAAAGAUAUAACUACUCGAGAUUUUAUACAUAAUUUUGAGAUUUUUUUUUUAUAAUUUUUGUAUAAAAUCAAUGUCAAAUUGAUAGAAAAUAUAAAAAUUGAGGACUAAAAUUAUUAUUAUAUCAAUUAAAACAAGUGCCACUUAACAGACGAGUGAAGAAAAUAAACAAUUUCGAAAACAUUAGUGACCAAUUUAUAACAGGAGUUUUGAGAAACAUGUAGAAAAUAUGGGAAUGCGAAAUAUGACUUAUCUACUUCACUAGGUCAAAUGGGAGAUUGUUGGAUCUAGUGUCUUUAUUUUAGUAUUUUCGUCAAUAUAUACUUAUAUUUUUCGAACAAAUUGAUUUAAUAAAAUAUUCAUUCAUUACAUUAAUAUCCUUUGUAUAUUAUUCUUUAUGAUUUUUGCACGCAAAGCAAAUAUUGACCCAAUAAUUAUCUAACAUUUAACUAAUACUAAACGGUAUUACAUGGUUGGAUCAUAAUAUGGAAAAAUAAUUUAUAUUAAUAGAUAAUCUAAACAUGUUUUUAGUCUGAUAAAAAAAUAAGCAAACUGAUUGAAAGGAUAACAUGUUAUCUAUCCAAUCCAAUUAAGGAAAUACUUUAUCUUCGGUAUUGGAGAGAUUGAGUUUUAGAAAAUAGAGAUAUAGAUGUAACUCACUUGUAGAUUUAUUCAUUUGUGACGUUCAUUGUGACAUACCUUAAUCUUGAGUAGAUGAUGGACUAUGUAUGUGUGAUUCGUAUACUUUGAUAUAAAUGAAAAUUUGAGUUUAAAUAGAUAAGGAACUGAAAGUUGGUACAUUAGGUAUAUGACUUUUAUAGUAUGUAGCAUCAUUCCUCAGCAAUGGAAUUCAUAGCUCAACUAAAAGGUAAAUGAUAUUCUCUCAUCAGCAUUACAUGAUAAAUGAAAAGUAAAUACGGUCAUGGAUCACUUGUCUUUGUGAUAAACGGUUUAAUUACUAGUUGAUAGUAAUUGACUUUUCAAGAAUAAAGAUAAAAAAAUUACCAUGAGAAAAAUGGGAUCAUAUUGAAAAAACAAUUUUAUCUCAAAAAGAUUAAAAAUAUCCCAUAAAUGUAAUACACUUCUGACAAAUUUGGUGACAUUAUAAUUUUAUAAUUUUUAUAUUAAAUAAUUUGAUUUACUUAAAUUUAGUUACUUAAUGAUAACAUUUCAUAUUCUUAAAAAUUUAUCUUAUGAAUGUGCAGCCUUGUUAUUCCAAGUGUGACAAAUUAAAAUAUGAUCAACAUUAUUUUGAGAUGACCGUGGGAUCAGCUUUAGUGCAAAAUUCCAUGUUAAAUUAGCAUCGGAGCCACCAAUUGCUACUCUCAUUGGACCAUUCAAAGUACCAGCCCAUUCCUCUGUAUUUUUUAUACGCUUUUUAAAAUUAUGGGUAAAUUACAUCUAGUUAUUAUCUCUUUUCCUUUCAAUCAUUCAAUUAUUAAUUUUUUUUAAUUUGAUCAUUCAAGUAAUCGUGAUAUUUUUUUAUCUAUUUCCGUUAAGUGCCUUAAACCUCUCUAAUGGGAGGAUGAUAUGUUAGUUAAAAAAUUAAUAUAAUAAUAAAUUUAUUUCUCAAUUUUUACAUAUUAUAUCAAUUUAAUCAUAAUUUUAAAAAAUUAGCUUUCAAAAUUUACAAAUAAUUUCAAUUUAUCAGUGGUGGGAGUGGCUGGAAAGGAGGGUUGCAACCCAUUAGUUGAAUACACAACAGGGUUUAUUAGGCUUUUUUCAGGCCAUUUUCUAUAAAAGAAUUGGGGGCAGCCUGCACUGAAGUUUGAGCUUGAGAUUCUAACAACGGAAUUGGGAUUUCAAGCAGUGGACGAAAGCAAGUUGUUGCUUUGGUGUUGAAGAUAUUGAAGAAAGUUCCAAGAGAGAGCCUUGUCCUUGCGCUGCAGCUACCCCACUUUUCUUCUUGCCUGUUUUGUGUUUUAUUCUGCAAAUCACUCAUUCUUCCUGCAAAAUAACACCAUUUCAAUCUUAUAGUAUUGAGUAUUUGACAAUUCAGUGUUGCAUGCUCAUGCUUUUAGCCUUAUUCAAAUCUUGUUUAAUCAGUGCAUGAACAAUAAACAUGCAACUAGUGAGUGAAAUGAAGGCCAUCACAUCAGAAAUUACUCCACUGUUUCAUCAUAUUAUUGUUAUUAUUAGCAUUCAGCUGAGAAGAAUAUGUCAACCCAGAAAUCAUACAAACAGAACAUAUCUGCUACUAUUGAACGAUAAAUUAGGUUCAUAUAAGAAAAAAGAGAAGUUUUUUUUUUUUUGUUUUGUUUUGAGAAGGGUGGAGGAGGAUAUGGAGGAAACCAUAGUAGUGAUCGUGGGGAAGCGGAAGAGGUAGGUAAAAUUUGAUGAUCAAAUUGAAAUCAUUUGUAAUUUUGAAGGUUUUUUUAAAAAAAAAUUAUGAUAAUUGAUAUAAUAUGUAAAAUUUAAGAGUAAAAUUUUUUAUUAUACUAAUUUUUUAAUUGCCAUAUCAUCCUUUCAUUAGAACUUUAAUGCCAUUUAAUGGAAAUAGACCAAAAAAAAUAAUACUGAUCAGUUGGGUGAUCAAAUUUAAAAAAAAAUAGUUAGAUGACAAAAAAGAAAAAUUAAUAGUGACCACAUUAAAAAAGUUGAUAGUUGGAUGAAAAAAAAAAAAAGAAGGUAAUAGUAGGAUAGUUUGUGAUGUGAUUUACCCAAAAAUUAAAAAUAAAAAACCCAACACAUCAUCAAAAUCAUUUGUUGGACCCAUGCCCAUUUGGCUUUUAACGUCACAUUCAUGAGUAAAUAAAUAAUGGUAAACUAGAGGUGAUCAUGGGCCGGGCUAGGUCUAGAAAAAAAUUUUGGCUCGCGUCCUAGGCCCGGCCCGAAAUAUGGGCCCAAAAUUUUAUCCUGGCCCAGCUCGGGAAAAAAUUCUUAAGCCCGACCCAUUUUUUUAAUAAACACUAAAAUUGUAUUUUAAAAAUAAAAAAUAAUUUUUUAAAAAAAUACUUUAAAAUUAAAAAAUAAAAAUAUAUAUUUAUUAUAUAUUCAGGCCAGGCCCGAGCCAAAAAAGUUUUGCCUGAGGCCCGACCCAUUUUCUAAACGGGUCUCGUUUUUUGCCCAAACACAUAUUUCAAACCUAUAUUUUUACCUGAACCUUCCAUAUUUUGGGAGGGCCAUUGGGCCGGGCCGGGCCGCCCAACCAUGAUCACCUCUAUGGUAAACUACAUAACAAGUUAUUCUGAAAUAUUUUACUCACUGCAUUUUUUUUGGUUAAUUUAGUCACUAUAAUUUAGAUAAUAAUUUGAAUUGAUCACUUCUGUUUAAAUUUUUGUUAACCCACUAAUUGAUUAUUGACAUGACAUUUCUUUUUAAUUUUUGACUAAAAUUAGGAACCUCUCUAUAAUUAGUCCAAAAUGCUUUCUUGUAGCAAAGCCUCAAGGGUAAAUUUAUUUCAAAGCUCCUUUAUUUGAUCUUUUCUAGCUAAGAAAUUUUGGGUUCCAUUGGUUUUUUUCGUUUGUUCUUAAAGAUAGAUUUUUUUCCCUUCCCUGGAUCCCGAACUGAGUCCAUGAAGAAGUCAGUUUCUACUCAAUCCUUUCGCAAGCUUGUUAUUGUUUUAGCUUCCUUGUUGCUUCUCUUUCACCUUGUUUAGCUAUUGACUAUGUUCUAACCAAGAAGAUUCUCGGUAAAAAAUCUGAGCUAUUCAAUAACGAUAAGUGGAAAUGGACUCUAGAUAUCGGAUCCAAGUUCCUUGUCGAAAAAAUCCAUCUAUCUCCCCAGUCGCCAUGUAAGGAUAUGCAAGAUCCAAAGAUAGCCAUAGGUCCUUACAUGACGGCUUGUGCUUUUCGCUCCAACUUCACCUAUAGUUUCCCAAUAGUAUCCACUCGAAAGUUUGUCCGGUUGUAUUUCUACACUAAUUUGUACGAUAGUCAAAACACAACCAACACUCUUUGUACACCAUUGUAAUGAAACGUGGUUCUUAUGGUGCAGUGAGGAGCAAUAGAGAUGGAAAGCAGGGGAUAAGUGGUGACAAGGAUAUGUGGUUCUUAUGUUGCAAAUAAACAAAAAUAAAUGUUUUGGGCUAAUAGAAAAGUCCCUAGCUUUAGUCAAAAGUAAAAUAAAAAAAAAAGUCAUGCCAAUGUCUAAUUCGAGUAAUUAUUUUAAUUAGAGUGACUAAAUUGACAAAAAAAAAUAGAGCGACCAAAAUAGAAAUAAUGUUAUUUUAGAAUUACCUACGGUGUAGUUUAUCCAAUAAAUUCUAUAGUAAUAAUUUCAAUUCCAUUUUAAAUCUAACUUUUAUUUAAAUUAUUUUUUAGUAAUUUAUUUAAAAUUUCAAAUAUUUUAAUAUUAAUCAAUUAUAAAGGUUAAGAAAAAUAAUUUCAGUUUAGAAUCAAUACAAACAUAUCUAAUUAAGAUUAUGCCAAUAGAUUAAUAUAAAUAAUAGAAUUGAGGUAUUAAAGGAUGUGUUGUUUUAGAUUUAAAUUUUAAUAUGUAAAAAAAUAAAAAUAUUCUCAAAAUAAUAUUUGUUAUUUUAUGAAAAUAAUAUUAAAAUCCAAUUAACAAGUUACAUCAAUUCAAUUUGAAAUCUAGACUUAUGUUUGGGCUUUUGUUCAAGCUCCUCAAUCCUCCAUCAUUCCUUUUAUUCCCACCUUUUUUAUCCUCUCUUUUGCACCAUCUUCCGCCCUGCUACUCUCUUCUACUUCUUUGGCACCAAUGGAGGCCACAUCAUCUUAAAACAAAUAUAAAAUAAAACAUGAAAUGGUACUAAAAUGGAGAAAUUAGAUUUAUAAACUAAACUAAACUAUAAAUGGUUCAUACCUUAAAAGCUUCCAAAGGGGUUGAAGAACAUUUUUAAAGUUUGGAUCGUUAUCCCACUCCAACGAUUCCCACCAUUUUUUCCAUGACCUGAUGGUAAGAGAAGGUGGAGCAUAUGCAAAUGGCUGCCCAUUGCCAACGAGGGGAACAAAUGGAGGAAUUCUCUUCAGUUUAUCACAAUCUCCAUAAACUUCUAUAACUUGGAGAGAAUCACAAACCAUCACUCCACUUUUGCCGCAUAUGCUCUUCAAAUUUGGUAAUUCCCAGCAUGUCAGCAGUCUCAAUUUGGGAAGAUGGAAUUUUAUUAAUGCGUCACUCCCUUUUUCUUCAACUUCUGAUGUUUCUACUCCCAAUAUUUCUACUAACUCACCACAAUGAUCCACUGAUAUUUCUUCCAGGUUUUGGAGGUUUGGAAGCAACCAAUGUGGAAGCAACGUCUUCAUACUUGAGCAGCGGUCUAUCUUAAUUUCCUUAAGAUGGGAAAAGGUCGCAGACGGAGCCAAUGUUGAUGUUGUUGCUGAAUAAAUUCCUUCAUCUAUCAUAAUAAGGGCACUCAACUUUGGCAGAUCAUGAAGAUACAACACCUCGAGGCUCUGAAAUGGGUGAGCGGAAGAAGAGGCAAAAGAGGACAAGGAAACAACACACUCUAUCCCUUUACAAUCAUGAAUCCUCAAGUAAAUAGCAUUUUUGAAGGAAGAAUUAUCAUCGACUAAGCUUCUCAAAUAGUGGCACUUUAAAAUAUUCAACUCUUGAAUUUCAAUUGGGUGCAUAAUUAACUUACCUUCCCAAUUCUGGACUCCUCCAAUUGUUACUGUUUUAUCUCUUGUAGCAAGCAUAAAAGAUGAGCCCACCUGUAACUGGUACUUGAUGAGAUUUUUCUUACUUUGUUGCAUUGAGGAGAUGAACUUAUUGAAUUCACUGAUGUCUUCGAAAUGUCCGGUUAAGCACUCCAACUUCUUCAAUGGUUCCAUCUCCUCUGCUUUUAGACUUGUUCUUAUAUUGUUCUCAUGAAAAGCCAAGUGCUGAAGGUGAACGAGUUUUGGUAAAAGUCCAGCGGGUAUCUCUUUCAGAGUGAACACUUGAACAUCAAGAUAUCUUAGCUUUAUCAGCACAUCCAUGCCUCCAGGUACUUCCUCAAUUUUAGUCCAACUUAGAUCCAACUUCUUCAAUUCUUGAAGCAUCGAAAAACAUGGUAGAUCUCUUAAUUCUGAACAACCACAAAGCAACAAUGUUGUGAGGUUCUUUAGUUCAGAGAUGGAAUUUGGUAAACUUUUGAUCUUCGUAGAGGACAAAUUGAGAACACUAAGACAAGGCAUGUUUGUGAAGAAAGAAAUUGAGAUCUUCUUUAUAGGGUUCGCCUGCAAUAACAAGGUUGUGAGCAGUUGACAUUUUGUGGGCAGCACAUCUAUGGAAAUUUCUGAUAUGGAGUUAUACAUAAGUGACACUUUCUCAAUAUCCGGACUCCAUUGCUCCUUUUCUGGUAACACUUCUAAUUGCAAACCUGCUUGUAUCAUAUA
rnacentral:lncRNA from 1 species